UGGUGGAAAGAACUAGACUUUGCUACAAAGUUACCUUUUGCACGAGACAGAUUGGUUGAAUGCUACUUUUGGAUGCUUGGGGUGUAUUUUGAGCCUCAAUACUUACGGGCUAGACGAAUUCUAACCAAAGUAAUUGCCAUGAUAUCCAUUCUAGAUGAUAUCCAUGAUGCAUAUGGCACACCUGAAGAACUCAAGCUCUUCAUAGAAGCCAUUGAGAGGUUUGCUCCUUGCACAUUACCAACCUUGAUUGUGUAUAAUAGAUGUAUUUAUAUAUACUUAAAUCAAGGAUCAUUAUUUUAUUUUCAGGUGGGAUAUUAACAGCAUAGAUCAGCUUCCAGAAUACAUGAAACUCUGCUAUGCGGCACUCUUAGAUGUGUACAAAGAAAUCGAGGAAGAGAUGGAGAAAGAAGGAAACCAAUAUCGGGUUCACUAUGCCAAAGAAGUAGUAGGACAUCUUUAACUCUGGAUCCCCACCUUUUUCAUUGAUGAUAUUUUAUAUGGUCUCAUAUAUACAUAGAUAUAACUUGGAUGAAUGUUCUUUAGAUGAAGAAUCAAGUUCGAGCUUACUUUGCUGAGGCCAAAUGGUUACAUGAAGAACACGUACCAACAUUUGAAGAGUACAUGCGUGUUGCACUAGUAAGCUCUGGAUACUGCAUACUUGCAACCACGUCCUUUGUGGGAAUGGGAGAAAUAGCAACAAAGGAGGCCUUUGAUUGGGUGACCAGCAAUCCUAAGAUUAUGUCAUCUUCAAAUUUCAUUGCGAGGCUCAUGGAUGACAUCAAAUCACAUAAGGUAUGAAGAAUAUAUGAUUCAAAUGGGGAGAAUAUAACACACUGGUUUUUUCUCAACUUUUGUAUUAUACAUGCAGUUUGAGCAAAAGAGAGGGCAUGUGGCCUCAGCUGUUGAAUGUUACAUGAAGCAAUAUGGUGUCUCUGAGGAACAAGUAUACAAAGAAUUUCAAAAGCAAAUUGAGAAUGCAUGGCUGGAUAUUAACCAGGAAUGCCUCAAACCUACUGCUGUUUCAAUGCCUCUCCUUGCUCGUAUUCUCAAUCUUACACGAGCCGCGGAUGUCGUUUACAAAGAGCAAGAUUCGUACACACAUGUUGGGAAAGUGAUGAGGGAUAACAUUGCGUCUGUCUUGAUCAACGCUGUAAUAUAACCAAAUGGAGUAGUUGAUUGCCUUGUGGAAGCCGUAAUAUCUAAUAAAUCACUAUAAAAGGAAAAAAGAAAAGAAAAAAGGUCCAAUUCAUACCUUAGCCGCCCCUAAUGGUUUGGGCUUUUGCGUGAAUAAAAACUAUUGUAAUAAUAUGGGAGAGACAUAUAAUGUUUCCUACUAGUUUCUCUCUCGGUUUGGUAGUGCUUUACAUCAUACUAUCACUUGGCUAAAUGUAUUAAUGUUGCUGCGUUGUAAAAACUCCAUCCUAAGAUGCAAACAUAACCAGGUUUGAUAUUGAUUUUCCUUUUCUAUUUCUUGCAUCCAUUUUAAUAUAUGUUUAAAACACUUUGAUCAAGUUUGACACUUUUCUAUUAUUCAAAGAUCACGUGAUGGAGAAAAUUCUCCAUAGAAAAUCACUUCUUGUAGAAAUGGUCUAGAACAUACAAAAGAGAUAAAAAAAUCUUAAGAAUUCAUCCUAACGGGUAAAAUAUUAUUAUUAUUAUUAUUAUUAGACAUGCUAAAAGUUUUAUUAUAUACCUGUUAAAAAUAAAAGUUAUGAUAUUAUAUGAGGUUGGAAUUUGAAGUUCAUUUGCAACUUUUUUUCUUCCUCGUUAUUUUUUUAAUAUACGUAAAGUAUUUUUUUUUAAAAAAAAGACUUACUAAAAGAAUUGUCAUGAGAAGGUUUUAUUUUUAUUUUUUAAUAAUAAGUUAAAAUAAAUUUGAAAAAAAAAAUAAAUUAAUAUUUUUUAACAUUUUAUUUUAAUAUUUAAUUUUGUGCAUGGAUAUGUCAUAAGAUUAGGUUACGUACAUAUAGUACAUGUAAUUAUAAACACUAAGGGAAAGUAGCUCAGGUGCAAAGUUGUCACCUCCCUUCCUACAUGCACUUUCAAGUUUUUUUCAGCAAGCUGAUGUAGCCACUUACGAGAUAAGAUUACCAUAAAUUGCAAAAAAUUAGUGAUGAAUAAAAAAAAAAUAACAAAAUGUCAUGAUUAAUCAAGAUAGAUUAUCAAAAUUUCAACAAAAAAUCAUUGAGUGAAAUUCUUUCAUAAUUUCCUAUACCAGUAAUAUUUCGAAUAUAUUAAUCACGAUUUCCAAGUUUACAAGUUUACCAUAUCUACAAAUUAACAUGUUGAAGAAGUUCGAGAAUAAUUUUUAGAGGAUUAUAAAUGUCUUUUAUUAUUAAAUUUACUUUACAAAUAGCCACAUGUUUAAUUAAGAGUAUAUUCUAAUGGUGCUGAAAACAAAUUAAGACAGGCUUCAAAUCAAAUGUACUUUGCAAUAAAGACUUUAGUGAAUGCAACUUCAAAUGACCAAUAAUGCACGGUAGCAGUACAUUAAUUUUGACUUCAAGGCAUUAAUUCGUAUUUUAUCCAUUACACAACAGAAUAUAUAUAAAUAUCCUUAUAAAAAAUAUAUAUGAUAUUUAUAGGUAACAGCUUUCUUCUUAAGCAAAGCAGCCAAGUAAGACUACAAAAUCUAUACCAAACAGAAUAUCUACUAGGACAAAUUUGGAUAAUUAUUUCCAACACUUAAAUUGAUUGGGCUUAGGUUAAAGUAUUCUUCAACUCCUAGUCAGUUUUAGUUGGGCUCUUACCAAGGUUGUGACAUCUCGAAUCUAACCAAAAGUUUAUAUAAUAUUUAUAUAAUAAUUAUAAUUUAUAUUAUUAUGGACUCAUGCACAUUUUUCACAUGUGCCUACUCAAUGAGGAUACUCAUUUAUUAUGAAAAAUGAUUAUUUGAAAACCCUUUUUAGGUUUUUUAGAGUGAACAUUUAUUUAAAAAAAAAAAAAAAACACAAUAAGAAAAAAAGAAGAGAAAAACCUUAUAUAACUCCUUAUUUGAAAAAAAGAAAAAGAAAAAAGACAAGUUCAUAAACCAAGAUUGAGUUAAAAGUCAAAUUACCUACUGAGAAAAUACGACGAUAAGUCAUACAAAACAACCCUCUAAGCUUAUAUACCUAUAAUCUUUACUAAGCAAAUGAACUGAAUUAUGACGAUUAAAUAAUUGAUUAUGGAUACUCAAGAAAAGAAAAACACAAUUAUAAAACAAGUCAUGGUGUUUGUUAUGUUACAAAAAUGUAAAAAAACAAAUGAUAAGAGAAUUUGCAUAAGUUGAUUUACGAAACUAAUUAAAAACAUGGGUUUAAUUAUUUCUAAAUUCAAAGGAUUAAAAAAGUUAUUUCAAUUUGAUGAUUUCAAUCGAUUUUAAGUACAAAAGAAAGUUUUGAUUUCAUUUUUUUUUUAAAGAAAAAAAUGCUUCAAAUUAUUCUAUUUAUAAAGAAAUGAUUUUUAUUUACUUUUUCUUAAAAAAAAAAAAUAUAAUUUACACAAAUUUUAUUUACCUUAACAUUCCUUUUUGAUUUUUAUGCAAAAGAGAAUACUUUUAUAAUUUUUGCUACAACAUGAUUUUUACAAUUUUAUUUUAAAAGAAAGUAUCCAAAUCUAAUCUUAUGUGCAAGAGAAUCUUUUUACAAAUUAUUUAGGAAAAGGAUUUUUAAAAAUUUAUUUACAAUUUUAUUUAAAAAAAUAUUUACAAAUUACUUUAAAAAAGAUUUGUACAAAUUUAUUAACAAAAAAUAAAUAUUCAGAUCCAAUUUUAUUUACAGAAAAAAAAAGAUUUUUUUUUAUAGUUUUUAUUGAAAAUAAGACUUUUACAAUUUUAUUUAAUUAGUAUGAAAAUCCAAUGUCAUUUUAUUAAUACUAGAAAAAAUUUAUUAUUAUUUUUAUUAAGACAUGAUUUUUAAAAUGUCAUUUACAAAAAAAAAAAAAAAAAAAAAAAGUUUACAAUUUUAUUUUAAAAAAUAUUUUGCAAUUUUUUUAAAAAAAAUGGUUUCAAUGUUUUAUUUAAAACAAAUUGCUUUUUAGAUUUUAUUUUAAAAAAUGAUUUUCACAAGUUAAAAAAAAAUUAUAGUUUUAUUUUUUUACAAAAAAUAAUGAAUUUCCAAAUGUAUUUAAAAUUUAUUUAAAAAUGGAUUUUAUAGUUUUAUUUAGAAAAACACUUUAUUGUUUUAUUUCAAUCUUAUUGUUUAUUUUUUUCUUUAAAAAAAAAAGUUCAAAUUUCUCUCUCUUUCUCCCUCUCUCUGUCCAUACGCUCAUUAAUUUUGAUGUUAAGGUAUCAGCCCAAUUGACAUGAUUUAUACUGACUUAGUCUUUUGGUCUAAUAGGUAACUUAAUGUAAUAUAGGAGGUCAUGAAGGUGAACUGUGAACCUUACUGAUAUUACGCAAACCCUACCAUUUAUUUAUAAUAUUGUUGUCAUAAUAUUGAAAUAUGGGAAAUUUUAAUAGACCAGACAGACACCAAUAGACCAAAGCCACCAAGCAAGAAUUGAAGAAACCAGAAAGCGUUUGUUCCAAACAUAGUAUACUGUAGAACAUGAAACAGAAGCUAGAGUAUACUAUCUUUAUUUGUGUCACAUAUAUCUCCACUCUCAUAUUGGCACAAGGUCUAUGAGCAGCAUUGAAAUAUUAUUUUUUGUCACUUCUCCAGGAUGUGUGAAUAUAUCAUUGUGGCUCUUGUACAUCACAUCUCCUGAUCGAGCAAAAUUGAGAAGACGACUAAGGAGAAGCAUUGGAACUGCAGUAGGUCUGAGGCACUCUUCAUUUAUAUCCUUCCAUGCAUUCUCGAUUUGUUUGUGAAACUCAUCAUAUGCUUGCUGCUCCGACACACCAUGUUGCUUCAUGUAACAUUCGAUGCUUGAUGCAAUAUGCUCUCCCUCUUGCUCAAAUUGCAGAAAUAGAUAGUAAUAGAAGGUGUUAAAAAGAAAUUGAUAUACAUUAGAUUUUCUUUAUCUUUAAGGGAUUGAUAUCCAAGUAUCAGUAGAAAGUGUUGUUUCAUUGUACCUUGUGGGAAGCCAUGUCAUCCAUGAGCCUAAUGAUUAUGUAGGUAGCUCUAACAAUCUUAGGGUUUUGUAGCAGCCAAUCAAAGACUUCCUUGGUUGCAGUCUCUCUCAUGCCAAUAAAAGACAUGAUUGUUAAUCUUCAAAUUGAUAAAUGGUAGUUUUUUCAUUCAUUCUUUCAUUCAUUCAUGUACAGAAUAUAUAUAGAGGGUAAUCACCAUUCUAAGAAUGUGAAAGAAUGAUACAAGGAAAUAAUGAUAUAAGGAAAUAACAACUAAUAUCCUAAUAUCUCAACAUUCUUAAUAUCUCUACUUUCCUAAUAUCUAAACAUUCCUAAUAUCUCAACACUGAAUGAUAUAAGAAAAGAAUGAUAUAAGGAAAACAUUCAUAAUAUCUCAACACUCCCCCUCAAGUUGGUGCAUAGAUGUCACACAUGCCCAACUUGUCUAAAAAAUUUGAGAACACUUGAUUUGAGACAGCUUUGGUGAGGACAUCGGCCAAUUGAUCUUUUGAUCAAAUCUUACGCAAUUCCACAAUCUUAUCAUCCAACUUUUCCUUAAUGAAAAAUCUAUCCACAUCGACAUGCUUUAUACGAUCAUGUUGUACUGGAUUAUGAGCAAUGUCACAUGCGACUUUAUUGUCACAAAACAAUCGGAUUGGUUGCCUAGAUAGGUAACCUAAAUCUUGUAAGAGGAGUCUUAGCCAUAAUGCCUCACAAAGUCCUAGAGCCAUACCUUUAAAUUCCGUUUCUACACUUAAACAAGCGACGACAUUCUGUUUCUUACUUUUCCAUGUCACAAGAUUACCACCUACAAAGGUAAAGUAACCAGAUAUAGAUCGCCUAUCAUCCACUGCACCGGCCCAAUCAGCAUUAAUAUAUACUUCUAUACUCUGAUGAUCAACAUUUUUAGCGAACAAAAUUCCCCUCCUAGGAGCAUUCUUCAAAUACCUCAAAAUACGCAUGACUGCAUUCAUAUGUUGCUCUCCAGGAUUAUGCAUGUAUUGACUCACUACACUCAAUGCAUAAGCAAGAUCUAGUAUUGUAUGAGCUAAGUACAUUAAUCUCCCCACAAGUCUCUGGUAUCUUCCCUUAUCGGUUGAUACUUGAUUAGGCUCAACACAUAAUUUCAGACCUUCUUCUAUUGGUGUAUUAAUAAGUUGACAUCCCGACAUUCUAGUCUCCUGUAAAAGAUCUAAAACAUACUUUCUUUGAGACAGAAAAAUUCCUUCACUUAAUCGAGAAACUUCAAUCCCAAGAAAGUAUUUCAGAGAACCUAAAUCUUUCAUUUCGAAUUCUAUAGAUAGAUAAUUUUGCAGAGCUUUUCUUUCUUUAGGAUCAUUUCCUUUAACUACCAUGUCAUCCACAUAUACAAUGAGUGUCAUAAUCUUACCAUGUUGCUUUUUCAGGAACAAAGUGUGAUUUGAAUUACUUUGACGAUAGCUAAAAGCUCUCAUUAACUUUGUGAACCUUCCAAACCAUGCUCUCGGGGAUUGCUUCAACCCAUACAAUAACUUCUUCAAUUUGCACACCUUCUGACAUUGCUUUUCUGACACCAUGCAUCCUGGUGGAAGAUCCAUAUAUACUUCUUCAGAUCACUCGCCAUACAGAAAGGCAUUUUUGAUAUCGAACUGUUGUAAUGGCCAAUCUAGGUUUGCAGCUAAAGACAGUAAUACUCGAACUGUGUUGAUCUUAGCUACAGGUGCAAAUGCCUCUGUGUAGUCAAUUCCAUAAAUUUGAGUGUACCCUUUUGCUACUAAUCUUGCUUUAUCGUUCAAUACUACCAUCUGCCUUGUACUUCACAGUAUAGAUCCAACGACACCUAACUGGUUUCUUUCCUGGUGGACAUUCUACAAGGUCCCUUGUUUCAUUCUUCUGCAAUGAUUUCAUCUCUUCAUUCAUGACUGCUUUCCACCUUGGAUUAGCUAAGGCUUCCUGCACACUGUUAGGAAUAGCUACAGUAGAUAAUUGAUUUACAAAUGACUUAUUUGAUUCAGACAAAUGAUGGUUAGACACAUAGUUGCUCAUGGGAUAUUUGACUUUGGUAGACAAUUUAGGUUCAUAUGUGGGUUUAGGAAUACCUCUAUUAUGACGGUAUGGUAACCGUUUCAUGAAUAGAUCAGGUUCCAAAUUAAGAACACCCUCAACAGACGAUGAUUGGUUUGGUAUUUCAGUGAAGACAUCUUCGGACCCAAAUUGUUGACCACUCAUAUCCAACUCACCCGCUUCCUGGUUCACUAGUUCAGAUUGUCCAGAUUCAUCCUCCUCAGAGAUAUGAUAAUCAUAAUUGAGAGUUUGAAUUUCCUUAUGGUACUCCCCCUGAAGUUCAGACUCAGAUGAAAAAUGCAUCAAAUCUUCAUGAAACACCGCAUCCAUUGUAAUAUACAUUCAUUGAGUUGGAGGAUGAUAACAUCAAUAUCCCUUUUUGUGUAAUGCAUAUCCAACAAACACACAUUGCAAUGCAUGGGAAGUUAACUUGGUGCAUUGGUGUUUGUGUAGAUGCACAAAUGCCACGCAACCAAAAACACGAGGAGGUAGAUUUGGGGUAGUUGGGACAACUACGACAUUAGUAAGAGCUUGGAGAGGUGUUUGGAAGUUAAUUGAGCUGGAAGGAAGUCGAUUGAUCAACUAUGCAGCAGAUGUGAUUGCUUCUCCCCAAUAAGAUAUCGAUGUUUUUGCUGCUAUCAAGUAAGCACAGACAACCUCUAACAAGUGCCGAUUUUUUCGUUCAGCACAACCUAAGCCUUACUCUUUCAAGGGAAUGUUCCUAAGUCCUAUUGGGGAGAAGUUGUUCUUACUACCACAUACAUGAUAAAUAGAAUUCCGUCACGAGUUUUAGACAACAAAAGCCUCGUAGAGAUACUUAAGAGUUUCUAUCCACACUUCAGAACCUCAAAUGGGCUCACUCCUAGGGUAUUUGGGUGCACUGCAUUUGUUCAUGUCCACAGCCAACAUAGAGACAAGCUAGACCCCCGAGUCAUAAAAAUUGUCUUUCUUGGUUACUCAUCCACUCAAAAAGGAUACAAGUGUUACAAUCCCACAACAAAAAUUUUUUACAUCUCUGCAGAUGUCACCUUCACAGAAAAUAAACCUUUUUUCCCAAAGUCCUAUUUUUAGGGGGAGAUUUCAAUGAUAGAAGAUAGUCCUGAGUCCUUUGAACCUCUUGACCUUCCUCAUGUCUCAACCCAUGGUGAUGAAAUACCUAAGUCAUCCGAGUCAAUCACACUUGAGUCACCCAAUUUUACCACUAAACCCGUGUCAUCUAAUGUUCCAGCCAGUGUCACUCACAAUUUUCCAUAGUUUCCUAAGGUGUAUUCAAGGGAAAAGGCCAUUCCAGAACAAAAGUAUGUCCAAAAAUCCAACUUAGACCCUGGGAAUGAAAUCACGCUAAGAUCAGACCCACCUUUACAUACACAACCUGGUGAAACUUCUACUAACUCAACCUAGACCUAGACCUUCCCAUUGCUAUCAGAAAAGGCACCAGAGAAUGCACUAAUUGACCACUCUAUCCACUAUCACACUAUGUGUCUCUUAAGCACCUAUCACUAGCCCACAAAAAUUUAAUUGUGAGUCUAAACACCACUAUCAUCCCUAACACUGUUUCUAAGGCAUUGACAAAAAGGGAAUGAAAUGAUGCUAUGAGAGAGGAGAUGAGUGCCUUAGAAAAGAAUAAAACAUGGGAGAUUGUUGAAAGACCGAAAGGGAAAAACAUUGUUGAUUGCAAGUGGAUUUUCACACUGAAAUAUAAGACUGAUGGAUCUCUUGAGAGACAUAAAGCAAGAUUAGUAGCCAAAGGGUACACUCAAACUUAUGGAGUAGAUUAUCAGGAGACUUUUGCUCCAGUUGCAAAAAUAAAUGCUAUAAGAAUCCUACUGUCAUUGGCUGCCCACUACAAUUUGGAACUCCUAUAGUAUGAUGUUAAGAAUGCAUUUCUUCAUGAUGAUUUAGAUGAAGAGAUUUACAUGAACAUCCCCCCGAGAUUUGAGGGAAACACGGGUAAUAAGGUGUGCAAGCUAAAAAAGGCCCUUUAUGGGCUAAAACAAUCUCCUAGGGCUUGGUUUGGGAGAUUUGCAAAAGUCAUGAAAGAGUCUGGGUACAAACAAAGCCAAGGUGACCACACUCUCUUCAUUAAGCACUCGGUUGCAGGGGGAGUAACUGCUCUUCUAGUCUAUGUUGAUGACAUCAUAGUGACUGGAAAUGAUGAGAGAGAAAAACAUGAAGUGAAGCAGAGAUUAGCAAUAAAGUUUGAAAUAAAGGAACUAGGGAAACUAAAGUACUUCCUUGGUAUUGAGGUGGCAUAUUCCACACAAGGGAUCUUCAUCUCUCAACAAAAAGUAUGUGAAUGAUUUAUUGGCAGAAACAGGGAAGAUUGGGUGUAAACCAGUGUCUACCCCAAUGGAUCCAAACCACAAGUUGGGAGAAGCUAAAGAAGAACUAGUGGUGGAUAAAGAAUGUACCAGAGGCUGGUUGGUAGGCUCAUAUACCUUGUUCACACUUGGCCAGACAUCGCCUACUCGGUGAGCAUGAUCAGUCAAUUCAUGCAUGCUACAAGAGAACCUCAUCUUCAAGCUGCUUAUAGGGUGCUGCAUUACUUGAAAGGCAACCUCGGGAAAGGAAUUUUGUUCAAGAAGAACAAUACUCUUGCUCUAGAGUAUACACUGACGCUGACUAUGCAAGUUCCUUAGUGGAUCGAAGAUCAACUACAGGGUAUUGUACUUUUCUUGGAGGUAAUUAGGUAACAUGGAGAAGUAAAAAGUAGAAUGUGGUAGCAAAAUCGUCUGUAGAAUCAAAGUUUAGGGUCAUUGCUCAAGGGUUGUGUGAACUACUUUGGCUGAAGAUUAUUCUAGAUGAUUUGAGAAUCAAGUGGGAUGGUCCUAUGAAACUCUAUUGUGAUAACAAGUCAACUAUCAAUAUUGCUCAUAACCCUAUACUACACGAUAGGACAAAACAAAAUAAGAUCGAUAGGCAUUUCAUCAAAGAAAAAUUGGAGAAAGGAGUAGUGUGUAUGUCCUAUGUUGCAUCAGAACAUCAAUUAGUUGAUAUCCUAACAAAAGGGCUGAACAGUUCAAUGUUUCACAGUCUUGUAUUCAAGCUGGGAAUGGAAGACAUCUAUUCCUCAGCUUGAGGGGGAGUGUUGAGCUAUAAAUAGAUAGGAGAAUUAUUUUCCUAUUAUGUUAGUUUCCUAUUUAUGUAAAUAGAUAGUUUUAUUAGUUUCCUAAUUCUGUAAAUAGAUAGUUUUAUUAGUUUUCUAUUUCUAUAAAUAGAUAGUUUUAUGAUUUAGGAAUAAAUUAGUUUUCUAUUAUGUCUCUUGUUUUCUAUUUCUUCUCUUGUAAUCUUCUAUAUAAACUGUGUGUAUGGUCAAUCUAAGAGACAAAAAUUAUUAUUUUCCAUCCCAUAUUUCGUAUCAAGAUGCAUGCCAUAAAAAUGGUAAGAUGAACAACAACAAGCCAAGCAACAAAAAAAAAAAAAAAAUGGAGUUUUUCCACCUUGUCCUCAUUGCAAGAAGACAAAUCAUUCUCCACAAAAAUGUUGGUGGAGACCAGAUGUGAAAUGCAACAAGUGUGGUAAACAAGGACAUGUGAAGAGGAUUUGCAAAAAUCAACAACAAAAAGAAACUAGUGCAACAAUUGACUAUUGUCAAGAGGAGCAAUUAUUUGCAGCAACGUGUUUUGCUAAUAAAAGCACCUCUGAAAGCUAGCUUGUGGAUAGUAGUUGUACAAACCACAUGACAAAUAAUCAAGAUCUCUUUAGAGAACUUGAUAGAACAACUAUUUCCAAAGUCAGAAUUGGAAAUGGUGAGUAUAUUCCAGUUAAGGGCAAAUGAACGGUUGCUAUCAAAAGCCAAAUAGGUUUGAAACUCAUUUAUGAUGUUUUGUUUAUGCUUGACGUUGACCAAAACUUACUCAGUGUUGGACAGCUCGUUGAGAAAUGAUUUAAAGUUUAUUUUGAAGAUAGGAAUUGCAUUAUCAAGGAUGUUGAAGGCAAAGAGGUGUUUAACAUAAAAAUGAAGGGCACGAGUUUUGCCUUGAAUUUACUAUAAGAUGAGCAUGCUGCUAUUUUACAACAAUAUAGCACAACAAUGCUUUGGCACAGAAGGCUUGGGCACUUUCAUCAUGAUGUUGUGCUCUACAUGAAGAAAAAUAAAAUAGCUGAAAGACUUCCCGACUUAGAAAAAGAUCUUCCUAUAACUGCUACUUGUCAAUAUGGGAAGCAAACUAAACUUUCCUUUCCAAAGAAAACAUCCUAGAGAGCAACCCAAAAAUUGCAACUAGUGCAUACUGAUAUUGGUGGACCUCAAAAGACGUCAUCCUUGAAAGGGAAUGUAGGCAUUGUUCACCAGCUCACUGCACCAUAUAAUCCACAACAAAAUGGAGUCGUAAAGAGAAAAAAUAGAACGAUUUUGGAGAUAACAAAAUGCCUUCUGCAUGAAAAAGAUCUACCUAAAGUUUUUUGGGCUGAAGCUACAAGUACAGUAGUAUAUUUGCUUAACAAAUUGCCAACAAAAACGUUAAAGAAGCAGACCCCUUUUGAAGUUUGGUUUGAGUUUCUACGUGGAAGACUUGGAGUUUGCAUCUACUAAGUCAAGAAGGAGUGUUGAAUUUUGACCUAGUAUCUACUAGAAUUUGAAUUUUGAAGUUAAAUAUUGCAGUUGGAGUCUUGCACAAAAUCUAUAACAUCCAAAUAUUUUCUUGUUUUUAUUUGGUCAAGAUUUGGUUUCUAUUUUAUAGGAAGUAGUUGUUCAUCAUCUAGUAGCUUGAUUUUAUGCUAUUCUAAUGUCAUUUCAGUUACAAGCUCAUGUAUAAAUUCAACACUCUUCAUCAAUAAAAUGUGUGUUCCAGCAACCCAAAAUAUAUAUUCUGCAUAAGUGUUUAAAUCUUAGACCAACACAUCCUCGUCACUAGUAGUUGUGCCUCUCAGGUUACCUUUUUUAUCUCUCAGCUCAGCUCCACCUUUGCUCUUCAUGAUCUUGGUUCCCUUUACUAUUUCUUUGGCAUUGGGGUUUCUCAUAGUACUGAUUCUCUUCAUCUCUGCCAACAAAAAUAUGUGAAUGACCUGCUCACUCGUACUGCCAUAACUGAUGCUAAACUUGUUCUUACAUUGGGUUCCUUGGCCAAACCUCUCUCUCUCACUGACGGUGAUCUACUUCAUAUCAUAACAUUGUUGGCGCAUUACAGUAUGUUACUGUUACAUGUCCAAACCUUUCUUUUGCAGUUAACAAGGUAUGCCAGUUUAUGGCUUCCCAACGACUACCCACUAGCUAGCUUUCAAGAAUAUAAAAAGUAGUUAAAAAUAAAAUAAAAAUAUAGACUUAAAAUAAAAAAUAAAUUAAAAAUGAAUAAUUAAAAAUUUUAAAAAUGAUAAAUAUUUUUUUUUUUUUUAAAGUUUUCAAAAAAAUCUCAGAUAUUUUCAGAUAUAUCGGCAAUGUAUCCGAUAUAUCUCUAAUAUUUUGAUAGACUUCCUCUAUUGCUUUGUGCGUCACUUCACACUCGAUUUUUUCGCCGAUUUAUCGAUUUCAAAUUAACCGAAAUAUCAACAUAUUUCGGGGAUUUUUCUGAUAUUCCUCCGUUCAAUAAUGUUGCUUAAUAUCCUUUUAGGGUAGUCCGAUAUCCGAUAUAUUGGCGAAAUAUCACCGAUAAAAACCGAUUUUUCAAUCCAUGCUUAAUAGUGGGUUUCCCUUUUGUUUGGCCUCUUGUAGACCCCCAUUUUGGGGCUCGGUUUUUUUUAUCUCUAUUUUCUUUGUAGGUGUCACCACCCCAGGGAGCCAUGCGUCGCCUCUUUGGUGGUUGAUAGGGAAUCAACAUUGCUUUUCGGGGACCUAUGGUAGGUUGACACGUGGAAGAAUAUUCUGGAGAGCUAAUUUCCGUUAUGGGGGAGCAUAUGAGAGAGGAUAUUCUGCAGGCAUUUUGAUUCUCACAUGUGCAUGAUCACUUUGAGUAUUCAUUGAUUUCCGCAUCAAUUGUCACAUCAGCUUCAUUUUAUUUGUAGAGACCCGACUUUAGGGACUUAGAGGGGUGCUACGGUCUUUACCGUACCUUCCCGAUAAGUAAUCUGACCCCCGAGCUCAAUCCAGUUUUUCACGGACCACCUUUUCCAAAUAAGGAGUCACACUUAGGGUUUUCUUUCUUAUUUUAUUUACCCUUUAAAAAUAAAACAAAAUUAAGUGGCGACUCCAAGUCAUUUUUCUUAAUCAGUAAAAUCAUUUUCAAAAUAAAAAUUGAGCUCGCCAUCGAGUGAAAAACGCAUUAGCUGAAAUGCGGGGUCCACACCUCUGUUUUUUUUAUAAAAAAAAAAAAAAAUCCUUUCCCAUUCUAUGGCCUUGAGUGAGCAUUACGUAUUUCAACUAUUUUGACAUGUUCAAAAUAAAAUACUAAGAAUUUAAAGGGAAUUUGUUCGACAAGUACUUUUUUUUUAACAUAUUUAUUUAUACAUUAUUUAGUUUAGGUUGCAUUAUUCUAUGUAAAUAAUUUAUUGGGUAUGGGAAUUAUUUUUAUAAAUGGCUGAGUAGAUUCAAUUUUAGAUAUUUAUUUAUUGAUCAUGAAAAAUAUUUAUUAAAACAUGGUUUAACAACCAUGCGAUGGAAUCAACCUAUUAAAAAAAAUAAACUAAUACUAUAUUAUUUUAACUUAAAUUAUUUCUUGAUGGUAGCAAUGUUGAAAAAACAAAUAUCAAUAAAGACUAAUCUUAACGAGAAAAUAGUAAUUAACAUAAUUUUAUAUUAACUUGUAAAAUUGGGUCAACAUAUAAAUAUAUUAAUUGUAACAAGAAGACCUACAUUGAUAAUGAAACGUCAAUAUUAGUCUAUAUUGCCAACUUUGAAAUAUUAAUAUAUGUAUAUAGCAUAUGUUUUCAUGAUUAGGAAUUAGAGAAAAUUUUGUAGAAGAUUUUUCCAAAUUUGAAAAUAACUAUGGAAGAAAUUCAACUUAAACACGUUUCUUUGUGGAAGAGUUGCAUGUCUACUCAAGUCUCAGCAUGUUCCCUAGCCCAAAUUUCUAAACCCAAAAAUCACCCUGUGGCAAGCUUGAAGGUAAUUCAAUGAAAAUAUGCUUAAAGCUCAACGGCUAAUUUACUUAUUUGGAAGUCAUUUUUCUCUAUGUGUUGGAUGAUAAAAUUUGUUGGUCUAGGUUACACGUUCCUGCAAAGAAGAGCAGACGGAGGAUCUGAAAAAUGAAUUGAAACUGGAAUUAAUACGUAGUGUUAUUAUAUAUCGAUGGAAAUUAGUUUAAAGUUGGAUAUAUUAAUACUUAGGAUGUUUGGUAAAACUUAAUACUUAUUAUUUAAUUAUUUGAGUUGACUUUAAAUUAAAUUAUACUUAAAUUACUUACUUAAAACUUAUUACUUUAAGUAUUAAGAUAUAAAAUUAACUUAAAGUUUAUUUAAAAUCAUUAAGUUGACAUAUUUAUUCUUAUAAAUUAUAAUUAGAAUAGAAAAAGUUGAGUUUAUAGAGUUGUAAAAGAGAUCAUGAAGGUAAUUAAGACAAAUAAAGAUAAAAAGAUAAAAUGAAAAUAUAAAAUUAAAAAUAAAUUAAUUAUUUUUACUUAUUAUUUAAAGUUAUUUUUUUUACUUUAAAUCAUAUUAUCAAGUUAUUUUAUUAAAUAUGCUUAAUUUACUUAAUGACUUAAAUUAAGUUAUUAAAUUAUUUUAAGUUAUUAAGUUGAUUUAUCAAAUUUCUACUUAUUGAAUACAAAUAUAGAAGGAAAUUAGGAAAGCAAAGUAGAUGGGUUAUUAGGUGAAAGCUUAUCAAAUCCGCCUAUCAACAUAUCACACUUUUACCAAAAACCCACCUCAUGCCAAGCCUAUAAGUUGUCAAGUCCUUAUGAUCCAACAACUUUCUUAUGGUUCCCACACGGAUUUCUAUUGUUAUCAAAACAAAAAGUUUAUAAUAAAAUAUAUAUAUAUAUAUAUAUAUAUAUAUAUAUAUAUAUAUAUAUUAUAAUUCAUAAAUAAUCUGACAAUUAAAUAAAAAGAUAAACUCAUUUGUGGAAUAUAAUUAAUAAAAAAAAAAGAGAAGUGUUAAGAGUUUUAAAUUAUUAUUAUUUUAUAUUUUUUAUAUUUUAAAUAAAUAUAAUUAAAAUAAUGGAUAAAAAAUGUGCACUUUGUACCUUCAACCUAUAAGAGUUGUAAUAUUUUCAAGUUGGUAUUCUUUAACAUAAGUCAAAUUCUAACUUAUUCAACUUUGACAAUUUUAACCUAAUCCUCAUAUUGGUACAAAUUAGACUAUUCUACCUUAUUUAAGUUUUAGUCCUAAAAAAAUCAUGAGAAUUAUGGACCGAAUGAUGUAUAUUAAAUUUCUAAGAUUCAUAUUUUAAAAUUAAUAAAAUUGAAGUAUUUUCCUUCUGGAGAUUAUUUAUUAUGAUUUAUCUUUACUUUAAUUAAUUAAUUAAUAUAUAUAUAUAUAUAUAUAUAUAUAUUUCAUUGGUAGAAUUGUCCUUAAUGGCCUUUGUACAUAGAGUACAUUCCUGGUCAUAAGAAUACGUGUCAAAUAUAAAUAUGCUUUUCAAAUUUAAUCAUUCUUAUUAUAAGUUUAUUAUUAUUAUUAUUAUUUUAUUAUAUACCUUGUAAAAAUAAAAGUUAUGAUCUUACGUAAGGUCGCAAUUUGAAGUUCAAGUUCAUUAAACUGUGCAGAGUUUAGCUUUCUAUAUAUAUAUAUAAAGAAUCAAUUCCAUCAAUUCAUUAUUUUUUAAGAAUUGAAAAUUACAUAAAUAUUGAUGGUUAUAUUUUACAAAAACAUUGAAACAAAACAAUAAUAUAUUAUUAAAGUUGUUUUACUAAAUAAAAUAAUAUAAUCAUCGUUAUAUAUAUUCUUGUACUUUGUUUAUUAACAAUUUUAUUAUAUUUUCAUUUUAACUUAAGAUAAAGACAAAGGGUUGAAUUGAAAAUUUUAAUUUGCAUAAUUUAAUUAAUUUGAAAAGAAUUUUAAAUUGAGAAUUUGAAAAACAAAUUCCAAAUAAUAAAAAUAAUUUGGAAAUGAAUUUUAAAUUAAGGAUUUAAAAUUUAAAAUUUGCAAAAGGAAAUUUUUUAUAAAUCUUUUCUAAUUUUAAAUAUGAAAUAUUUCCAAAUCUUUUUAAAACUCUUAAGUUUCUAAAUUGUUUUUCAUAAAAUAUAAUCUUUAAAUUAAUUGCAACUAUAUAAAGUUUUCUCCUAUAUAUAUCCUACCUAAAUGUAUAUUUGAUGACGGUCUGACUUGUUUUUCUAUUCUUAAUCUCUAAAGAAAGAAUUCAUUACAAGUACCUACAUCCCCUCAGAAGCUUAGAGGAGUUAGAGCAUUUGGAGGUACUACAUUGUGGAUGUGGAUUAAGGUGUAGGUUCUAGCUAGUGAAUCAUUAAGGUAAAACGGUUAUUAAAUAUGUGUACUUUAAUUUCAAAUAGUGGAUUAUAAAUUAGAGGUUUUAAAUCUUGUGAUUUUUUAUGCCCACAAUUAGCAUUGAUAUUUUCAAAUUAAAAUUUCUUGUGUCCCUUAUUUGAUUAUUUUUAUUAUUUUGAUUAUCCCUAUUAUCUCUUAGUUUAAAUUGAGUUAAUAUUAUUUAACUCUUAUAUUAUUUUCUUUAAAAAUCACCCCACUCUCAAUGUCAUCCUCUUGGACAAAAGCGUGUAUAUAUAUAUAUAUAAUUCACAAAUCUUGAAAAUAUAUUUAAUAUUAAAAUAUCAUUCCAUGUAAUUUGGAAGUAUUCAAAGAUGUAAAAGAUAUGAUAAUAUAUGUAUAAUUAUUUUUUAUUUAAAAAUAUUAAUAAUUACAUUUGCAACUUUAUUUUGUCCUCAUUAUUUAAUUAAUAUACAAAAAGAUAUGGGAAUAGAAUUAUCAAAAGAAUUGUCAUAAUAAAGCUUUAUAUUCUUCAUAAUAAGUUAAAUUAAGGUGAUAUUUAUUUAUUUUACUUAAAUCUAAAUAAAAAUUAAUUUAACUUAAUUGUAAAUAUAACUUAAUAGAAUUAAUUAUUAUAUUUUUUUGUUUUUUAUAAUUUUAUUUUUGUUAAGCGUUAAAUAUUAAUUGGGUGAGAGUCCUACUAAGGUUGUGCUUUGACUUAUUCAAAAAAUUAUUUUUAGUAAUGAGCAAAAAGUUAAAUAUUUUACUUUUAUCUAUUCAUUAAAAAAAUCUUAAAAAUUAAUUUUUUUUUUGUUUUAUUUAAAAUAGUGAAUGGAGUUUGAGUCGAAUUUUAAUUAUUUGGUAAAAUAAUAAAAUUAGUUUUUUAUUUAAAAGAAAAAAUAAAGGUAAGUCAAAGAUAUAAAGAUAAUUAUUUUAUUUUAAAUAAGAAAGAUUCAAAUAAAUAAAAAAAGAAAAAGUUAAUGAGCUACAAAUUUUAGGAUUAAUUGAUUAAAAUGGGUGAAAAUAUCUCAAAUUUGUAAAACUAAUCUCUUCCAUUUUUUAACUUAAAGAGUAACACUUGUUUGACAUAAAUACCCUUCAACAUUUUCAUUAUUUACAUAUGUAUUUUAAAAGAAAAUGUAAUUUUUGUAAGAAAAAAGUGAGAGUAUUCUUAUGUAUUUUUUGGAUGAAAAAAAAUGGUUUGCAAUUUGAUAUUUCUUUUGUCCUUUUUAAUCGGUUAUCCCCAAAUUUUUUUUACGGAAAAUACAAAUUCUAAAAAUAUUUGGUUUUAUUGCUAUUUUUAAAUUUAAAUAUAUUUUUACCUUAAUUAUAUUUUUAUUUCAAAAUAAUUGAUGAUGAUUUAGUUGAAUUCUAACAUUUAAUGGAGUUUUAGUUGAAUUCUAACACUAUAAUAUAAAGUGACCCGAUAAAAUUAUAAAAUCAAUUUUAUUUAAAAAUAAAUAAAGUUGAGUUAAAAAUAGUAUUAAAUAAAUUAAAUUUUAAAAAUAAAAUUUAAUAGUUUUACCUUAAAUAAAAAAUAUUAAAAGAAAAAAUAAUUAGAUAGAUAGGCUUUAAAUUUUAUUAAGAGAAACAUAAAUUUUUUUUUUUAAAAUUGUUUUUAUUUAUUUUCAAUUUUAAAAUUUUAUUUCUAUUUUUUAUUUAAAUGUAUUUUCAAAUUUUAUCUAAAAAUAGUUAAUAGAGUUUUGGUUGAAUUUUAAGACUAUAAGAUAAGCGAAUAGUUGAAAUUAUAAAAUGAAAUUUUUUAUUAAAAUGAAAAGAAAGUUAAGUUAAAGAUACUAUAAAUUAUGAUUAGAAGAAUGAAAAUCAAUAUAAAAAAAAAAAUGGUUUUAUCUUAAAUUAGAAAUAUUUAAAAAAAAAAAGAAUAAUGUAUUGAAAAAUAUAACUUUGUGGUAGAAGAGCAAUGACUAUGCUCUUUUGAAUACCCUAGUUUAUGUUCAUUUUUUAAAAUUUAAAAAGAAUAAACAUCUUUUAGAUAUUAACAAAAAUAAAUUUAAAUAGAUUCUUUAACAUAAAACCUAAAAAACAUUUGUUGUUGGCCAAAAAAUCCAACUAUGAGCCCUUUUAUGACAAGUGAAACUUCCAAAUCUUCUGAAGAGUUUUUUAUCUUAGUAUUAAAAUCUAAAAGCAGAAUAUUUAUACUAUGAGUUGUCUUUUUAACAACUAAUUUAUUUUAUUAAAUGUAAUAAUAUACAUUAAUAUGUUGUAAAUGAAAAGUAAUGAAUGACCACAUUGAUGGCCAUUAUGAACUCCAUUUACUCAUCUUUAAGAUGAGUAAUGGGAGUUCAUAUUAUGAAGCCUAUAAAAGGCUUCUUACCCCCCCAUGUAAAAGGAUCCCGAGAAAAGAAAGAAAGUUCUUCCUCUCAUUCUCUCUCUCUCUCUUUCUUUCACUUUCUCGAUUCUCUUAUUUGAUUCCUUCUUCCAUAUUAUAUAUCAAAGUAAGAUAUAUUUUAUCUCUACUACUUUGAUUUGCAUUAUAUUUGUCCUUGUUUUACAACACGUUAUCAGCACGAAUUGCUCUGAAGGUAAUUCUCGUAUCUUAAACUUGAAGUUAUUUAUAUAAAAUAAAAUUUUACAUAUUUAUAUUAUUGUUGAUUUGUUUUGUUACAUAUUGUUAAAAGUUAUAAACAAAUUAUUUGAUUUUGUUUAUAAUCAAAGUUAUACCAAUGCUAUCAAGUUAUUAUAACUGAUUUUAAUAAUAUUGUUUUGUCAUAUAUAUGAAGUUAUUUGACAAUGUCGAAUAUUACAAAACUCGAAUUUGUGGCACUUGACAUUUCGGGAAAGAACUAUCUAUCUUGGAUCCUUGAUGCUGAAUUACAUCUUGAUGCAAUGAACCUUGGAGCUACGAUCAAACAAGGAAAUCAAGCAUCCCUGCAGGAUCGCGCAAAAGCAUUGAUUUUCCUUCAUCAUCACCUCCAUGAAGGUUUAAAAAAUGAGUAUCUUACGGUAAAGGACCCUUUUACUCUAUGGAGUAAUUUGAAAGAAAGAUAUGACCACUAGAAAACUGUGAUUCUCCCAAAAGCUCGAUAUGAUUGGAUGCACCUAAGGUUGCAAGAUUUUAAAACUGUUAGUGAAUACAACUCUGCACUUUUCAAAAUCAGCUCUCAAUUAAAGCUGUGUGGAGAAAAAAUCACAGAGGAAGACAUGUUAGAGAAAACUUUUACUACGUUUCAUGCCUCGAAUGUGCUCCUGCAGCAGUAAUAUCGAGAGCGUAGAUUUACAAAAUAUUCUGAAUUAAUAUCAUGUCUUCUUGUUGCUGAACAAAAUAAUGAGCUUUUGAUGAGAAAUCACCAGUCUCGUCCAACUGGAUCUGAACCAUUCCCUGAAGUGAAUGCAAUAUCGUCCCAAACUCGUGGACGUGGACGAGGACGAGGACGUGGUCGUGGUCAUGGAAGAAAUCCUCGAUACCAUGGUUCUUAUAGUAAUAAUUCUCAUAAAAUGAAAGCCUCAUUGCACCACCAGAAGUGGAACAAUACUGAGACAAUACAAGAAAAUGGGAAGCGUUUACAAGAUAAACCUCCUAAGAACCAUGAGAAUAAUUGUUAUAUAUGUGGUAUGAAGGGGCAUUGGUCGCGUACCUGUCGUACGCCCAAACAUUUGGUCGACCUUUACCAAGCAUCAAUAAAAGCUAAAGGAAAAGAGAUAGAGAUGAACUUUACCGAUGGUGAUGGAUUGGACCUAACCUACUAUGACAUUGAUUUCUUUGGAGGUCCCAAUGAAAAACCAGACCAUUUGAUAAAUGAUGAAAAAAUUAACAUUGAUUGAUGUUACUCUAUAUAUACAAUAAUAUAUUAUUAUGUCUUAUAUUUACAUCUGAUUUACUUUGUUAUUUACAUUAUGCCUUUUUUUUUGUUAUAUCUGAAAUCCAUGUGUUAUUUGGUCUCAAGAUGAAUGAGGAUGAUGUAUGUCUCGCAGACUGUGCGACCACGCACACAAUUCUUCAAGAUAAAAGAUAUUUCCUUGAAUUGACAUUAAUAAAAGCUAAUGUAAGUACCAUAUCUGGUACUACAAACUUAGUUGAAGGCUCUGGAAGAGCAAACAUAACAUUGCCAAAUGGAACUAGAUUCCAUAUAAAUGACGCGUUAUAUUCUAGCAAAUCCAGAAGAAAUUUGCUCAGUUUUAAAGAUAUCCGCAGAAAUGGAUAUCAUAUUGAAACUAUGAAUGAAGAUAAUGUAGAAUAUCUUUACAUUACUUCCAUUAUAUCUGGCCAGAAGCUUAUAAUGGAAAAAUUGCCGGCUUUUUCCUCUGGGUUGUAUCAUACAACUAUAAAGCCUAUUGAAUCAUAUGUUGUCGUGAACCAGAAGUUCAACGACCCAAAAGUUUUUGUCCUUUGNNNNNNNNNNNNNNNNNNNNNNNUGGUCACAUGUUUGUCUCCUUUCUACACGUAACGUAGCCUUUGCUAGACUCCUUGCACAAAUAAUCAGAUUACGAGCACAAUUUCCAGAUUAUCCAAUUAAGACAAUACGUCUUGAUAAUGCUGGCGAAUUUACUUCUCAAACAUUCAUUAACUAUUGCAUGUCAGUAGGGAUAAAUAUUGAGCAUCCUGUUGCUCAUACUCAUACCCAGAAUGGUUUAGCAGAAUCCUUCAUCAAACGUCUCCAAUUAAUAGCUCGACCAUUACUAAUGAAAACCAAAUUACCUACUUCCGCCUAGGGACAUGCUAUUAUGCAUGCUGCAGCUUUAGUCCGUAUUCGACCUUCAACUUACCAUGAAUACUCCCCUUCACAACUUGUGCUUGGAAAACAACCAAAUAUCUCUCACUUACGAAUCUUUGGUUGUGCAGUAUAUGUACCAAUUGCACCUACACAACGCACUAAAAUGGGUCCCCAACGAAGACUUGGGGUUUAUGUAGGUUUUGAUUCUCCAUCUAUCAUAAGAUAUCUUGAACCUUUGACUGGAGAUGUUUUUACAGCCCGCUUUGCAGAUUGUCAUUUUAAUGAGAGUGUUUUCCCAUCAUUAGGGAGAGAAAAGUCGAUUCUUGAAGAACGACGAGAAAUUAGUUGGAAGACAUCUACUAUGACCCAUCUUGAUUCUCGUACAAAUCAAUGUGAACUAGAAGUUCAAAGGAUCAUUCAUUUGCAAAAUCUUGCAAAUCAAUUACCAGAUGCAUUCAUUGAUACAAAGAAAGUGACAAAGUCACAUAUCCCGGCUGCAAAUACUCCAGCACAGAUUGAUGUCCCUGUAGGACAGUUAACAAAUGAAUCUAAGAUACGCCUGAAGCGUGGUAGACCUGUCGGCUCAAAGGAUGUAACUCCCCGGAAGAGGAGAACCCAAGAAAAACUUGGCACUCUAGAAGAUGCCAUCAAAAUGACUGAUCAGUUUAAAAUUGAUAAAUCUAUAGCCCUAGAAGAGGCACAAAUAAUGCAGAAAGCCCCUGAAGAGGUAAAUAUUGAACAAGAAGCCCCCGAAGAGGCACAUAUUGAACAAGAAACCCCUGAAGAUCCACAUAUUGAACGAGAAGCCCCUGAAGAGGCACAGGUACCUGAAAAUUGUGAGAUCUCAGUAAGUUAUGUACAAACGGGAGAAAAAUGGGAUUGAAAUAAUAUUGUUAUUAACAAUAUUUUUGCUUUCCAAGUGACCUUUGAUAUCAUAAGAAAUGAUGAAGAUCCCGAACCACGAAAUGUGGAAGAAUGUCGACAUAGAAAUGAUUGGCCAAAAUGGAAAGAAGCUAUACAGGCAGAAUUAAACUCAUUAACAAAACGAGAAGUUUUUGGACCUGUAGUCCAAACACCUGAAGAUGUAAAGCCUGUUGGGUACAAAUGGGUAUUUGUACGAAAGCGCAAUGAGAAUAAUGAGAUCAUAAGAUAUAAAGCGCGAUUAGUGGCACAAGGUUUCUCGCAGAGACCUGGUAUUGACUACGAGGAAACAUAUUCUCCCGUCAUGGACGUAAUCACAUUUCGUUUCUUAAUUAGUUUGGCAGUCUCAAAAGGACUGGAUAUGCGUCUCAUGGAUGUUAUUACAUCAUAUUUAUACGGAUCCAUGGAUAAUGAUAUAUACAUGAAAAUCCCCAAAGGAUUUAAAUUGCCUGAUGCAAAUAAUACAAAGCCUCGUAGCAUGUACUCAAUCAAGUUACAACGAUCCUUGUAUGGAUUAAAGCAAUCUGGACGCAUGUGGUACAAUCGCCUUAGUGAAUACUUGCUAAAAGAAGGGUAUGUGAAUAACCCUAUAUGCCCAUGCAUCUUCAUUAAGAAAUCAGAAACCGGAUUUGCAAUUAUUGCAGUGUAUGUGGAUAACUUAAAUCUUGUUGGAACUCCUGAAGAGCUCACAAGAACAACAAAUUACUUGAAAAAGGAAUUUGAGAUGAAAGAUCUUGGAAAAACAAAAUUUUGUCUCGGCCUGCAGAUCGAGCAUUUUCCAAAUGGAAUUUUAGUACAUCAAUCAACAUACAUUAAGAAAGUUUUGAAGCGUUUUUAUAUGGAUAAAGCGCAUCCUUUAAGUUCUCCAAUGGUUGUCUGAUCACUUGAUGUGAAAAAAGACCCAUUUCGUCCUUGCGAAAAGGAUGAAGAGUUGCUUGGUCCUGAAGUACCAUAUCUUAGUGCUAUUGGUGCACUUAUGUAUCUUGCCAAUUGUACACGUCCAGACAUUGCUUUUUCUGUCAAUUUAUUAGCAAGAUACAGUUCCGCUCCAACUCGAAGACAUUGGAAUGGUAUCAAACAUAUAUUACGUUAUCUUCGCGGAACUACUGAUAUGGGUUUAUUUUACUCAAGGGAAUCAAAGCAACAAUUGCUUGGAUAUGCAGAUGCAGGAUAUCUUUCAGAUCCACAUAAAGGCAGGUCACAAACAGGGUAUGUGUUUAAUUGUAAUGGUACUGCUAUUUCAUGGAGAUCUGUCAAACAAACAAUGGUAGCCACAUCAUCAAAUCAUUCAGAAAUACUGGCAAUUCAUGAAGCAAGUCGUGAAUGUAUAUGGCUAAGAUCUAUGAUCCAACAUAUUCGGGAAUCAUGUGGACUCUCCUCUAUCAAAGGUGACCCGACAACAUUAUUUGAAGAUAAUGUUGCAUGCAUUGCACAAAUAACAGGGGGUUAUAUUAAAGGAGAUAGAACAAAACACAUUUCACCAAAAUUCUUUUAUACACAUGAACUCCAGAAGAGUGGUGAAAUUGAUGUGCAACAAAUACGCUCAAGUGAUAAUCUAGCAGAUUUAUUCACAAAAUCAUUGCCAACUUCAACAUUCAAGAAGUUAAUACACAGGAUUGGAAUGCGUCAACUCAAGGAUAUCGACAUGAGGGGGAGUAUGCUUGUAAAAGGGUGUUAGUGUACUAUACUCUUUUUUUCCUUCGUCCAGGUUUUGUCCUACUGAGUUUUACUGGCAAGGUUUUUAACGAGGCAGUCCUAAUAUGCCAAGAAAAGAAUAUUGUACUCUUUUUCCUUCGCUAGGUUUUUCCUAUAGGGUUUUUUACUAGCAAGGUUUUAAUGAGGCAUAUUCUUUUAAUAUGGUGGUCAUCCAAGGGGGAGUGUUGUAAAUGAAAAGUAAUGAAUGACCACAUUGAUGGCCAUUAUGAACUCCAUUUACUCAUCUUUAAGAUGAGUAAUGGGAGUUCAUAUUAUGAAGCCUAUAAAAGGCUUCUUACCCCCCAUGUAAAAGGAUCCCGAGAAAAGAAAGAAAACUCUUCCUCUCAUUCUCUCUCUCUCUCUUUCUUUCACUUUCUCAAUUCUCUUAUUUGAUUCCUUCUUCCAUAUUAUAUAUCAAAGUAAGAUAUAUUUUAUCUCUACUACUUUGAUUUGCAUUAUAUUUGUCCUUGUUUUACAACAAUAAAUUAUAGUUGAGUUUUUUUUUAAAAAAAAAUUGGCAUAUGCUUGUAUUACUUUGUUAGCUUGGAGGACGAAAAGCCUAUACAAAUAAUGAGUUGAAUGAAAUAAGAAGCGAGUAAAUUACAUGUAUCAAUGAAAUUGUAAUUUUUAGAUUACAGAAAUGAGUACAUGCAUUAAUAUAUAUGAAAAUAUAUAGUGAUUAUGAGAUUUGAGAAUCUAUUUAUUUUGAAUGAUGGGAAUUAAACUUCGUAAAAUUUCAAUGUAGAUCGGAAGUAAAUUUUUUUGUUACUUGAAAUAUUCACAACUUCUUUCCUGUAGUGAUGUUAUUUUGUAAUAGAACUUCCCUGGACAAUCGUUUUCAUGACUGGGAAUUGAAUUAGAGAAAAUUUUGUAGAAGAUUUUUUCAAAUUUGGAAAAAUCGCAUGUAGAAGAGUUGAAUUGGCAAGGAAAUCUACACACUCGUUGAACAGUCUAGGCCCACUUUUCCAAUCAGCCUAGCACGUUUUUUUGAAUUGAAUAACCACGGAUUGAUAUUGAUUGGAUCCAUUAUCAGUCAUUCAAUCCUAAAGCAUUCAUUUGUCAAACUCCAAGGAAUAUAGGUUUGGCCGAGUGAACAUUUCAAUACUAAACUUGUCCAAAUACAUUAAUUUGAUAUUUUUAGUAAAUAUGAUGCGCAAAAUGAAACCUACUUGGUCGAUAAUGACCUAGUGGUUAGGGCAAUCCCUCAAAAUUCAUAAAAAAAGAAGAUGCAAAUAGAAUCAAAUAGUAGUUCUUAUGUUAUUUUUUCAAAAAAUAGUUAUCGAGUCUGGAAAUGGGUAUUUUUCAUUUACGAAGCUUAAUCCUAUGGGAUUUAAUUUUCAUCGACUAGGAGAAUAAUUUGAUCCUAGCCACACCUAAUGUUAACGACUUGUUUAGGUAUUUUGAGUGAAGAGGACAACGGUUCCACACCGUGGGCCCCAAAACUGAACCAAAUCCCUCAUACUAUUCAACUACAUACUACCACUGCAUGCCAAGCCGUCUCUCUCAUACUUACCAAUUCUUUCUCUAGUCCAGAUUCUUAAACCCCAACAUUUGGGGUGACCAAUUUAUUACCUACACUCCCGAAGAAAGUUAAUUCAAUGAAAUUAUGUUUAUAUACUUAUUUGGAAGUUAUUUUUCUUAGGAUGAUAAAAUUUGCUGGUCUAGGUUACAAGUGCCUACAAAGAGGAGCAGAUUGAGGAUCUGAAAAAUGAAUUGAAAAUGGAAUUAUACAUGGUGUUGACUAUAAGAAUUUCAGUGGAUUCAAAAAGCCCCAAUUUAUACCUUAGCCGCCCCUAAUAGUUUCGGCUCUUGCUUCAUAAAUUUAGCCAAGGGACUCAUGAAAAAACUUUUUCUUUCACGUCAUCAAUCCCUUUCAUACACUACUUUCAACGUUUUUAUUUUACAUUAUCUUCAACAAUAGAACAUUUAGAAUAUCCUCUUGCGGAACAAGUUGCUCAUGCACUAAAGCAGCCCAUUAGAAAAGGUUUAGAGAGGCUAGAGGCAAGGUGGUAUAUGUCUAUCUACCAGGAUGAAACUUCGCAUGACACAACUUUACUAAAGCUGGCCAAGUUAGAUUUCAAUCUAGUGCAGUCCCUACACAAGGAGGAGCUAAGCAAUAUUGCUAGGUUUGCUUUCAAAUCACUAGCAGAUAUACCUAGUCACCUUCUCAUUUUACCAUGAGCUAAUUGUUUUAAUGAAUUUUAGGUGGUGGAAAGAAUUAGACUUUGCUACAAAGCUACCUUUUGCGAGAGAUAGAUUGGUGGAAGGCUACUUUUGGAUACUUGGGGUGUACUUUGAGCCUCAAUAUGUCCGGGCUAGACGAAUUCUAACCAAAACAAUUUCCAUGACAUCCAUUAUAGAUGAUAUAUAUGACGCAUAUGGCACAUUUGAAGAACUCGAGCUCUUCACCGAGGCCAUUGAGAGGUUUGAUUGAUGCAAAUUACCAACCUUCAUCAUUUAUACUGUAUGUGAUACUUAAAUCAAGCCUGGUUUUAUUUUCAGGUGGGAUAUUAAUAGCAUAGAUCACCUUCCAGAAUACAUGAAACACUGCUAUGUGGCACUCUUAGAUGUGUACAAAGAAAUUGAGGAAGAGAUGGAGAAAAAAGGAAACCAAUAUCGGGUUCAAUAUGCGAUAGAAGCGGUAGGACAUUCUGCAUCGACUUUGUUUUGUAUAGUAACAUAUCGUAAGGAUAUAGAUGUAACCUGAUUGAAUGUUUGACAGAUGAAAAACCUAGUUAGAGCUUAAUUUCAUGAGGCUAAAUGGUUCCAUGAAGGACGCAUACCAACAAUGGAAGAGUAUAUGAUAAUAAUAGGUUUAUCUUAGGGAAUCAAUAAUUAUUUUUGUAUGUUAUAAAGAUUACAUUUAUACUUGAAUUAUUUUUAAUUUAUUAUAUCAUAUAAAUUUUUUAUCUUAUAAUAUUGUAAAUUUUAAUUAUAUUAGGAAAUCAAUGAAUGCUUUUAUAACUAUUUAAAUGAUGUUAGUUAUGAGAUAAUUUUAUUUUAUUAUUGUUUUUUUACCUUAUUUACUUGUACCUAUUUUUUAAUAAUUUACAUAAUAUUUUUAUAAUUUUUAAAAUUUUCUAAUUAUCAUAUUUUUUUGUAUAUGACACUUAAAUCAAGCCUGGUUUUAUUUUCUGGUGGGAUGUUAACAGCAUAGAUCACCUUCCAGAAUACAUGAAACACUGCUAUGUGGCACUCUUAGAUGUGUACAAAGAAAUUGAGGAAGAGAUGGAGAAAGAAGGAAACCAAUAUCGGGUUCAAAAUGCGAUAGAAGCAGUAGGACAUUCUGCAUUGACUUUGUUUUGUAUAGUAACAUAUCGUAAGGAGAUAGAUGUAACUUGAUUGAAUGUUUGACAGAUGAAAAACCUAGUUAGAGCUUAUUUUCAUGAGGCUAAAUGGUUCCAUGAAGGAAGCAUACCAACAAUGGAAGAGUAUAUGGGGAUAGCACUGGUAACCUCAGGUUACUACAUGCUUACAACCAUGUCUUUCAUUGGUAUGGGAGAAAUUGUAACAAAGGAGGCCUUUGAUUGGGUGAUUAGUGACCCUAAGAUUAUCACAGCAUCAGCUGUAAUUUGCAGGCUCACGGAUGACAUCAGUUCAUAUAAGGUAUUGUGAAUAUAGUAUUUCUUGUUAAGCUAUAAUUUGACCUUGACCUUAAAGCUCAAUCAAUUAAACAUAUUUAUUGUACUCAUUUGUGCGAUUCUUUUUCUUGGUAUCCAUGAUUAAUUAACAAAGGUAUUGUUUUUUUUUUUUUGGAAAAAAAAAAAGAGAAGUUCAAAUUUAUUUUUUUCCUCUCUCUCUCUCUCUCUCCCUCCACACGCUCAUUAAUUUUAAUGUUAAGAUAUCAGCCCAAUUGACUUGAUUUAUAUUAACUUAAAACUUUUGUUCUAAUAGGUACCUUCAUAUAACGGUAAAGCCUUGAUUUUUAUAGGAGGUCAUGGAGGUGAACUGUGAACCUUACUGAUGUGUACCCAAACCAUACCAUUUAUUUAUAAUAUUGUCAUCAUAAUAUUUAAAUAUGGGACAUUUUAUGCAUUCAUUAUGUAGAUAUCCCUUUGUAAUAUACAUUCGUUGAGUUGGAGGAUGGUAACAUCGAUAUCCCUUUUUGUGUAAUGCAUAUCCAACAAACACACAUUGCAAUGCAUGGGAAGUUAACUUGGUGCGUUGGUGUUUAUGUAGAUGCACAAAUGCCACGCAACCAAAAACACGAGGAGGUAGAUUUGGGACAGUUGGGACAACUACGGCAUUAGUAAGAGUUUGGAGAGGUGUUUGGAAGUUAAUUGAGCUGGAAGGUACCCGAUUGAUCAAGUAUGCGGCAUGACUCGUGCCCAAUUGGUGUCUCAGCUGAUUUGUGUUCAGCUGGUGCUCCUUGAUUGAGGAAGUGAUCAACAAAAUUUAUACCUAUAACACCAUACACUAGGGUAGCAAAUACAAAGCUACUAUAGUAUAGUGGCUCUAAGGAUCGUUCACUGGGAAUGAUGAACAAGCAAUCAAGGAUACCAAUUCCAAGUGAAUUGGUUUUGUUUCAUUUCACGGUUAGCUUAAGGAAUAAAACACAAACUUUGAUUGGUAAAGGUUUAGACUUAAACUAACUAACUUAACAGAAGUUUGGAAUAAUUUAGGAAGAAAAGCAUUCCUUGGAGAAUUAGGUUCACUGGGGUGGUUCCUCAUGCAAAAGACAUAGCUCCGGUCAGAUGGUUCAUUUCCUCGCAUUAGAGAUUCAACUUAGAGUCAAUUCUCUAACCGGUGAUGUACAGAGACUCCUUCAAUUAGAUUUCACUUUAAUUCUCUCACUGAUACAACUUGCAAUGGUUCAUGCCUCUCACGAGCACUUACCAUUCAAGGUGAUCUUUAACCUUGGAUUCCCCUUCACAAACUCGCAAGAGAUAACUAAUGGAUGUCUCCUAGGAGUCCAAAAGCUUACCAAGUGUUGGUAAUUCCAGAAAAUCCUACCUUGAAGUCACCUACCAAAGGCUCGCAAGGGGUAAACUAGUGCAUUUCCACGGUUAGAAAUCACUUGCCUUACCAAGUGUUGGCCCAGGUGACUCCAAAGUGUUUUAAGUUAACUAAAAACAUUGAAAUCACUAAAGGAUUUCACUUCCUCUUCAUUACUAGCUAAAACCACAAAGCUUUGCAUUCUUGCACUUGGAACCUUCCCCGGCAACCUUAGCUCCAAGGAAUUGGAGGUUUAGUUACUCAUUCUCUGGGGAAAACUCCUCAGAGAAUUCAUAACUUAGAAAUAAAAUGAAAAUAUAAAGUGAGAAGGUAAGGCAGUAGAAAGAAAAGACUUUUACUUGCUUACCAAAAAACGAUUACAGAAGGAACUCCUCUCUGAGAACAUGCUCUCGAGAGGUAUUUAUAUUAAAGCAAUAUAAAACUAAUUCUUACACUGAUAUUUGGUCUUUUUACUAACUUAAAAACUAAGGAAUCAUGUAAUUGGUGGUUUACAAGGAGUAUUUUGGAAUUUAGACAACAAAAAUCUAAUGGAAAAUAUCUCCCAAUGUCGGUAGCAAGCUUCGGGAGGCUUCAGGAGCCAUUUCGCAGGAGAAAAGUGGUGCCUGCGAAAUUUCGCAGACACCCAAGAGGGCUGCGAAAUUAUUUCGCAAGACCAAGCUAUCUUCACCAGGCUGCAAAGUUGGCUUCCAUCUUGAAGUUUCCAGCUCCCUUCUCGCGGCAUGGUUCGUGCAUCGUCAGAAGGAGAAACACCUUACUGUACAAAAGCGUUGCGAAAAUCUCGCAACAAAAGGCUGAUUCCGCAGCACUUUAGAGUGACUGGCUUGUAAUGGCUGCAACUUCUUCGUUUCAACUCCAAAUCGCGCACCGUUUGAAGCAUUGGAUUGUUGACUUCCUGAGCUUUGAAAUGGUAUAUAGCUUGCAUCAUUUGGACUUCAGAAAGUGCUCCAAAAGUGGCUGCUACGACUGUCAUCAAGAAUAGGCUUCAUGACUGAUCCUCUUUGCUUUUUCUCCUUGCAAUCCGGAUUCACUCUUGGCAAUUGAAUUCUAAGCUUUUCCCAUGAUUCCUCAUAGCUCUCCUCAUUCUUGACUUGCUUUGGUGAUCAAAAUACUAACAAAAACACCAAAACUUGCACAAAGUGAUCAAAAUUGCUUUAAAGGAUCCUUAACAUGCCAAUUGAGUUAAAAGGCCUAAACUACUACUCAAAAGUGUUAAAAAGGAUUAAUUAAAGGCUAUCAAAUAGCACUUUUUGAGUAGUAAUCACGGCAGAUGUGAUUGCUUCUCCCCAAUAAGAUAUCGAUGUUUUUGCUGCUAUCAAGUAAGCACGAACAACCUCUAACAAGUGCCGAUUUUUUCGUUCAGCACAACCCGAGCCUUACUCUUUCAAGGGAAUGUUCCUAAGUCCUAUUGAGGAGAAGUUGUUCUUACUGCCACAUACAUGAUAAAUAGAAUUCCGUCACGAGUUUUAGAAAACAAAAGCCUCAUAGAGAUACUUAAGAGUUUCUAUCCACACUUCAGAACCUCAAAUGGGCUCACUCCUAGGGUAUUUGGGUGCACAACAUUUGUUCAUGUCCACAACCAACAUAGAGACAGCUAGACCCCCGAGUCAUAAAAUUUGUCUUUCUUGGUUACUUCAUCCACUAAAAAGGAAACAAAUGUACAUCCCNNNNNNNNNNNNNNNNNNNNNNNNNNNNNNNNNNNNNNNNNNNNNNNNNNNNNNNNNNNNNNNNNNNNNNNNNNNNNNNNNNNNNNNNNNNNNNNNNNNNUGUUACAAUCCCAUAACAAAAAUUUUUUACAUCUUUGCAGAUGUCACCUUCACAGAAAAUAAACCUUUUUUCCCAAAGUCCUCUUUUUAGGGGGAGAUUUCAAUGAUAGAAGAUAGUCCUGAGUCCUUUGAACCUCUUGACCUUCCUCAUGUCUCAACCCAUGGUGAUGAAAUACCUGAGUCAUCCGAGUCAAUCACACCUGAGUCACCCAAUUUUGCCACUAAACCCGUGUCAUCCCAUGUUCCAAGCAGUGUCACUCGCAAUUUUCCAUAGUUUCCUAAGGUGUAUUCAAGGGAAAAGGCCAUUCCAGAACAAAAGUAUGUCCAAGAAUCCAACUCAGACCCUGGGAAUGAAAUCACGCUAAGAUCAGACCCACCUUUACAUACACAACCUGGUGAAACUUCUACUAACUCAACAGACAACCUAGACCUAGACCUUCCCAUUGCUAUCAGAAGAGGCACCAAAGAAUGCACUAAUUGACCACUCUAUCCACUAUCACACUAUGUGUCUCUUAAGCACCUAUCACUAGCCCACAAAAAUUUCAUUGUGAGUCUAAACACCACUAUCAUCCCUAACACUGUUUCUAAGGCAUUGACAAAAAGGGAAUGAAAUGAUGCUAUGAGAGAGGAGAUGAGUGCAUUAGAAAAGAAUAAAACAUGGGAGAUUGUUGAAAGACCGAAAGGGAAAAACAUUGUUGAUUGCAAGUGGAUUUUCACACUGAAAUAUAAGACUGAUGGAUCUCUUGAGAGACAUAAAGCAAGAUUGGUAGCCAAAUGGUACACUCAAACUUAUGGAGUAGAUUAUCAGGAGACUUUUGCUCCAGUUGCAAAAAUAAAUACUAUGAGAAUCCUAGUCAUUGGCUGCCCACUACAAUUGGAAACUCCUAUAAUAUGAUGUUAAGAAUGCAUUUCUUCAUGAUGAUUUAGAUGAAGAGAUUUACAUGAACAUCCCCCCGGGAUUUGAGGGAAACACUGGUAAUAAGGUGUGCAAACUGAAAAAGGCCCUUUAUGGGCUAAAACAAUCUCUUAGGGCUUGGUUUGAGAGAUUUGCAAAAGUCAUGAAAGAGUCUGGGUACAAACAAAGCCAAGGUGACCACACUCUCUUCAUUAAGCACUCGGUUGCAGGGGGAGUAACUGCUCUUCUAGUCUAUGUUGAUGACAUCAUAGUGACUGGAAAUGAUGAGAGAGAAAAACAUGAAGUGAAGCAGAGAUUAGCAAUAAAGUUUGAGAUAAAGGAACUAGGGAAACUAAAGUACUUCCUUGGUAUUGAGGUGGCAUAUUCCACACAAGGGAUCUUCAUUUCUCAACAAAAGUAUGUGACUGAUUUAUUGGCAGAAACAGGGAAGAUUGGGUGUAAACCAGUCUCUACCCCCAAUGGAUCCAAACCACAAGUUGGGAAAAGCUAAAGAAAAACUAGUGUUGGAUAAAAGAAUGUACCAGAGGCUGGUUGGUAGGCUCAUAUACCUUGUUCACACUCGGCCAGACAUCGCCUACUCGGUGAGCAUGAUCAGUCAAUUCAUGCAUGAUACAAGAGAACCUCAUCUUCAAGCUGCUUAUAGGGUGCUACAUUACUUGAAAGGCAACCCCGGGAAAGGAAUUUUGUUCAGGAAGAACAAUACUCUUGCUCUAGAGCAUACACUAACACUGACUAUGCAAGUUCCUUAGUGGAUCGAAGAUCAACUACAGGGUAUUGUACUUUUCUUGGAGGUAAUCUGGUAACAUGGAGAAGUAAAAAGUAGAAUUUGGUAGCAAGAUCGUCUGUAGAAUCAAAGUUUAGGGUCAUUGCUCAAGGGUUGUGUGAACUACUUUGGCUGAAGAUUAUUCUAGAUGAUUUGAGAAUCAAGUGGGAUGGUCCUAUGAAACUCUAUUGUGAUAAUAAGUCAACUAUCAAUAUUGCUCAUAACCCUAUACUACACGAUAGGACAAAACAUAAUAAGAUCGAUAGGCAUUUCAUCAAAGAAAAAUUGGAGAAAGGAGUAGUGUGUAUGUCCUAUGUUGCAUCAGAACAUCAAUUAGUUGAUAUCCUAACAAAAGGGCUGAACAGUUCAAUGUUUCACAGUCUUGUAUUCAAGCUGGGAAUGGAAAACAUCUAUUCCUCAGCUUGAGGAGGAGUGUUGAGCUAUAAAUAGAUAGUAGAAUUAUUUUCCUAUUAUGUUAGUUUCCUAUUUAUGUAAAUAGAUAGUUUUAUUAGUUUCCUAAUUCUGUAAAUAGAUAGUUUUAUUACUUUCCUAUUUCUAUAAAUAGAUAGUUUUAUGAUUUAGGAAUAAAUUAGUUUUCUAUUAUGUCUCUUGUUUCCUAUUUCUUCUCUUGUAAUCUCCUAUAUAAACUGUGUAUGGUCAAUAUAAGAAACAAAAAUUAUUAUUUUCCAUCCCAUAUUUCGUAUCAAGAUGCAUGCCAUAAAAAUGGUAAGAUGAACAACAACAAGCCAAGCAACAAAAAAAAAAAAAAUGGAGUUUUUCCACCUUGUCCUCAUUGCAAGAAGACAAAUCAUUCUCCACAAAAAUGUUGGUGGAGACCAGAUGUGAAAUGCAACAAGUGUGGUAAACAAGGACAUGUGGAAAGGAUUUGCAAAAAUCAACAACAAAAAGAAACUAGUGCAGCAGUUGACUAUUGUCAGGAGGAGCAAUUAUUUGCAGCAACGUGUUUUGCUAAUAAAAGCACCUCUGAAAGCUAGCUUGUGGAUAGUAGUUGUACAAACCACAUGACAAAUAAUCAAGAUCUCUUUAGAGAACUUGAUAGAACAGCUAUUUCCUAAGUCAGAAUUGGAAAUGGUGAGUAUAUUCCAAUGAAGGGCAAAUGAACGGUUGCUAUCGAAAGCCAAAUAGGUUUGAAACUCAUUUAUGAUGUUUUGUUUGUGCCUGACGUUGACCAAAACUUACUCAGUGUUGGACAGCUCGUUGAGAAAUGAUUUAAAGUUUAUUUUGAAGAUAGGAAUUGCAUUAUCAAGGAAGCUGAAGGCAAAGAGGUGUUUAACAUAAAAAUGAAGGGCAAGAGUUUUGCCUUGAAUUUACUAGAAGAUGAGCAUGCUGUUGUUUUACAAUAAGAUAGAACAACAAUGCUUUGGCAUAGAAGGUUUGGGCACUUUCAUCAUGAUGUUGUGCUCUACAUGAAGAAAAAUCAAAUAGCUGAAAGACUUCCCGACUUAGAAAAAGAUCUUCCUAUAACUGCUACUUGUUAAUAUGGGAAGCAAACUAAACUUUCCUUUCCAAAGAAAACAUCCUAGAGAGCAACCCAAAAAUUGCAACUAGUGCAUACUGAUAUUGGUGGACCUCAAAAGACGUCAUCCUUGAAAGAGAAUGUAGGCAUUGUUCACCAACUCACUGCACCAUAUAAUCCACAACAAAAUAGAGUCGUGGAGAGGAAAAAUAGAACGAUUUUGGAGAUGACAAAAUGCCUUCUACAUGAAAAAGAUCUACCUAAAGUUUUUUGGGCUGAAGCUACAAGUACAGUAGUAUAUUUGCUGAACAAAUUGCCAACAAAAACGUUAAAGAAGCAGACCCCUUUCGAAGUUUGGUUUGAGUUUCUACGUGGAAGACUUGGAGUUUGCAUCUACUAAGUCAAGAAGGAGUGUUGAAUUUUGACCUAGUAUCUGCUAGAAUUUGAAUUUUGAAGUUAAAUAUUGCAGCUGGAGUCUUGCACAAAAUCUAUAACAUCCAAAUAUUUUUCUUGUUGUUAUUUGGUCAAGAUUUGGUUUCUAUUUUAUAGGAAGUAGUUGUUCAUCAUCUAGUAGCUUGAUUUUCUGCUAUUCUAAUGUCAUUUCAGUUACAAGCUCAUGUAUAAAUUCAACACUCUUCAUCAAUAAAAUGUGUGUUUCAGCAACCCAAAAUAUAUAUUCUGCAUAAGUGUUUAAAUCUUAGACCAACACAUCCUCGUCACUAGUAGUUGUGCCUCUCAGGUUACCUUUUUUAUCUCUCAGCUCAGCUCCACCUUUGCUCUUCGUGACCUUGGUUCCCUUUACUAUUUCUUUGGCAUUGGGGUUACUCAUAGUACUGAUUCUCUUCAUCUCUGCCAACAAAAAUAUGUGCAUGACUUGCUCACUCGUACUGCCAUAACUGAUGCUAAACUUGUUCUUACAUUGGGUUCCUUGGCCAAACCUCUCUCUCUCAUUGAUGGUGAUCUACUUAUAUCGCAACAUUGUUGGCGCAUUACAGUAUGUUACUGUUACAUGUCCAAACCUUUCUUUUGCCGUUAACAAGGUAUGCCAGUUUAUGGCUUCCCAACGACUACCCACUAACUAGAUGUCAAGAAUAUAAAAAGUAGUUAAAAAUAAAAUAAAAAUAUAGAUUUAAAAUAAAAAAUAAAAUAAAUAUGAAUAAUUAAAAAUUUUAAAAAUGAUAAAUAUUUUUUUUUAAAAAAAGUUUUCAAAAAAAUCUCAGAUAUUUUCAGAUAUAUCGGCAAUGUAUCCAAUAUAUCCGAUAUAUCGUCGAUAUAUCUCCAAUAUUUUGAUAGACUUCCUCUAUUGCUUCGCGCGUCGCUUCACACUCGAUUUUUUCGCUGAUUUAUCGAUUUCAAAUUAACCGAAAUGUCAACAUAUUUCGGGGAUUUUUUUGAUAUUCCUCUCGUUCGAUAAUGUUGCUUAAUAUCCUUUCAGGGUUGUCCGAUAUCCGAUAUAUUGGUGAAAUAUCAUCGAUAAAAACCGAUUUUUCAAUCCAUGCUUAAUAGUGGGUUUCCCUUUUGUUUGGCCUCUUGUAGACCCCCAUUUUGGGGCUCGGUUUUUUUUAUCUCUAUUUUCUUUGUAGGUGUCACCAUCCCAGAGAGCCAUGUGUCGCCUCUUUGGUGGUUGAUAGGGAAUCAACAUUGCUUUUCGGGGACUUAUGGUAGGUUGACACGUGGAAGAAUAUUCUGGAGAGCUGAUUUCCAUUAUGGGGGAGCAUAUGAGAGAGGAUAUUCUACAGGCAUUUUGAUUCUCACAUGUGCAUGAUCACCUUGAGUAUUCAUUGAUUUUGGCAUCAAUUGUCACAUAAACUUCAUUUUAUUAGUAGAGACCCGACUUUAAGGACUUAGAGGGGUGCUACGGUCUUUACCGUACCUUCCCGAUAAAUAAUUUGACCCCCGAACUCGAUCCGGUUUUUCACGGACCACCUUUUCCAAAUAAGGAGUCACACUUAGGAUUUUCUUUCUUAUUUUAUUUACCCUUUAAAAAUAAAACAAAAUUAAGUGGCGACUCCAAGUCAUUUUUUUUAAUCAGUAAAAUCAUUUUCAAAAUAAAAAUCGAGCUCACUAUCGAGUGAAAAACGCAUUAGCCGAAAUACGGGGUCCACACCUCUAUUUAUUUAAAAAAAAAAAAAAAAAUCCUUUCCCAUUCUAUGGCCUUGAGUGAGCAUUAUGUAUUUCAACUAUUUUGACAUGUUCAAAAUAAAUUACUAAGAAUUUAAAGGGAAUUUGUUCGACAAGUACUUUUUUUUUAACAUAUUUAUUUAUACAUUAUUUAGUUUAGGUUGCAUUAUUCUAUGUAAAUAAUUUAUUGGGUAUGGGAAUUACUUUUAUAAAUGGCUGAGUAGAUUCAAUUUUAGAUAUUUAUUUAUUGAGCAUGAAAAUUAUUUAUUAAAACAUGGUUUAACGACCAUGCGAUGGAAUCAACCUGUUAAAAAAAAUAAACUAAUACUAUAUUAUUUUAACUUAAAUUAUUUCUUGAUUGUAGCAAUGUUGAAAAAACAAAUAUCAAUAAAAGACUAACCUUAACGGGAAAAUAGUAAUUAACAUAAUUUUAUAUUGACUUGUAAAAUUGGGUCAACAUAUAAAUAUAUUAAUUGUAACAAGAAGACCUACAUUGAUAAUGAAACGUCAAUAUUAGUCUAUAUUGCCAACUUUGAAAUAUUAAUAUAUGUAUAUAGCAGAUGUUUUCAUGAUUAGGAAUUAGAGAAAAUUUUGUAGAAGAUUUUUCCAAAUUUGAAAAUAACUAUGGAAGAAAUUCAACUUAAACACGUUUCUUUGUGGAAGAGUUGCAUUGGCAAGGAAAGCUACACACAUUCAUUGAACAGUCUUAGGCCCAUUUUUCCAAGCAGCCUAGCAAGUUGUCUGAAUUAAACCCCUAUGGAUUGAAAUUGAUUGGAUCCAUUACCCGUCAUGCAUUCAAUCCCAAAGCGUUGAUUAUUCAAACUCUAUGAAAUAUAGGUUUCGCUGAGUAGAGGAGUUCAAAUACAUUAAAUCGAUAUUUUAAGUAAAUAUAAUGUGGAAAAUGAAACCUACUAGAUCGAUAAUGACCACAUUACAAACCGAUCUCCAGGCUAGUUAGGGCAAUCCCCUCAAAAUUCAAAAAAUAAUUAAGUAAAUAAAAUGUAAUUAUUAAUAUUUUUAAAAAGUAGUUAUGGACUCGAAAUGGGUAUUUUUUAUAUAUGAAGUUUAAUCAAGUAGUAGUUCUUAUCCUAGCCACACCUAAUAUUAACAACUUGUUAGGAUAUUCUGAUUGAAUUUAGCCAAAGAGACUCUAGAAGGCCAAUAUUUUUCUUAUCAUCACUCUCUUCCGAGCACAACUCUUCCACACCAUGGGCCCCAAAACUAAACCAAAUUCCACAUACUUUUUAACUACAUACAGCCACUGCAUUCCAGGCUGUCUCUCAUACUCACCAAUUCAUCACUGAAGGUAUAGGACUGUUCUAUCAUUGUUCCAAGUAAUUGGCAUCUCUACUCAAGUCUCAGCAUGUUCCCUAGCCCAAAUUUCUAAACCCAAAAAUCACCCUGUGGCAAGCUUGAAGGUAAUUCAAUGAAAAUAUGCUUAAAGCUCAACGGCUAAUUUACUUAUUUGGAAGUCAUUUUUCUUUAUGUGUUGGAUGAUAAAAUUUGUUGGUCUAGGUUACACGUUCCUGCAAAGAAGAGCAGACGGAGGAUCUGAAAAAUGAAUUGAAACUGGAAUUAAUACAUAGUGUUGAUUAUAUAUUGAUGGAAAUUAGUUUAAAGUUGGAUAUAUUAAUUACUUAGGGAUGUUUGGUAAAACUUAAUACUUAUUAUUUAAUUAUUUGAGUUGACUUUAAAUUAAAUUAUACUUAAAUUACUGACUUAAAACUUAUUAUUUUAAGUAUUAAGAUAUAAAAUUAACUUAAAGUUUAUUUAAAAUCAUUAAGUUGACAUAUUUAUUCUUAUAAAUUAUAAUUAGAAUAGAAAAGGUUGAGUAACAAUAGAACUUAUAGAAUUGUAAAAGAGAUCAUGAAGGUAAUUAAGACAAAUAAAGAUAAAAAGAUAAAAUAAAAAUAUAGAAUUAAAAAUAAAUUAAUUAUUUUUACUUAUUAUUUAAAGUUAUUUUUUACUUUAAAUCAUAUUAUUAAGUUAUUUUAUUAAAUAUACUUAAUUUACUUAAUGACUUAAAUUAAGUUAUUAAAUCAUUUUAAGUUAUUAAAUUGAUUAAUCAAAUUCCUACUUAUUGAAUACAAAUAUAGAAGGAAAUUAGGAAAGCAAAGUAGAUGGGUUAUUAGGUGAAAGCUUAUCAAAUCCGCCUAUCAACAUAUCACACUUUUACCAAAAACCCACCUCAUGCCAAGCCUAUAAGUUGUCAAGUCCUUAUGAUCCAACAACUUUCUUAUGGUUCCCACACGGGUUUCUAUUGUUAUCAAAACAAAAAGUUAUAAUAAAAUAUAUAUAUAUAUAUAUAUAUAUAUAUAUAUAUAUAUAUAUAUAUAUAUAUAUAUAUAUUAUAAUUCAUAGAUAAUCUGACAAUUAAAUAAAAAGAUAAACUCAUUUGUGGAAUAUAAUUAAUAAAAAAAAAAAGAGAAGUGUUAAGAGUUUUAAAUUAUUAUUAUUUUAUUAACAAUUUUAUUAUAUUUUCAUUUUAACUUAAGAAUCUAUUGAAAUAGUGACUUACUCUCUAUUAAAGAUUCAAAGUUAUUUUUCAAUCAAUCGAACUAUCAGGUAAGUAUGAAAAUGAUCGAGUAAAGACAAGUUAAUUGUCACAAAUAAGUGUGAAAAGGAUCGAGUAAAGACAAAGGGUUGAAUUGAAAAUUUUAAUUUGCAUAAAAUGUUUUAAUUAAUUUGAAAAGAAUUUUAAAUUGAGAAUUUGAAAAAAAAAAUUCCAAAUAAUAAAAAUAAUUUGGAAAUGAAUUUUAAAUUAAGGAUUGAAAAUUUAAAAUUUGUAAAAGGAAAAUUUUUAUAAAUCUUUUCUAAUUUUAAAUAUGAAAUAUUUCCAAAUCUUUUUAAAACUCUUAAGUUUCUAAAUUGUUUUCCAUAAAAUAUAAUCUUUAAAUUAAUUGCAACUAUAUAAAGUUUUCUCCUAUAUAUAUCCUACCUAAAUGUAUAUUUGAUGAGGGUCUGACUUGUUUUUCCAUUCUUAAUCUCUAAAGAAAGAAUUCAUUACAAGUACCUACAUCCCUUCAUAAGCUUAGAGGAGUUAGAGCAUUUGGAGGUACUACAUUGUGGAUGUGGAUUAAGGUGUAGGUGCUAGCUAGUUAAUCAUUAAGGUAAAACGGUUAUUAAAUAUGUGUACUUUAAUUUCAAAUAGUGGAUUAUAAAGGGAGAAUUAUGUUUUGGGGGUAGAUGGGCCCCCAAAUUAACAAAAGGUCCAUGUAACUCUUUAAAUUGAGCCCAAGACCCAAUAAAAGUAUGAAAAUUGAGUUGAAGGAUAUCAUCCUUCAGUAUUUCCAAAAAUGUCAUUUGUUGAUUUUGAGAAAAAAAAAUUAAUAUUUUUGAAAAAUACUUUUAUAUAAUUUAAUAUUUUUUAUUUAAUUUAAUAUUUUUAAAAAAAUACUUUUAUGUAAUUUAAUAUUUUUUUAAAUACUUUUAUUUAAUUAAAUAUUUUUUAAAAAUAAAUUUAUUUAAUUUAAUAUUUUAAAAAAAUAUUUAAUUUAAUAUUUUUUAAAAUACUUUAAUUUAAUUUAAUAUUUUUGAAAAAAAAUUAUUUAAUUUAAUAUUUUUGAAAACUACUUUUAUUUAAUUUAGUAUUUUUGAAAAAAAAUUAUUGAAAAAAAAAUAUUUAACUUAAUUUUAUAAAAUAUUUUAUAUGUGUUCUUAAAGGGUAUACUUGUCCGUUACUAUUUCAUAUCCUUCAACUCAAUUUGAAGAGUUAUAUGGACCUUUUGUUAAUUUGGGGACCCAUCUACCCCCAAAACAUAAUUCUCCCGAUUAUAAAUUAGAGGUUUUAAAUCUUGUGAUUUUUUAUGCCCACAAUUAGCAUUGAUAUUUUCAAAUUAAAAUUUCUUGUGUCCCUUAUUUGAUUAUUUUUAUUAUUUUGAUCUUUAAUUAUUUUGAUUAUCCCUAUUAUCUCUUAGUUUAAAUUGAGUUAAUAUUAUUUAACUCUUAUAUUAUUAUCUUUAAAAAUCACCCCACUCUCAAUGUCAUCCUCUUGGACAAAAGCGUAUAUAUAUAUAUAUAUAUAUAUAUAUAUAUAUAUAUAUAUAUAUAUAUAUAUAUAUAUAUAUAUAUAUAUAUAUAAUUCACAAAUCUUGAAAAUAUAUUUAAUAUUAAAAUAUCAUUCCAUGUAAUUUGGAAGUAUUCAAAGAUGUAAAAGAUAUGAUAAUAUAUGUAUAAUUAUUUUUUAUUUAAAAAUCUUAAUAAUUACAUUUGCAACUUUAUUUUGUCCUCAUUAUUUAAUUAAUAUACAAAAAGAUAUGGGAAUAGAAUUAUCAAAAGAAUUGUCAUAAUAAAGCUUUAUAUUCUUAAUAAUAAGUUAAAUUAAGGUGGCAUUUAUUUAUUUUUACUUAAAUCUAAAUGAAAAUUAAUUUAACUUAAUUGUAAAUAUAACUUAAUAGAAUUAAUUAUUAUAUUUUUUUGUUUUUUAUAAUUUUAUUUUUGUUAAGCGUUAAAUAUUAAUUGGGUGAGAGUCCUACUAAGGUUGUGCUUUGACUGAUUCAAAAAAUUAUUUUUAGUAAUGAGCAAAAAGUUAAAUAUUUUACUUUUAUCUAUUCAUUAAAAAAAUCUUAAAAAUUAAAUUUUUUUUUUGUUUUAUUCAAAAUAGUGAAUGGAGUUUGAGUCGAAUUUUAAUUAUUUGGUAAAAUAAUAAAAUUAGUUUUUUAUUUAAAAGAAAAAAUAAAGGUAAGUCAAAGAUAUAAAGAUAAUUAUUUUAUUUUAAAUAAGAAAGAUUCAAAAAAAAAAAAAAAGAUAAAUGAGCUACAAAUUUUAGGAUUAAUUGAUUAAAAUGGAUGAAAAGAUUUCAAAUUUGUAAAACUAAUCUCUUCCAUUUUUUAACUUGAAAGUAACACUUGUUUGACAUAAAUACCCUUUAACAUUUUCAUUAUUUACAUAUGUAUUUUAAAAGAAAAUGUUAUUUUUGUAAGAAAAAAGUGAGAGUAUUCUUAUGUAUUUUUUGGAUGAAAAAAAAUGGUUUGCAAUUUGAUAUUUCUUUCGUCCUUUUUAAUCGGUUAUCCCCAAAUUUUUUUUACGGAAAAUACAAAUUCUAAAAAUAUUUGGUUUUAUUGCUAUUUUUAAAUUUAAAUAUAUUUUUACCUUAAUUAUAUUUUUAUUUCAAAAUAAUUGAUGAUGAUUUAGUUGAAUUCUAACAUUUAAUGGAGUUUUAGUUGAAUUCUAACACUAUAAUAUAAAGUGACCCGAUAAAAUUAUAAAAUCAAUUUUAUUUAAAAAUAAAUAAAGUUGAGUUAAAAAUAGUAUUAAAUGAAUUAAAAUUUAAAAAUAAAAAUGAAUAGUUUUACCUUAAAUAAAAAAUAUUAAAAGAAAAAAUAAUUAGAUAGAUAGGCUUUAAAUUUUAUUAAGAGAAACAUAAUUUUUUUUAAAAAAAUUGUUUUUAUUUAUUUUCAAUUUUAAAAUUUUAUUUCUAUUUUUUAUUUAAAUGUAUUGUCAAAUUUUAUCUAAAAAUAGUUAAUAGAGUUUUGGUUGAAUUUUAAGACUAUAAGAUAAGCGAAUAGUUGAAAUUAUAAAAUGAAAUUUUUUAUUAAAAUGAAAAGAAAGUUAAGUUAAAGAUACUAUAAAUUAUGAUUAGAAGAAUGAAAAUCAAUAUAAAAAAAAAGUGGUUUUAUCUUAAAUUAGAAAUACUAAAAAAAAAAAAAAGGAAUAAUGUAUUGAAAAAUAUAACUGUGGUAGAAGAGCAAUGACUAUGCUCUUUUGAAUACCCUAGUUUAUGUUCAUUUUUUAAAAUUUAAAAAGAAUAAACAUCUUUUAGAUAUUAACAAAAAUAAAUUUAAAUAGAUUCUUAACAUAAAACCUAAAAAACAUUUGUUGUUGGCCAAAAAAUCCAACUAUGAGCCCUUUUAUGACAAGUGAAACUUCCAAAUCUUCUGAAGAGUUUUUUAUCUUAGUAUUAAAAUCUAAAAGCAGAAUAUUUAUACUAUGAGUUGCCUUUUUAACAACUAAUUUAUUUUAUUUAAUGUAAUAAUAUACAUUAAUAUAAAUUAUAGUUGAGUUUUUUUAUAAAAAAAAAUUGGCAUAUGCUUGUAUUACUUUGUUAGCUUGGAGGACGAAAAGCCUAUACAAAUAAUGAGUUGAAUGAAAUAAGAAGCGAGUAAAUUACAUGUAUCAAUGAAAUUGUAAUUUUUAGAUUACAGAAAUGAGUACAUGCAUUAAUAUAUAUGAAAAUAUAUAGUGAUUAUGAGAUUUGAGAAUCUAUUUAUUUUGAAUGAUGGGAAUUAAACUUCGUAAAAUUUCAAUGUAGAUCGGAAGUAAAUUUUUUUGUUACUUGAAAUAUUUACAACUUCUUUCCAGUAGUGAUGUUAUUUUGUAAUAGAACUUCCCUGGACAAUCGUUUUCAUGACUGGGAAUUGAAAUAGAGAAAAUUUUGUAGAAGAUUUUUUCAAAUUUGGAAAAAUCGCAUGUAGAAGAGUUGAAUUGGCAAGGAAAUCUACACUCAUUGAACAGUCUAUGCCCACUUUUCCAAUCAGCCUAGCACGUUUUUUUGAAUUGAAUAACCACGGAUUGAUAUUGAUUGGAUCCAUUAUCAGUCAUUCAAUCCUAAAACAUUCAUUUGUCAAACUCCAUGGAAUAUAGGUUUGGCCGAGUGGACAUUUCAAUACUAAACUUGUCCAAAUACAUUAAAUUGAUAUUUUUAGUAAAUAUGAUGCGCAAAAUGAAACCCACUAGGUCGAUAAUGACCUAGUGGUUAGGGCAAUCCCUCAAAAUUCAUAAAAAAAGAAGAAGCAAAUAGAAUCAAAUAGUAGUUCUUAUGUUAUUUUUUCAAAAAAUAGUUAUCGAGUCUGGAAAUGGGUAUUUUUCAUUUACGAAGCUUAAUCCUAUGGGAUUUAAUUUUCAUCGACUAGGAGAAUAAUUUGAUCCUAGCCACACCUAAUGUUAACGACUUGUUUAGGUAUUCUGAGUGAAGAGGACAACGGUUCCACACCGUGGGCCCCAAAACUAAACCAAAUCCCUCAUACUAUUCAACUACAUACUACCACUGCAUGCCAAGCCGUCUCUCUCAUACUUACCAAUUCUUUCUCUAGUCCAGAUUCUUAAACCCCAACAUUUGGGGUGACCAAUUUAUUACCUACACUCCCGAAGAAAGUUAAUUCAAUGAAAUUAUGUUUAUAUACUUAUUUGGAAGUUAUUUUUCUUAGGAUGAUAAAAUUUGCUGGUCUAGGUUACAAGUGCCUACAAAGAGGAGCAGAUUGAGGAUCUGAAAAAUGAAUUGAAAAUGGAAUUAUACAUUUUCAUGGACAAGGGAAAGGAACAAGGGAAAGUUGUGUUUUCAUGGACCAAUAUGGUAAUAAUAUUGUUUUUGGAACCCAGGUUUGUGAAAGUAGAAAAACAUCUGUUAAUGUGAAACUUAUAUCAGAUUCAUGCACUUUGAGCCGGUUAUAUUUUUUCUACAUAAAAAAUAAAAAUAAAUAAAAUACAAAAUAAAUCUAUUAGAAGGCGUCUGUCUAUUCUCUGCACCCUCACCGCCAAAGAGUAGAUGAGUUGGCGAGUGUGUUCGCUCCGGAGUCUUUACGCGCCGAAGAUGCCUCUUCUCCGAUCACCUCUGUUCUUCUUUGUUUGAAGCCGCCGACUGUUCGGUACCACGUGCUCCGUUUCGGGCACUAAGAAGAAGAACAAGGAGAAGGUGAUAGUGAUAUCCGGUCCCACCGGCGUCGGAAAGAGUAGGCUUGCAUUGGAGCUGGCGAAGCGCGUCAAUGGAGAAAUUAUCAGUGCGGACUCGGUCCAGGUAAGGCACCGAGUUCUUUUACCGUUUUCCUCUUGGAUUGCCCUCUGUUUGGUUGCCGAGAAAGAAAGGGAAGGACAAUGGGAAGGGAAUUAUGUCUUGUGUUGUUGAUUUGGGUGUUUAGGUUUUGUUUUUUGUUUUCUUGUUUGUUUUUUUUUUUUUCUCUUUCAUUUGUUUGGUUGCUGAGAAAAUAGAGGAUUCAGUCUUCUUUAGAAUGUUCUAUGCUUCUGUUUUUCAAUAGGAAGCUAAUGUUUAUGAAAAUUGUGACGAGGGGCUCAUGGAGAUAUGAUAAUGUUGGAGAAAAGUAGAUAAUCUAUAUAGAAAGUUCAAAACUUCAAGCAAAGUUACUCAAGGGACUAAACCUUUAGCAACAAUUUCUCCCAAGUAUUUUGUUGGUUAGUUACUCAAAAAGGUAAUUUUUUUAAGGGGGAAGAAAAUGACAAUUUGCAUUUUAUUUUUUGGUGAUAGGCAAAUGAGAAAAUAUUUAAAAGCUCCUAAAAGGAGCUGCAACAACUUACAGAUGAUGUAUACAGUAGUCACAUAGUUUAGUCAAGAAGAAGAUAAACAAAAGAAAAAUCCUCUCCUUACUCAAAACUUAUCCAAUCUACAAAGUCUAUCAUAGAUAUUGAGUGGUCCACCUUGUACAUUCUAACCCAAUUUACAAAGUAUAUAUAAAGUCGGAUUUGAUUGCUUGGUUUGACUGCUUAGCUUCAUUCAAAGCUCUCCCUUUUUUUUUUCUUCCAAAGAGUAGAAAAAAAGCAUAAGGGUAUAGUCCUCCAGCAUUUUUUUCAUUGCUUCCCCAUGGAAGAGCCAUGCAAACCCAAAAGGAUCCUUCUACUGAAAAACACAUCCCCAAAACCACUCCAAAGAGAAAAGGAUCAACUACCAAACAUAAUUGCUUUGGCACAGUAGAGAAGCAAGUAAUCUGUCAUUUCUUCCUCGCAUUUGCACAAAUAAACUUAUUAAGCAGAGUCCAUACCAUCUUUUUGGUGCCCAUGUGCUCCACACUACACCUGUUGGGAAAGCUCUCUAUCUCCCUUGGCCAAGGAAGAUUAAAGGGAUCUAAUUGAAAAAUUGCUGCUCUUGGACUCAUUUCAUCUCAAUUCGCCCUCCUUUUCCUUUUUAAUUGACAAUGAUUGCAAAUUCAAUUGGAAAAUCUCCACUUCAUCAAGCUCUCAAUCAUUAAACUGUCUUGAAAAGUGGUGGCUCCAUCCACCCUCUUUCCCAACUUGGUCCCACUCCUCCGCUACCCAUCCAUCUCUGUUGGAUGCAAUAGAGAAUAAGUUAGAGAAGACUUGCUUUUUAUUCCCUUCCACUCAUUUUUUAUGGUUUUCCACACCUCCACUCCAUACCCUUCUCUCAUCCUUCUUGAAGACCACCUGCUUCCUCUUCUCCGAACUUUCCUAUUAUGAUUUGUUUUGAUAAGGACUCCUUGUUAGUAACAAAUCUUCAAUCCUACUUACCAAGCAAGGCCUUGUUAAAGGUUGAAAGAUUGUGAAUACCAAGAUCCCCUUCCUUCCUUGCCAAGUAGACUGUAGUCUAAUCAAUAAAAUGAGGUCUUUUCUCUAGUGCACCUCCUCCUCAUAAAAUGUUUCUUUGGAUCUUCCUGAGUCUUGAAUUGACCUUUCUUGAAAUGACAAAAAGGAUAUAUAAAUUGGAAGGCUUAAUAAUGUGCUUUUAUCAAGGUAAGUCUCCCUUCGAAAUGUAUGGGUGGUAUGGAGUUAUCAUUAAGGUAUGCCUAGCAAUUUUUUUUUUUAAACCAUGUACAGACUCCAGCUACUGCUGCAACUAGUGCUCAAUGAACGCAACAGUGUCAGAGAUACAAUUCUGGCCGCAUGCCAUUUGUGACUUCAUAGUUCAUGAUAAGUUUCUUCCUAUCUGCUGCUACAUACCAAAAUGACCAAGGGUUGAUUCUAGUUUGUCCAAAAUUUAUUAAUUCAUAUCAUGUUGUGUGCUGAUGUGAUUUGUUCCAAUUGUAAAACCAUUAUUUAUGUUCUAUAUGUGAUGUAUCUGAUGAAGUAUUCCACUUCCCAUUGUAACAGUGGCAGUUGGGUUAUGCUGAAUAUGAGGACUUUAUGUACAAGAAUGACCAACAUGUAAGGGAAAGGAAGAGUACCUGGUGAUGCUGCUGCUGGAGCAUAUGGGACGCAGUAACAACAGUGUAAUAGGGCUGUUCAUUUUUCCUUCAAUAUUGUAAAGGAAGGGAGUAGGAACAUGGACAACACUCAGUAUUUGUUCUUUUAUUAUAGUUAAGGGUGCUGGUUAGUGUUGUAUUGGCGAUUGAUUGGACAACAACUAUGAUUGUAAGAUGUGAUCCAAAGUGAUAGGUUUAUUAUGGGGUAUGGUACUAAUUUCAUAAGAGAACAACAAACAUAGACUGUAACUUAUUUGUUUGUACACUGAUGCAGUUUCAGUUUAUCCUUCUAUACUCACAUUAGUAAAUUGUUUGACGGCUUUCCUUUCAUAUUUAGUUAUUGUGUAAGCUUUUACAUAGCAUCUUCUAUUAAUGUUAUUGGUAAGUUGGGAGGUUUGUUUGGUUUGAUUUACUACAUUAGAAACAGUUUGCUGGUAUACCAAUAGUUUGCAAUGGCGCCCUUCAAAUCCUGAUCUACCGGGGUUCAGGACUAUUGCUCAUCCUCAUUGGCAAGGGCUACUCAGGGUUCCUAAAUGAUUGUGCAUUUUGCUAAUUUUGUGUUUCAAACCAUGUACAGGUUGUUAUAGAAAAAAUAAAUGUGGUAGAAAACCAAUAAAUAUUUGCUUCGCAUGAUCACCUUCCAUAUCCAACCAAAACCAUCAUAACUUGACAUAACCAGAAAAAUGAGAAAACAACAGUAUGAUUAAAUAAAUACUGAGGGUGAAAAAUUGUCGGGAGAGCAAAAUUUAUCGAAUAUGGUUUAAGAUAGUGUCAUGCUGCAAUAAGUAAUGAAAUUAACUAAUAAAAAUCUGAAGCCACAGAAUGGCUACAUUUCUCGCAGGUGCGUUAAGGUAAUACUUGAGGUACAUUAAGGUAGUACCUGAAGACCAUUAAGGUAGUACCUUAUGUGCAUUAACGCAGUACCUGACAUUUCUUAUGAUUACAUAAGGUAUAGUUGGAGUAACCUAUAAGAACAUAACAAUGUCAUGCUGUAAUAGGUAAUGAAAUUAACUAAUAAAAAUCUGAAGCCACAGAAUGGCUACAUUUCUCGCAGGUGCGUUAAGGUAGUACCUGAGGUACAUUAAGGUAGUACUUGAAGACCAUUAAGGUAGUACCUUAUGUGCAUUAAGGUAGUACCUGAAAUUUCUUAUGAUUACAUCAGGUCGAUGGAGUCACCUAUGACAACAUAACAACGUCAUGCUACAAUAGGUAAUGAAAUGAACUAAUAAAAAUCUGAAGUCACAUAAUAGCUACAUUUCUCGCAGGUGCGUUAAGGUAGUACUUGAGGUACAUUAAGGUAGUACUUGAAGACCAUUACGGUAGUACCUUAAGUGCAUUAAGGUAGUACCUGAAAUUUCUUAUGAUUACAUAAGCUACCGAUGGAGUCGCCUAUGACAACAUAACAACGUCAUGCUACAAUAGGUAAUGAAAUGAACUAAUUGUGUUUGAAGUCAUAGAAGAGCUACAUUUCUCGCAGGUGCAUUAAGGUAGUACCAGAUGUACAUUAAUGUAGUACCUCAGGACCAUUAAGGUAGUACCUGAGGUGCAUUAAGGUAGUACAUGAAAUUUGUUAUGAUUACAUACGCCACCGAUGGAGUAACCUAUGAGAACAUAACAAUGUCAUGCUGCAAUGUGUAAUGAAAUGAACUAAUUGUGUCUUAAGUCACACAACAACAACAUUUCUCAAAUAUGCACUAAGAUAGUACCUGAUGUACAUUAAUAUAGUACCUCAAGACCAUUAAGGUGGUACAUGUUUUGCAUUAAGGUAGUACCUGAUGCGAUGAAACAAUUAUGUCUUCGUUGACAAAAGAUGUACACUACAAAUUCCAACAAACAUUACAAAUUCACAAACACUAACAACAAUUUCUACUAACCAACACAUAAUUUAUGCAUUUUAAUUUUUAUUAUUAUUAUAAUUUUUAUUUUUAUUCUCAAUAUAUAUGAUUGAAUUAUCAAGUUUUUCGUCAAUAUAUGAUAUUGCCUAAUUAUAUUCAUCAAUCUGAAUAAAUACAUAAGUUUUCCACCCAAUUUCUAAAUAUGUCCACAACAUUUUUCCAUUUCAUGAGUCUCCAAUACACAAAAAUAUUGAGAUCGAACAACCGCUCAUGCUAUCCAAAAUCGACAUUUGCCUCAACCUAUGCCCUCACCAAUGGAGGAAAAAUUGCAAAUACAACAACCACUCGAAAAUCACUCUUCUGCUCCAUUUUAAACAAAAAAAUUAUUAAAAAAACAACCCUAAAUACAAAUUAAUUACCUUCACAUUUGAUGUGAAGGUUACAGAAAAAUGUGAUCCAAUGAGAAGAACACGAGAUUUCUUCUUCAUGAACCCAAUAUAUCAGAGUUGUCGUUUCCAUUCUGAUUCGCUAUCCUAAACCAGAUUUUCAGUCAACACGUACCCGCCUCAAGCCGUCUUCUUAACUCGACCUUGUUUCAAUGAAGUGCUCCAUUUGGUUCUUCACAAUUACCACAGGCAACAAAAAUUUUGAUUCAGGUUUUCAAGUAAAGGUUUAUACUUUCAAAUGUGUGAAAUUUUGCAAAUUUUCACACCCUCUUCGAUCCGGAGGGGUGACGAAAUUGGGAUGAUCGGGUCCAAAUGGUUAGGACUUUGAGAGGAGAAGGGGCUGAAGAUAGAAAACUAGAUUGGAGUUUGGGAUUAAAGGCUUCAGAAAUUAAAUGAGAGAAAUUGUUGAAAUAUACAAGAUUCUCUGCUUUGCCUCGGUGACGGAGUGAAGACAGAUGAGAGGAAUGGCUGACAAAAUGAGAGAGAGGGAAGAAAGAACGGCUGAACGCUAGGGUUUUCUUGUGGGAACCUCUGCUUCGCCUCCAUGACAGAGUGUAGAAAGAUGAGAGGAAUGGGUACCAAAUGAGACAGAGGGAGGAACAACGGUCAGUCGCCUAGGGUGUUUUUUGGUGAGAUGGGCUGCUGACGUGGAUACCUGGAGGGGCAAGCUCGGUAGAAAAAACACAGCCGACUCAGAGUGCAUGAAUCUGAUAUAAGUUUCCACAUUAACAUAUGUUUUUCAUCUUUCACAAACCUGGGUUCCAAAAACAAUAUUAUUACCAUAUUGGCCCAUGAAAACACAACUUUCCCUUUUUUAUAUUAGUAUUAAAAUCUAAAAGCAAAAUAUAUAUAUAUAUAUAUAUAUAUAUAUAUAUAUCAUGAGUUACCUUUUUAAUAACUUAUUUAUUUUAUUUAAUGUAAUAAUAUACAUUAAUAUAAAUUAUAGUUGACUUGAGUUUUUUUUUUCUUUUUCUUUUUUAAUUUGGCAUAUGCGUGUAUUACUUUGUUAGCUUAGAGGACGAAAAACCUAUACAAAUAAUUAGUUGAAUGAAAUAAGAAGAAUGAAAUUGUAAUUUUUAGAUUACAAAAAUGAGUACAUACAUUAAUAUAUAUGAAAAUAUAUAGUGAUUAUGACAUUUGAGAACCUAUUUAUUGGAUCCAUUAUCAGUCAUUCAAUCCUAAGGCAUUCAUUUGUCGAACUCCAUGAAAUAUAGGUUUGGCCGAGUGGACAUUUCAAUACUAAACUUGUCCAAAUACAUUAAAUUGAUAUUUUUAGUAAAUGUGAUGCGCAAAAUGAAACCCACUAGGUCGAUAAUUGCCACAUUACAAACUGAUCUGCAGGCUAGUUAGGGCAAUCCCUCAAAAUUCAAAAAAAAAAAAAAAAAAAAAAAAAGAAAUAAAAAAGUGAAGCAAAUGUUAUUUUUUCAAAAAAUAAUUAUCGAGUCUGGAAAUGGUUAUUUUUCAUUUACGAAGUUUAAUCCUAUGGAAUUUAAUUUUCAUCGACUAGGAGAAUUAUUUGAUCGUAGCCACACCUAAUCUUAACGACUGUUCCACACUGUGGGCCCCAAAACUAAACCAAAUCCCUCCUGCUAUUCAACUACAUACAACCACUGCAUGCCAAGCUGUGUCUCUCAUACUUACCAAUUCUUUCUCUAGUCCAAAUUCCUAAACCCCAACAUUUGGGAUGACCAAUUUAUUACCUACACUCCUGAAGACAAGGUAAUUCAAUGAAAAUAUUUGGAAGUUAUUUUUCUUAAUUUGUUGGAUGAUAAAAUUUGUUGGUCUAGGUUACAAGUGCCUACAAAGAGGAGCAGAUUGAGAUCUGAAAAAUGAAUUGAAAAUGGAAUUAUACAUAGUGUUGACUAUAAGAAUUAGGUAUGCACAAAAUGACAAGGGACUCAAAAUUGGAUACAUUAAAUAAAAGGAAAAAGAAAGAAAAAACCCCAAUUUAUACCUUUUCCUUUCACGUCAUCAAUCCCUUUCCCUUUCACGUCAUCAAUCCCUUUCAUACAUUACUUUCAACAUUAUUGUUUUACAUUAUUUUCAACAAUAUACAAUUUCUGAAGGCCAUUGCUACCCUAUUAAUGCAAUGGAGCUUCCCAAGCUUUUGCACUCAUACUUACCAAGUCAGCUUUCAAAGUAGUGUUCUACUACCGUUCCAAAAAAUUAUCAUGGCGAGUCAAGUCUUAUCAAGCCCUCUAGGCCAAUUUUCUAAACUGGAAAAUCGUCCAGUGGCCAAUUAUCACCCUACCAUUUGGGGUGACCAGUUCAUAUCCUACACUCCUGAAGACGAGGUAAUUGAAUUAAAAUAUGUGUUAAAUCUUAUAUGGCUUAUAAAUGCCUAUAUAUUCGAAAGUUGCUUUUCUUAAUGUGUUGUUUAGUAAAAUUACUUGGUUGCCACAGGCAACACGUGCCUGCAAAGAGAAGCAGGUUGAAGAUCUGAAAGAGGAAAUUUGAAGGAAGCUAAUGAAUGCAGCUGGUAACACUUUCCAACAGCUGAAAUUUAUCGAUGCUGUGCAACGUCUUGGGGUGGCAUACCACUUUGAAAGAGAGAUAGAAGAAGUGUUACAACAUAUUUAUGAUAGCUAUCCUGAUGGUGAUGAUAUGGAAGGUGAUAUCUAUAAUGUUGCUCUUCAAUUUCGGUAACUAAGGCAAGCUGGGUUCAAUAUUUCAUGUGGUAAGAGCCCAAAGAAUGAUCAUGUGUGAGCUAAAAUCCAUCCUUCUCAUAAUUCCAAUCUUAUGUUUAAAUUAUGGUAUUUAUGUAGGCAUGUUCAAUGAGUUCAAGGAUGAAAAGGGUAACUUCAAGAAAGCUUUGGUCAGCGACGUAAGAGGCAUGCUGGGCUUGUAUGAGGCUGUGCAUCUCAGAGUUAAUGGAGAAGACAUACUGGAUGAAGCACUUGCUUUCACCACCACCCAUCUAAGGUCCAUGGUAGAACAUUUAGAAUAUCCUCUUGCGGAAGAAGUUGCUCAUGCACUAAAGCAGCCCAUUAGAAAAGGUUUAGAGAGGCUAGAGGCAAGGUGGUUUAUGUCUAUCUACUAGGAUGCACAACUCUACUAAAGCUGGCCAAGCUAGAUUUCAAUCUAGUGCAGUCCCUACACAAGGAGGAGCUAAGCAAUAUUGCUAGGUUUGCUUUCAAAUCACUAGCAGAUAUACCUAGUCACCUUCUCAUUUUACCAUGAGCUAAUUGUUUUAAUGAAUUUUAGGUGGUGGAAAGAAUUAGACUUUGCUACAAAGCUACCUUUUGCGCGAGAUAGAUUCGUGGAAGGCUACUUUUGGAUAUUUGGGGUGUACCAGGGUUCAAAGUAUUAGCCGAGUCCCAUACGACUCGACCGAGUCGUAUCUGCCUCGACACUUACCACGAUGAGUCCGAUACCAGGUACAAUCCUAUGCACUAACUCAACAUUAAAUCAGUAGGACUCAAUUGGCUUGGCUCAAAUUCCGAGUUAACUUGGUUGAAUCGGUUAAAUUACAAAAUUUUUUCUGAUUCAAAUCAGUGAUUUUUUUUCCCUUUCAAAUUAGAACAUAAAGAUCAUAAAAUUUUCCAAAAAAAUCAAAGGAAGAAGAAACAUUGAAAUUUAAUCGAGCCGUGACUUCUUUUUAAGUCUAGAAGAGGAGAGAUCAGGCAGAUGAGGGCUCACUUACCUCACCACAAUCGACGGAGCAUGAGAGUUUUGGGACCGAUGGAUCACUCCUCAGCGUCGAUUUCAGUGAACUAAGCAUUGGAUACCUUUUCCGGUGACGACGACCAUUCGGGGAGAGCUUUUAUCGCAAGUUUGCAAACUUGUAGUCAAAACAAUAUUUGGGAAAGUAAAUUAAAACUAGAAUGUUAUGAUUUAUAUGCACUAUGAGAUUUAAUGAGAAUAACUUGGAUGGCAUUUUAAUAUUUUUAAUUUAUUAUAUAAUCUAAAUUUUUUGUCUUAUAACAUUCCAAAUUAAAGUAGAAAAUCAAUAAUUAUUUAAAAAAUAUAUUUUUAAAAGAAUCAUAAUUAUAAAAACAACAUUUUAAUAAUAGGUUUAUAUUAGGGAAUCAAUAAUUAUUUUUGUAUGUUAUAAAGAUUACAUUUAUACUUGAAUUAUUUUUAAUUUUUUAUAUCAUAUAAAUUUUUUAUCUUAUAAUAUUGUAAAUUUUAAUUAUAUUAGGAAAUCAAUGAAUGAUUUUAUAACUAUUUAAAUGAUGUUAGUUAUGAGAUAAUUUUUUUUUAUAUUAUUUUUUACCUUAUUUACUUACUUGUACCUAUUUUUUUAAAAUAAUUUACAUAAUAUUUUUAAAAUUUUUAAAAUUUUCUAAUUAUCAUAUUUUGCGUAUCUUCCGAUACCAAACCGAUACACUGAGAUCGAUGUGCCUCAAGAUCGUCCGAGUCAAUGAUCGAUACUGCGACUUUGAAUCAUGAGGUGUACUUUGAGCCUCAAUAUGUCCGGGCUAGAUGAAUUCUAACCAAAACAAUUUCCAUGACAUCCAUUAUAGAUGAUAUAUAUGACACAUAUGGCACAUUUGAAAAACUCGAGCUCUUCACCGAGGCCAUUGAGAGGUUUGAUUGAUGCAAAUUACCAACCUUCAUCAUUUAUAUUGUAUGUGAUACUUAAAUCAAGCCUGGUUUUAUUUUCAGGUGGGAUAUUAACAGCAUAGAUCACCUUCCAGAAUACAUGAAACACUGCUAUGUGGCACUCUUAGAUGUGUACAAGAGAUGGAGAAAAAAGGAAACCAAUAUCGGGUUCAAAAUGCGAUAGAAGCAGUAGGACAUUCUGCAUUGACUUUGUUUUGUAUAGUAACAUAUCGUAAGGAUAUGGAUGUAACUUGAUUGAAUGUUUGACAGAUGAAAAACCUAGUUAGAGCUUAUUUUCAUGAGGCUAAUUGGUUCCAUGAAGGAAGCAUACCAACAAUGGAAGAGUAUAUGAGGAUAGCACUGGUAACCUCAGGUUACUACAUGCUUACAACCAUGUCUUUCAUUGGUAUGGGAGAAAUUGUAACAAAGGAGGCCUUUGAUUGGGUGAUCAGUGACCCUAAGAUUAUCACAGCAUCAGCUGUAAUUUGUAGGCUCAUGGAUGACAUCAGUUCACAUAAGGUAUUGUGAAUAUAGUAUUUCUUGUUAAGCUAUAAUUUGACCUUGACCUUAAAGCUCAAUCAAUUAAACAUAUUUACUGUACUCUUCUUCUAAACUAUAUAUGCAGUUUGAGCAAAAGAGAGGGCAUGUUGCCUCAGGCAUUGAAUGUUACAUGAAGCAAUAUGGUGCCUCUGAGGAAGAGGCAUACGAUGAGUUUCAGAAGCAAGUUGUGGAUGCAUGGAGGGAUAUUAACGAGGAGUUCCUACGACCUACAGUUGUUCCGAUGCCUCUCCUAAUGCGUGUGCUUAAUCUUUCUCGAGUGAUGGAUGUGAUCUACACGGGGGGAGAUGGGUACACUCAUGUUGGAAAAGUGAUGAAGAACAAUGUUGCAUCACUGCUCAUUCACCCUAUUGUAUGACCAAAUGGAUCAAGUUGAUCACCAUCUACAUAUUCUGCCUUACCUAGGGAGUAGGAUGAAUAAAAAUUAUUGUAAUAGUAUGGGAGAGACCUAUAAUGCUGUGACCCUAAGAUUAUCACAGCAUCAGCUGUAAUUUGUAGGCUCAUGGAUGACAUCAGUUCAUAUAAGGUAUUGUGAACAUAGUAUUUCUUGUUAAGCUAUAAUUUGACCUUGACCUUAAAGCUCAAUCAAUUAAACAUAUUUACUGCACUCAUUUGUGCGAUUCUUUUUCUUGGUAUCCAUGAUUAAUUAAUUAAUUGUCAUAAUUCUCUUAAUUCGUUUUGUAGAGAUCAUAUGUAUACGGACUUCAAAGGGUGCUACGGCUCACCAUUGUACAUUCCCAAGUAACCUGAUAAUCGGAUCUAGAUUCGAUUUUUGUAAACAUGUAUUUUUCAAAUAAGAAGUCACACAUGAUUUUCUUUUUAUUUUGUUUUUCCUUAAAAAAAAACUAAAAUAAAUAGCGACUAACUUUUCAAAAAUCAAUUUUUCACAAUGAAAAAGCGAGUCUCGCCAUUUUAAGUGGGGACACACAUGAAAAAUGCGGGUCCAUAAUGAGUUUAAUUAUUUCUAAAUUCAAAGGAUUAUAAAAAUUUAUUUAUAUAAAAAAAGGAUAUUCCAUUUUGAUGAUUCCAAUCUAUUUUAAGUACCAAAGAAAGUUUUGAUUUUUUUUCUUAUUUACAAAAAAAUGCUUCAAAGUUCUUAAUUUUCACAAAUUUUAUUUACCAACAUUCCAAUUUGAUUUUCAUACAGAAAGAAACUAUUUUUAUAAUUUUUAUUAAAAUAUGAUUUUUUUUUCAAUUUUUUUAAAAAAGUAUCUAAAUCUAAUCUUAUGUCCAUGAGAAUACUUUUACAAAUUCUUUAAGAAACGGAUUUUAAAAAUUUAUUUUUAAAAAAAAUUACAAUUUUAUUUAGAAAAUAAUAAAUAUUCGGAUCCAAUUUUAAUUACAUAAAAAAAUUAUUUUUUUAGUUUUUAUUGAAAAUAAGAUUUUUACAAUUUUAUUUACAUAAGUAUGAAAAUCCAAUUCCAUAUUAUUUACUAAAAUGCAUUUUUUUUUUUACUAUUUUUAAUAAGACAUGAUUUUUACAAUUUUUUUUUAAAGUUUACGAUUUUUAUUAAAAAAAAAAAAGUCUUUGCAAUUUUUUUUAACAAAUUUUUUAAUGUUUUAUUAAAACAAAAUGAUUUCUAGAUUUUAUUUUUUUUUAAAAUGAUUUUCAAAAGUUUAAAAAAAAAAAAAAACCUUUACAGUUUUAUUUAAAAAAAAAAAAACGAUUUUCCAACUGUAUUUACAAUUUAUUUAAAAACGGAUUUUACAGUUUAAAAAAAAAUACAUUUUAUUGUUUUAUUUCAAUCUUACUGUUGUUUUUAUUUUUUUGGAAAAAAAAAAAAAAAAAGAGAAGCUCAAAUUUAUUUUUCUCCUCUCUCUCUCUCUCCCUCCACACGCUCAUUAACUUUAAUGUCAAGGUAUCAGCCCAAUUGACUUGAUUUAUAUUAACUUAAAACUUUUGUUCUAAUAGGUACCUUCAUAUAACGGCAAAGCCUUUGAUUUAUAUAGGAAGUCAUGGAGGUGAACUGUGAACCUUAGUGAUGCGUACCCAAACCCUACCAUUUAUUUGUAAUAUAGUCAUCAUAAUAUUUAAAUUAAACAUUUAAAAUAUGUUUUUUGUUCUCUUAGAAAUACGAAAAGUGUAUCUUAUUCCCUUAAUAAUUCUCAACAUUCAACCAGCCGCCAAACAGUGAUUAAGACUUUUUCACGUGAAGAUAAAACUUAUGAUUGAUCUUAUUUUUAUAAAAACACUAAAAAACGAUUUUUUUUAUCUUUAACUUAAAAAUGGUUUUUAAAAAUAAUUUUUAGAAAACAUAAAUUAAACAGACUCUUAGGGUUUCAUUUGAGAAAUAAAUGAAGAAGAUUACAAAAAAAUUGAAAAUAAAUAAAGAAGAUGAUAUUUUAAUUUUUAUUUAAUAUCUUAAUUUUUAUUAUCUAAAAUUAUUUAAUUAUUCUAAUUAAUGAUAUUUUGAGUUUAAUUAUGAUUAAAAUAUAUAAAAGUCUUAAAUUGAGAUAAGUUGCUUAAAUGAUUGAUUGUGGAUUGAAAUUUUACUCACAAAAUAUGCAUGUGGCUUUCGCUUGAAAAGGCAUAUGUUGGGAAGCAGUUAUGCUUGGUUACGAGUUCUAUAAGCUUACGAUUUUAGAUUUGCAUGAUUAUCUUAAUUUGGAUUAGACAGCUACGGAGAAGGGGCCUUUAUUCAAACUGUUUGUCUUAUUCUCAACAAAGGAAGCAUUUUAUUUAAAACAGAACACUCUAAGAAAAACUAACAGCCAAAUUAAAACAAUUAGGCCAUGUUUGGUACGAAGCCAAAGCAAUUAGGUCAUGUUUAGCAUGAAGCCAAAUCACGACCAUGUUUGGUAUAUAGAAAUGAAGAGUAAGAAUAGAUAUGUUAUUUAUUUUCUCAUUCAUUUUCAUAUUUGGAUGAUUUAAGUAUAGUAAAAAUAAAAUAAAAAAUAAUUUCAAAGAAAUGAAACAAGUUAUUCUUAAAAACACUUUUUAAAAGUUAAAAAUCAAAAACUUUUUUAGAUAAGUCCGUUUUAAAAAUAAUUUUUUAUUUUGAUUUUGUAAAAAAGAAAUUAUAAAUUCAAUUUAUAUAAUAUAAAAUUAAUUUAAUUCAAGUCUUAUAAAAAAUAAAAAUAACUUUGUAAUUAUAAAUACAUUUUUAAAUUAAAUAUUUUUUAAUAAAAUAUGAAUAGGAUUAUCAUAAUAUAAUCAUAAAUUAUAUUUUUAAUAAAUAUUAUAAAAAAUAUGGAUAUUAACCUCUUAUAAAAGCAUAAUUGAUUUAUUUUGUUAAAAAUAAAUAAUAAUGAUUUAAAAUUAAUAAUUACUAAUACUAUUUUUUAAAAUUAUUAUACUUACUACUUUGUUUUAAAAAAUUAUUUCUCAAGAACAAUAAUCGAUAGUGGUAUUAAUUUUUAAAAACAAUUUUAUUUUUAAAUGAAAAGCCUAAACAGGUUUUUAUUAUUUAGCAAAAAAAAAAAAAAAAAACACUGUCAAACAUUUUUUUAAAAUGAAAAUAAAAAAAUUAUUUAAAAUGAUGUAUUGUGUAAGAGAUUUUUUUUAAAAUAAAAAUAAAAGAUUAAAGAUACUAUAAAUUAUGAUUAAAAUAAUGAAAAUUAAUAAAAUGAUAUUGGCUUUUUUUUUUAAAUACAUUCGAAAUAUUAAUCUAAAAAAAGAAGAUAAAUGAAUAAUAUAUUGAAAAAUAUAACUUUGUCUUUUUUCUUACAAUAAUUUUCAUAGCUUUAAAAAUAGUGAUCUUUAAUUUUCUUGCUAUUAUUUAUUAUUAGCUGAGUUGUAUAAAUUACAUUGUUAUAGUUUCCUUUAAAACCAAAAUAAAAAUCAAUCCAUGUGGUUCAAUGACAAUAUUGGCUGAAAAAAAAAAAUCACUUAAUUUUCAUCUACUAGAUCCUAGCCGCCACCUAAUAUUUAUGACUUGUUUGGAUAUUUUGAGUGAAUUUAACCAAAGAGACACUAGAAGGCCAAUAGUUUUCUUGCCAUCAGUCUCUUCCAUGCACUACCCUUUCAAAUCAUGGGCCCCAAAACCAAACCAAAUUCCACAUACUUUUCAACUACAUACAACCAAUGAAUGCCAAUGCUGCCCUAUAAAUAUGGAGCUUGCCAAGCUAUUUCUCUCAUACUUACUGUAACGCCGAAGUAUUUUUUUAAGGGUAAUUUAGGAAAUUACUAAUAAUAAUUCAAUUAGUUAAUUAAUUAAUUUAAUAAAGUGGAAGAUGGGUAAAAGUGUAAUUUUAUGAAUAAAUACCCUAGGUAUAAAUUAGAAAUUCUAUUUCUUCCUGUUCUUUUCUGAAUAGAAUUCCUGUUCGCAGAAUUUCAGAGAACGUAGAUUGAAGUUAGAUUUCAGGGUUGAAGAACAGAUCUCUAUAGGUAAGAUUCAGUUUAAUAUUUUAGAUUCAUUGAUUAAUUUCAAACACAUUAGAUAUCUUUUGGAAAACCCAAAUCUAGAUUAGGGUUAGUUUAUUUUAUUUUUUUUAAUUCGUUUUCAUAUCAAUAGUAAAAAAAUAAAAAAAAUAAAAAAAUAAAAAUAAAAAUUUAAGAUUUUGAUUUAUUGUUGGUAUUUAGGAGAUCUUAAGUUUUAUUAGAUGAAAAACAAAAAAAAGGUUCCUUGGAAGGUUUCGAUUUUAUAUUAGGGUUAAUUUUAUUAAAAAAAGAAAAAGGGCGUGCGCCAAAUGAAAGGAAGCCUUAUAUAUAUAUAUAAUGAAUCAUGAUGAUGGCAAUGGAAAAAAAAAAACUUGCUUUUUGGUUUGGUGUACCCGAGACAACUAGGUAAUGGUUGAGUGACUUUUGAAUUGGUUAAUUAAAAUAAUAAUAUUUAGUUUAAGAUUCAUAAUUAAGAUAAUAGUAAUAAUAGUCUUCUUUUUUUUGUAAUAAAUAGAAUGAGAGAUUUAGCAAAAUAUAUAUAUAUAUAUAUAUAUAUAUAUAUAGAAUUUUAUAAUGAAAUAAAAUUGUAAUUUAAUUAAAUUAGUAAUGUGUUAUUAGAAACAAAUUGAGAAUUUAUUAAUUUUAUUUAAAUAAGGAAUAGAUUAGUUAAAUUAUAGAUAAAUAGUAAUAAUUAUUUAUCUUAUGUUAUAUUAGGAGAAGAGUAGAUUUUUCCAGAAUUAUUUUUCUCCCAAGCUUUCAAGGUCUUUGCAUAAUUUGAGGUAAGGGAAGUUAAUGCAAUAUUUAUAAAAUUUAAAUUAUUUUAUAUGUUAUUUUGAAUUGUGGAAAAGAAAAUGAUAUUUUGUUACCAUGCAUGGAUCAAAUUGUUUUGCACUAAAUAUUAUGUUGGAAUAUUUUGUUUUAUUUAUGACACAAAAUAUGGAGAUAUUAUGUUGUGUAAAUUUGAAUACUUGAACAAAAACAUCACUCUGGUUUAUUUGACCCUUGUCAACGAGAUAUAAUAGUUGACUAUUCGGCCCUGUCAACAGGAUAUAAUAGUUGACCUUUACAUUUCAUGGUAAGAAUGUAAUUGAUUUGGACCCCAGCCUCUAGGGGUUUGGUUAGAGGUUACUAGUAGUAGUAGUGUUUGGUUCCGUCCACCAGGAACAACUUGAGGCUAGCCACCCAUUUGAAAAGUCCCACCUAACUGGGCAUUUGAUAUUUGAUAACCAGAGUAAUGAAAAUUGAAUGGAUUUGAUUGAAUCUUAUGUGAAAGUGUUUGAAUUUGAUAUGAAAAUGGUUGGUUGAAUUUUGAAUAUAUUGGUAUUUUUGAAACUCUGAUAUUUGAUGAGAAAAAAAAAUGAUAUCUCCUAUUUGAAAUGAAAAUAUUUUUCCAUGAACUGCAUUAAUAUUCCUUACUGGGCUGUGAGCUCAUUCCCAAUUGUUGAAAACUUUUCAGGUACUCUUAGUUCGGGUGAGGAGUGAUGGCUAGGAUGAGGAAUGGUCAUCAUUAGGAUUUGACUUAGGAUUUUAUGUUGGAUUUUGUUUAACUGUUAGUUAUGUUCAUUUGGACCCUUUGGUAUUUGGAAGUUAUUUGGAUAUUGAUCCUUCAAAUUUUAUGUUAGAUCAAAGUUGAGUUUUGGAGAUUUUGAAAUUUGUUCUAGUACUUGAAUUGUUUAAGUUUGCAAAUAUUUGGAUAAUGGAUUUUGGAUAGUGGAUGUUUUAGUUUUGAAAUUGAAUUUUGAGGAUUUUAGAUUUUGUUCCGCUACUCUGAAUAGGUAUUUGGUAAUUAGUAACUUCCGAUUACAAGAUAAUUGUUUGGGUCGGGUUACACUGUAAGCCUUCGGGUUUGAAGUGUGAAAUGACCGUCACGCUCUUGGAGUGGGUCUUGGGGCGUGACAGAGUGGUAUCAGAGCACUAGGUUUUGAUCUUGAUGGGAAUUUGAAUUGGUUUAGAUUGGGGAUAGAUGAGUGACGCAUUUGUUUAAGUUUUAGUUUCAUUUAGUAUAAAUUCCAAUUCUUUCUUUAUUUGUAAAUUUUCUAAUUGGUUCUUUAGUGACUAAAUUAGUUAUGCCUUAUUAUUUUAGGACAUCAUGCCACCAAGAAGAGCAACUUCUUCACAAAAUAGUCAGAUUAAUGAUGAUGUACCUCCAGUUGAGGGUUUGCCUCCCGUGAGUGCAAAAGGGAUCUAUAGGUAUCUUGGGACACUAGCUGGUUUAGUUGAACGCCAAGCUCGAGCUGUUGGGACUAAUGUUCAGGGACAGACUUCAUCUUCUAGGGGUAACUCUUUUGAUGACUUCAAGAAAUUGGGUCCUCCUUACUUUUCUGGUGCUACAGAUCCCACAGAGGCAGAGGCUUGGAUCCUUAAGGUGGAGAAAUUCUUUGGUGUCAUAGAUUGCUCUGAGGAGCAAAAAGCCUCUUAUGCAGCUUUUAUGUUAGAUAAAGAGGCAGAUCAUUGGUGGCGUAUGACUAGGAGACUUUUGGAGGAUCAGGGACCCAUAACAUGGAGACAAUUUAAGGAGGCUUUCUACAAGAAGUAUUUCCCUGACAGUGUUAGGCGGCAGAAGGUGGGAGAGUUUAUUCAUUUGGAACGGGGAGAUAUGACUGUGGCUCAAUAUGAGGCCAAAUUUACAGAGUUAUCAUGUUUUUCCCCACAGUUGAUUGCUACAGAGGAGGAAAAGGCAUUAAAGUUUCAGGAUGGAUUGAAGCCUUAUUUGAAGAACAAGAUAUCUAUUCUGAAGCUUGGUGUCUAUUCAGAGGUUGUUGACAGAGCCCUUAUAGCAGAGAAAGAUAAUGAGGAGCUUCAUCAGUAUAGGGAACAACAAAGGAAGUGAAAUAGGAGUGAUAGUGCUCAUGGUAAUCAAGCACAGCGAAGGUCUACAUCAGGAAGAAAUCAGAAUAAAGGGAAUGCAACGCAUUAUUUAGAUGGGGCUUGUCCUACUUGUGGUAAGAAGCAUGGGGGUAGGCCAUGCUAUAGAGAGACUGGAGCUUGCUUUGGUUGUGGGAAGCAAGGACAUUUGAUCAGAGAUUGUCUAGAGAAUAGGAAGUUCAUCAAUGGGAAGCCUAAAGAGGAAAAUAAGGAGGAUAAACAGAAACCCAAAGCCCAAGAACGGGUGUUUUCUUUGACUCAUCGAGAUGCUCAGGCCACUUCUGAUGUGGUAACAGGUACUCUCCGAAUCCACACCUUAUUUGCUAGAGUCUUGAUUGAUCCUGGAUCAACACACUCUUUUGUUUCAGUAUCUUUUGCCAGUUUGUUGGGUUUGCCUGUUGCUAGCAUGGACUUUGAUUUGAUUGUUACUACUCUUGUGGGAGAUUCUGUUGUGGUCAGUAGAAUGCUUAGAAAUUGUAUUGUGAUGAUUGGUUAUAGGGAAAUGCCAGUUGACUUAGUACUCCUUGAUCUUUAGGAUUUUGAUGUGAUUUUGGGGAUGGAUUGGUUAGCUUCCUACCAUGCCUCUGUUGACUAUUUUGAGAAAAUGGUGACGUUUAGUAUUCCUGGUCAGCCUAAGUUUAGCUUUGAAGGGAAGCAUGUGGACAGACCACUGCGUAUGAUCUCAGCCUUGCGAGCUAGUAGCUUGCUCAAGAAGGGUUGCCAAGGAUUUUUGGCUAGUGUGAUGAGUAAUGAAAGUGAUUUGAAGUUGGAAAACAUACCCAUAGUAAGGGAGUAUGUUGAUGUCUUUCCAGAGGAUUUGCCUGGCUUGCCACCAGAGAGAGAGGUGGAGUUUACCAUCGAUUUGGUACCAGGAACAGGUCCUAUGUCUAAGGCCCCAUACAAGAUAGCACCUGUGGAGCUUAAGGAGUUGAAAGUUCAGCUUCAAGAGUUAUUAGACAAGGGUUUUAUCAGGCCUAGUGUUUCACCUUGGGGAGCUCCUGUUCUAUUUGUAAAAAAGAAGGAUGGCUCAAGGAGACUUUGCAUUGACUAUAGGGAGUUGAAUAAGGUGACAGUGAAGAACAAGUAUCCCCUUCCUCGGAUUGAUGAUUUGUUUGAUCAGCUAUAAGGUGCUUGUGUGUUCUCUAAGAUAGAUCUUCAAUCGGGUUAUCACCAGUUGAGGGUUAGAGGGGAAGAUGUACCCAAGACUGCUUUUCGAACUAGGUAUGGGCACUAUGAGUUUCUUGUUAUGCCUUUUGGUUUGACUAAUGCACCUGCUACUUUUAUGGACUUGAUGAAUAGGGUAUUCAAACCCUAUUUAGAUCAGUUUGUGGUGGUUUUUGUAGAUGACAUCUUGGUAUACUCAAGAAGUAGAGAGGAGCAUGAGGGCCAUUUGAGUAUUGUAUUACAGACCCUCAGAGAUAAGCAGUUGUAUGCUAAACUGAAGAAGUGUGAGUUUUGGUUAGACCGAAUUNNNNNNNNNNNNNNNNNNNNNNNNNNNNNNNNNNNNNNNNNNNNNNNNNNNNNNNNNNNNNNNNNNNNNNNNNNNNNNNNNNNNNNNNNNNNNNNNNNNNAACGAAGAAGUUGCAGCCAUUACAAGCCAGUCACUCUAAAGUGUUGCGGAAUCAGCCUUUUGUUGCGAGAAUUUCGCAGCACUUUUGUACAGUAAGGUGUUUCUCCUUCUGACGAUGCACGAACCAUGCCGCGAGAAGGGAGCUGGAAACUUCAAGAUGGAAGCCAACUUUGCAGCCUAGUGAAGAUAGCUCGGUCUUGCAAGAUAAUUUCGCAGCCCUCUUGGGUGUCUGCGAAAUUUCGCAGGCCCCACUUUUCACCUGCGAAAUGGCUCCUGAAGCCUCCCGAAGCUUGCUACCGACAUUGGGAGAUAUUUUCCAUUAGAUUUUUGUUGUCUAAAUCCCAAAAUACUCCUUGUAAACCACCAAUUACAUGAUUCCUUAGUUUUUAGGUUAGUAAAAAGACCAAAUAUCUUUGUAAGAAUUAGUUUUAUAUUAGUUUGAUAUAAAUACCUCUCGGGAGCCUGUUCUCGGGGAGGAGUUCCUUCUGUAAACAUUUGGUAAGGAAGUAAAGGUCUUUUCUUUCUACUGCCUUACCUUCUCACUUUGUAUUUUCAUUAUAUUUCUAAGUUAUGAAUUCUCUGAGGAGUUUUCCCCAGAGAAUGAGUAACUAAACCUCCAAUUCCUUGGAGCUAAGGUUGCCGGGGAAGGUUCCAAGUGCAAAAAUGCAAAGCUCUGUGGUUUUAGCUAGUAAUGAAGAGGAAGUGAAAUCCUUUAGUGAUUUCAAUGUUUUUAGUUAACUUAAAACACCUUGGAGUCACCUGGGCCAACACUUGGUAAGGCAAGUGAUUUCCAACCGUGGAAAUGCACUAGUUUACCCCUUGCGAGCCUCUGGUAGGUGACUUCAAGGUAGGAUUUUCCGGAAUUACCAACACUUGGUAAGCUUUUGGACUCCUAGGAGACAUCCAUUAGUUAUCUCUUGCGAGUUUGUGAAGGGAAGUCCAAGGUUAAAGAUCACCUUGAAUGGUAAGUGCUCGUGAGAGGCAUGAACCAUUGCAAGGUGCAUCAGUGAGAGAAUUAAAGUGAAAUCUAAUUGAAGGAGUCUCUGUACAUCACCGGUUAGAGACUUGACUCUAAGUUGAAUCUCUAAUGCGAGGAAAUGAACCAUCUGACCAGAGCUAUGUCUUUUGCAUGAGGAACCACCCCAGUGAACCUAAAUCUCCNNNNNNNNNNNNNNNNNNNNNNNNNNNNNNNNNNNNNNNNNNNNNNNNNNNNNNNNNNNNNNNNNNNNNNNNNNNNNNNNNNNNNNNNNNNNNNNNNNNNAAAUCAAAGUUUGUGUUUUAUUUCUUAAACUAACCGUGAAAUGAAACAAAACCAAUUCACUUGGAAUUGGUAUCCUUGAUUGCUUGCAAAUCAUUCCUAGUGAACGAUCCUUAGAGCCACUAUACUAUAGUAGCUUUGUAUUUGCUACCCUAGUGUAUGGUGUUAUAGGUAUAAAUUUUGUUGAUCACUUCCUCAAUCAAGGAGCACCAGCUGAACACAAAUCAGCUGAGACACCAAUUGGGCAUGAGUCAGAGAUCUUGAGAUUUGGGACUAGACUUUGUGUCCCAAAUGAUGAAGACUUAAGAAGGGAGCUUUUAGAGGAAGCUCAUUGUUCCAAGUUUGCAAUCCACCCAAGAGGGACAAAGAUGUACAAGGAUUUGAGGCAAAACUAUUGGUGGUCAGGUAUGAAGCAUGAUAUUGCACAAUUUGUGGCUCAGUGUUUAGUGUGUCAACAGGUGAAGGCUGAGCAUCAGCGACCAGCAGGGUCUUUGCAGCCACUUGCUAUUCCUGAGUGGAAGUGGGAGCAUAUUACCAUGGAUUUUGUGAUAGGAUUGCCAAGAACCUUAGGGAGUAAUAAUGCUAUUUGAGUGGUUGUUGAUCGGUUGACAAAGUCUGCUCACUUUUUGCCUAUGAAAGUCAACUUUUCUUUAGAUCGUUUAGCUUUUCUUUAUGUGAAGGAGAUUGUGAGAAUGCAUGGAGUACUAGUUUCUAUAGUGUCUGAUAGAGAUCCUCGUUUCACUUCUAGAUUCUGGCAUAGUCUAUAAAAAGCUUUGGGCACUAAGUUGAGUUUUAGUACUGCUUUCCAUCCUCAAACUGAUGGUCAAUCAGAAAGGGUAAUUCAGGUUUUAGAAGACUUGUUGAGAGCUUGUAUUUUGGACUUGCAAGGUAAUUGGGAUGAUCAUUUACCUUUAGUAGAGUUUGCCUAUAACAAUAGUUUUCAAGCUAGCAUUGGGAUGUUACCUUUUGAGGCAUUGUAUGGUAGGAAAUGUCGAUCUCCUAUCUGUUGGAAUGAUGUUGGAGAAAGGAAACUUUUGGGGCCUGAACUUGUGCAGUUGAUUGUUGAAAAAGUUGCUUUGAUUAAAGAAAGAUUAAAAGCAGCUCAAAGUAGACAUAAGAGUUAUGCUAAUCAUCGUAGGCGAGAUUUGGAGUUUGAGGUGGGUGAUAUGUGUUCUUGAAAGUUUCACCUAUGAAGUCUGUGAUGAGAUUUGGGAGAAAAGAAAAACUUAGUCCUCGUUUUGUGGGUUCGUUUGAAAUAUUAGAAAGAGUAGGCACUUUGGCAUAUAAAGUAGCCUUGCCCCCAAGUCUAUCUAAGAUUCAUAAUGUUUUCCAUGUUUCAACCUUGAGGAAGUAUAUUUAUAAUCCAUCUCAUGUUGUGGAGUUGGAGCCUAUUCAAAUUUCGGAGGACUUGACCUAUGAAGAGGUACCCGUUCAAAUUGUGGAUGUGAUGGAUAAGGUACUGCGACAUGUUGUUGUCAAGUUGGUAAAGGUCCAGUGGAGCAAUCAUAGUAUCCGAGAGGCCACUUGGGAGUUAGAAGAAGAGAUGAGAGAAAAACAUCCUCAAUUAUUUCAAGACUCAAGUAUGUCAAGUUUAGAAGACUAAACUUUUGUUAAGAAGGGGAGGAUGUAACGCCCAAGUAUUUUUUUAAGGGUAAUUUAGGAAAUUACUAAUAAUAAUUCAAUUAGUUAAUUAAUUAAUUUAAUAAAGUGGAAGAGGGGUAAAAGUGUAAUUUACAAAUAAAUACCCUAGGUAUAAAUUAGAAAUUCUAUUUCUUCUUGUUCUUUUCUGAAUAGAGUUCCUGUUCGCAUGAAUUUCAGAGAACAUAGGUUGGAGUCAGAUUUCAAGGUUGAAGAACAGAUCUCUAUACGUAAGAUUUUAACCCCUAGUUUAAUAUUUUAGAUUCAUUGAUUAAUUUCAAACACAUUAGAUAUCUUUUGGAAAACCCAAAUCUAGAUUAGGGUUAGUUUUUAUUUUUUUUUUAUUUUUUUUUUUUAAUUCGUUCUAAUAUCAAUAGUAAAAAUAAUAAUAAUAAUAAUAAAAAUUUAAAAAAAAUUUAAGAUUUUGAUUUAUUGUUGGUAUUUGGGAGAUCUUAAGUUUUAUUAGAUGAAAAAAAAAAAAGGUUCCUUGGAAGGUUUCAAUUUUAUAUUAGGGUUAAUUUUAUUAAAAAAAGAAAAGGGGCGUGUGCCAAAUGGAAGGAAGCCUUAUAUAUAUAUAUAUAUAUAUAUAUAAUGAAUCAUGAUGAUGGCAAUGGAAAAAAAAAAAAAAACUUGCUUUUUGGUUUGGUGUACCCAAGACAACUAGGUAAUGGUUGAGUGGCUUUUGAAUUGGUUAAUUAAAAUAAUAAUAUUUAGUUUUAGAUUAAUAAUUAAGAUAAUAGUAAUAAUAGUCUUUUUUUUUUUUGUAAUAAAUAGAAUGAGAGAUUUAGCAAUAUAUAUAUAGAAUUUUAUAAUGAAAUAAAAUUGUAAUUUAAUUAAAUUAGUACUGUGUUAUUAGAAACAAAUUGAGAAUUUAUUAAUUUUAUUUAAAUAAGGAAUAGAUUAGUUAAAUUAUAGAUAAAUAGUAAUAAUUAUUUCUCUUAUGUUAUAUUAGGAGAAGAAUAGAUUUUUCCUGAAUUAUUUUUCUCCCAAGCUUUCAAGGUCUUUGCAUAAUUUGAGGUAAGGGAAGUUAAUGCAAUAUUUAUAAAAUUUAAAUUAUUUUAUAUGUUAUUUUGAAUUGUGGAAAAGAAAAUGAUAUUUUGUUACCAUGCAUGGAUCAAAUUGUUUUGCACUAAAUAUUAUGUUGGAAUAUUUUGUUUUAUUUAUGACACAAAAUAUGAAGAUAUUAUGUUGUGUAAAUUUGAAUACUUGAACAAAAACAUCACUCUGGUUUAUUUGACCCUUGUCAACGAGAUAUAAUAGUUGACUAUUCGGCCCUGUCAACGGGAUAUAAUAGUUGACCUUUACAUUUCAUGGUAAGAAUGUAAUUGAUUUGGACCCCAACCUCUAGGGGUUUGGUUAGAGGUUACUAGUAGUAAUAGUAUUUGGUUCCGUCCACCAAGAACAAUUUGAGGCUAGCCACCCAUUUGAAAAGUCCCACCUAACUGGGCAUUUGAUAUUUGAUAACUAGAGUAAUGAAAAUUGAAUGGAUUUGAUUGAAUCUUAUGUGAAAGUGUUUGAAUUUGAUAUGAAAAUGGUUGGUUGAAUUUUGAAUAUAUUGGUAUUUUUGAAACUCUGAUAUUUGAUGAGAAAAAAAAAAUGAUAUCUCCUAUUUGAAAUGAAAAUAUUUGAUCCAUGAACUGCAUUAAUAUUCCUUAUUGGGUUGUGAGCUCAUUCCCAAUUGUUGAAAAAUUUUCAGGUACUCUUAGUUCGGGUGAGGAAUGAUGGCUAAGCUGAGGAAUGGUCAUCAUUAGGAUUUGACUUAGGAUUUUAUGUUGGAUUUUGUUUAACUGUUUGUUAUGUUCAUUUGGACCCUUUGGUAUUUGGAAGUUAUUUGGAUAUUGAUCCUUCAAAUUUUAUGUUAGACCAAAGGUGAGAUUUGGAGAUUUUGAAAUUUGUUCUAGUACUUGAAUUGUUUAAGUUUGCAAAUAUUUGGACAAUGGAUUUUGGAUAGUGGAUGUUUUAGUUUUGAAAUUGAAUUUUGAGGAUUUUAGAUUUUGUUCCGCUACUCUGAACAGGUAUUUGGUAAUUGGUAACUUCCGAUUACAAGAUAAUUGUUUGGGUCAGGUUACACUGUAAGCCUUCGGGUUUGAAGUGUGAAAUGACCGUCAUGCCCUUGGAGUGGGUCUUGAGGCGUGACACUUACCGAUUCAUCAUUCAAGGUAUAGAACUGUUCUAUCAUUGAUCCAAGGAAUUAACAUGUCUACUCAAGUCUCAGCAUCUUCUCUAGCCCAGAUUCCCAAACCCAAAAAUCGUCCUGGCAAACUUUCACCCCAACAUUUGGGGUGACCAAUUUAUCACCUGCACUCCUGAAGACUAUGCAUCAAUUAUAAAUUUGACAGUUAUUUUUCUUAAUAUGUUGGAUGAUAAAAUUUGUUGGUCAAGGUUACACGUGCUUGCAAAGAGGAGCAGAUUGAGGAUCUGAAAAAGGAAGUGAAAAGGGAAUUAACGGUUGUUGUUGUUGCUAACCCUUCCCAAUUGCUGAACUUCAUUGAUGCAUACCACUUUGAGCAAGAGAUAGAAGAAGCAUUACAACAAAUUUGUAAUAGUUUUCAUGAUUGCAAUGAUAUGGAUGGUGAUCUCUACAAUAUUGCUCUUGGAUUUCGACUACUAAGGCAACAAGGGUACAGUAUUUCAUGUUGUAAGAGACUAAGAAAAAAUUGUUAUGUUAAACCUUCUUAUCAUUCAAAAUCUUAUGUUCAAGUGGUGAUGUUUAUGUAGGUAUAUUGAACAAGUUUACGGAUGAAUGAGGUAGAUUCAAGGAAGCUUUGAUCAACGAUGUAAGAGGCAUGCUAGGCUUGUAUGAAGCUGCACAUCUGAGGGUUCAUGGUGAGGACAUACUUGCAGAAGCACUUACUUUCACCACCACUCACCUCGAGGCCAUGGUAGAAAGUUUAGGAUAUCCUCUUGCAGAACAAGUUGCCCAUGCCCUGAACCGACCAUUAGAAAAGGUUUGGAGAGGUUAGAGGCAAGAUGGUAUUUAUCUGUCUACCAAGUGUUGGUUUAAGGGUAUGGAAACAAAGGACUAACUCAAAAGACACAAACAAAAAACAUAAUGAAUAGUAAGAAAAACUUAUUAGUUGAGGCGUGACAAACACUGUUCUUGAAAUAGAUCCACCCUCUUCGAAAACGAACUGAAUGCACUAAGGUGCCAGUGGUCUACCUCCAGGAUUCAAUAGCCAGAUCUUGCCUUGGGUGCACUCUAUAAGUGAGACAUGUACAACUUGGUUUUGAAAAAAUUCCUCCAAAAAGAUGUAUGAAAGACUCUCUGAAAAAUUGGUAUUCAAAGAGUAAAAGGUGACCUGCUUUUAUAGGUCACCAACACAGUCCUAAUGGGACUCUACUUGUAAUCAGAGGACUCAAAGUGGAAUGAGAUUCUACUUAUAAGUGAAACAGGACUCUAUUAGCACAAUCCCAAUGGGAUUCUUCCCAAAGGUAAAAGACUAAGUCAAAUGGAAUAAAAAUUAAAUAAAAAAAAUUGAAUUUUGUAAAAAUUAGUCAAAUUCGCUAAAACACUUUUUCACAUUUACACUCUUCCUACACCAAGAUGAAGCUUUCCAUGAUAAAACUUUACCAGAGCUAGCCAAAUUAGAUUUCAAUCUAGUGCAGUCACUGCACAAGGAAGAGCUAAGCAAUCUUGUAAGGUUGGUUUUUAAAUCACCCCACAUGUACUUGGCCAUUCUUAUCACUUUCUUGUAUACUGAUCAUAUUAAUGUCUUUUAGGUGGUGGAAAGAAUUAGACUUUGUUACAAAGUUAUCUUUUGCAUGAGACAGAUUGGUUGAAUGCUACUUUUGUAUACAUGGGGUAUAUUUUGAGCCUCAAUACUUACGAGCUAAACGAAUUCUAACCAAAGUAAUUGCUAUGACAUCCAUUCUAGAUGAUAUCUAUGAUGCAUAUGGCACACCUGGUGAACUCAAGCUCUUCACAGAAGCCAUUGAGAGGUUUGCUACUUGCACAUUACCAACCUUGAUUGUGUAUAAUAUAUGUAUUUAUAUAUACCUAAAUCAAGGGUCAUUAUUUUAUUUUCAGGUGGGAUAUUAACAGCAUAGAUCAACUUCCAGAAUACAUGAAACCCUGCUAUGUGGCACUCUUUGAUGUGUACAAAGAAAUCGAGGAAGAGAUGGAGAAAGAAGGAAACCAAUAUAGGGUGCACUAUGCCAAAGAAGUAGUAGGACAUCUUUAACUCUGGAUUCCCACCUUUUGCAUUGAUGAUAUUUUAUAUGGUCUCAUAUAUACAUAGAUAUAACUUGGGUGAAUGUCCAUUAGAUGAAGAAUCAAGUUCGAGGUUACAUGAAGAACACGUACCAACACUUGAAGAGUACAUGUGUGUUGCACUAGUAAGCUUUGGAUACUACAUGCUUGCAACCACAUCCUUGGUGGGAAUGGGAGAAAUAGUAACAAAGGAGGCCUUUGAUUGGGUGACCAGCGAUCCUAAGAUUAUGCCAUCUUCAAAUUUCAUUGCGAGGCUCAUGGAUGACAUCACAUCACAUAAGGUAUGCAGAAUAUGUUAUUCAAGUGGGGAGAAUAUAACACACCGGUUUUUUUUUUUCUCAACUUUUGCAUUAUACAUGCAGUUUGAGCAAAAGAGAAGGCAUGUGGCCUCAGCCAUUGAAUGUUACAUGAAGUAAUAUGGUGUCUCUGAGGAACAAGUAUACAGCGAGCUUCAAAAUCAAAUUGAGAAUGCAUGGUUGGAUGUCAACCAGGAAUGCCUCAAACCUACUACUAUUCCAAUGCCUCUCCUUGCUCCUAUUCUAAAUCUUACACGAGUCUCGGAUGUCAUUUACAAAGAGCAAGAUGCGUACACACAUGUUGGGAAAGUGAUGAAGAAUAACAUUGCGUACACACAUGUAGUUGAUUAUCGUCCCCUAUGUAUUGCCUUGUGGAAGAAGUAAUAUCUAAUAAAUCAUUAUAAUAAGGUGAGGGAACAAUACGUAAUAAAUCAUUGUAAUAUGGAAAGGGGGACACAUCAUAUGUAGCACCUAGUUUCUCUGGGUUCAUAGUGUUUUACUUUUGAAUAUUCCCUGAAUAUUUAAAUAAGAAUAUGUAUUACUUAAAUCACCUGAAUAUAUUAUUUAUUAUAUUAUAUUCUUUAAUACAUAUGUAUUAUUGUGAUUCAACUUGAGGAGUAUUGAUACUGAGUCUUAAAAUACAUAUGUAUGUAGAAUAUAUGUCUACAAAAAAUCCGGAUCUCCUUGUUAAUGUGUAAUGGUGUUUUGGAGUACUACAAUACUCACCAAAUAACUUCUUUACACUUUAUAAUGGACACUGACUGGUGAGUUUAUAGUUAAUUAAAGAUUUCACUCGAUAGCAAAUUAUUAUUAUUAUUAUUAUUAUUGUUAUUGUUGUUGCUAGCGUUAUUAUUAUUUAAUUCAUUAUUAUGAAAAUUAUUAUUAUUAUUACUAUUUAAUUAUUAUUAUUAUUAGCUAUUAAUUUUAGUUUUUUCUUUUUCAUCUUUUCUUUUUUGUUGUUUGUUAUAUACUUCAUAAAAUUAUAAGUUAUGGUCUUUUAUUAGGUUGAAAUUGGAAGUUCAAGUUCAUUAAAGUAUGACACAGUUAACUUAGGUUCACUAAUUUUGUAAAAAAUUUGAUGCAUUUAUAGGAUAAUUAAAUAAUUCAACAAACUUAUCAUUUUACUAAUUAAGGUUUUUUAUUUUAUUUUAUUUUUUAAAAAACUUUUUUACAUGUAAGAAUACAGAAAUUAUGGUUCAAUGUGAAACUUUGGAAUUGCAUGAAUAUGAAAGUGAAAUUUGUUGGUGUCGUUCCCAACUAGAGUUAGGUUCAUCCAACUUCACUGGAGUCAGGUGGACUGCUUCCUUUCUCCAACUCGUGAACUUAGCCGAUACUAAGUUAUGUGAUAACACCCAAUUUUUCCGUUCGUGCUUCUUGAGAAGUCCGUCCAGUUGUAUUGGAAUCAGACAGACUUCUUCCAUGCACAAAAGGAUGUCCAGACAGGUGAUUCGAGCACGUCCCUCCUAAACUUAAGUCAGUUAAGGAUAGUUCUAACUUAUUUUUGUGGCAGAAAAUGAGUUUAUGUGCAUGCCUACCUUGUUCAUGCUUUUUGAGGGGUUUAUAUAGAGUUGAUGAUACUGUCCCUAUAGUGCUGACUAUACACUCUAGUCUUUCUUGUAAUGAUGAUUGCCCUUAGGGCGGUUGAUUGGUGCCAUCUAUUGACGUGCCAAAAUCUCGGACCAGCAACCGAUUGUCCAUUUAGCUUGCCAAUGUCUGGGAUUGUGUGUAACAAUUAAUUGACAUUGACUUUUGGGUGUAAAUGGAGUCCUGUCCACUGCUUAGAUGUCAGGCGUCUAAUCCACUGCUCAAAUGUCCUGUGUCUGGGCCAACGCUCAGACAUCAAGCAUAGUUGAUCAUGCAUGCCAGAAAUCCUGAGGACUUGAUUAGACUGAUUUUUUCGUCUGAGAGUCCAACGAGCCUAGCCUAUCGAUUCCGUUCAACCUUGUGGAAGAAGAGAAACCUCUCACUUCUUGUGUCAGACAUAACUUAUCUUGGUCCAAACGAAUUGAUCCCAGACGGGUUAUAAGUUUGUUCUGGUCGGCCAAGGGGUCUUAAGCUUGAAAAUGACACGUGAAGGGAAACCCCCCACAAUGCCCUUUUAAUCUGUCUACUUCUAUUCAGAUGAAGAGGAGAUGUUUUUGGAGCGUCCAGUUAGUUUCCUAUCUGAACAGGAAUUCUGGGAUCGUUUCCAUAUUCCAGAGAAUAUCCCUAUUCUUCUAAUAGACGACGAGGCGUUAUCCUCCGUUGACCUGCCCAACAACAUGAUGUAUUUUACUAAGGAACAAUUCGUUGCAGGGCUCCGUCUACCUAUCCCCUCUCUCUUCAAGCAGUUUCUUCAUUUUAUGUAAAUCCCUUCAGCUUUUCUUCAUCCGAAUUUUGUCCGGGUAUUGAUGGGAUGUAGUGUUCUAGACAUGCUCUUUCAGUUGAAUCUCUCAUUGUUGGAAGUUUUGCUUGUUUACAUUGUCAAAAUGAGCUGGAAAGAAAGGUUUAGCUUUUCUUCCCAUAUUCCUUACUUGCAGCCAGUGACUGGUCUUUUAGAUUCAUGCAAAGGCUAGGUAAAGGGGCAUGUCCUAGUCUCUGGUCCUUGGAGUGGUUCGUCUGAGGAACCAGAUGGAGUCUUUUAUCCACAACAUUCAUUGGAGAUUCCGAGUAGGAUACGCUUCCAUCACUUUCUCUAUAUUUUGCAAUUAUUUCUUCCUCGCUGUCAAUUUAUUGUUGAUCUUUUUGUUUGUGUGAUAUAGGCAAGGAGAGGUGGGGACGCCUUGUAGAGUGGGUAGACAAGGCUUCUUUCACCUAUUUAACAAGUUGUUCGAAAUAGACGCGUUCAAAUGGGCCCCUAAAGUUCUUUUGUAAGAUAAUAAGUUGCUAACGCUAAUUGAUAAUCCAAAGUCGUUCAUCAUCCCCGUAUUUCCUCGUCUGGCUCCCCCGUCUUUGGUGCCUGGUGAACAUUUCGUGCUAAAGGAUUUGCCAUUCUAUGAGGUUGCUCGUCUGGCAUAUUAUAAGGCAUGUUAGGCCCGUUUAGAGGAGUGAGAGAAAAAACAUCAGGAAGGGACAUUGAGGCAAGCUCUAACUGCUAGUCUUCUAUCCUCCAGUUUUGUUGUCCAUCCUCUCACUAAAAAGAGGACGAAACCUACUGCUUCGCCUAUCUGGAAGGUAAGGACUCUGCCUCCUUCAUCUUUAUCUUCUCCAUCAACUUCAUCAUCUUCGUCAUCUCCAUCUUCUAGUGGCAAGCCAAAAUCAUGGGUUGUCCAGGUAGUGUCCCUUAUUAUUUGCGAGGAGGAAAAAGAAGAGGAUAUGGCUUCAAACUUGAGGGUCGGAUUUCGUGAGAGACAGCGCAAGUGCUUGUCCAAAUCCAUUGUUGUCAAUCCUACCCCCUCUAAGAAAGCUUGUUCAAAACCUACUUCAGCUCUUGCGCUCGUGUCGGUUCCUCUAACUACUGCUACAGUCUUCACCCUUAAGCUAGAUGAGAAACUUCCUUCUGUUGAUGAACAUGUUUAUCAUGAGACGAGGAUACCCUUCAUCAGCACGAACAACUUCAACAAAGAAUCGUUCGAAUACAUGACUUUUUUUUCUCUUUGUUCGAAGUCAACCUAUGUCCCCAAUCGGGAGGAGGUAUCUGAGCUUUUGAAGUGAAUCCCUGUCUUCACCGAAAGAGAGUCCCUGGUACAAAACAUAGGGUACUCUUUCCAGCUACUUAGCAAAUCCCAAUCGAGAUAGACAACGAUCCUAGUCGAUCUUUCAUGACCUGGCUUUUGUAUGACACUCCGAAUAUCGCCAUUUCUCGCAUUAUUCCCAUGCAAGACUAUAAGGCUUUUGAAAUGACAAAUAUGGUAAGUCACCUACCCUUUUCUUCUCAUUUUUCCUUAGCCUCUUGUUUCACAACGAUUUCUUUAUUGCAUCUUCAGGUGAUAGUCGAAGUUUGAAACCUCAUGCGGCAACACACUCCUUUUUUCUACCGAUUGGAAACAAUCGAGACCAUGAGGCCAUACUUUGCCCAUAAUAUGGAUGGGAAUGAGGAUCUUCUUGCCAGCUUGGAGACAAUAAAGAGUGAAGCUGCUGUUGCCCAAAAGCUUGUUAAAGAAGAAAUCGGUCUAUUGAGGAAGGCCGAGGAAGAGAAGGAGACAGUUCAAACUGAAGCUUGCCAACUAGUUGAAAAGAAGGAAACCAUGGUGGUUGACAAAAAAAAAGGCUGAAGAAGAGGCUGCCUAGCUGAGGCAGGAGCUACAGGAUCUCCGAGCAGGGUUUGCCUCUCAGAAAGAAGACUUGGAGGUUCACUACCAAAAGCAAGUGGAUGACAUGUUCUUGUACGACUAUCGUUGUUGUAUGAAGAAGCAUGGCAUCAUCCAUGAUGCUCUGAGUUUUCCUUUGGAUGACGAUGAUGAGUUUUUAGGCGACCCUGCCCAGGGAGGAGGAGAUGUUUUCGGAGACGAUCCUUAUGGCGAGUAGGCUUGAUCUCUUUGUUUGUAUUUAUUUAUUAUGGUUGGACGUGGCCUAGACUGCUAUAUCUAUAAAGACAAUGGAUGCUUUAUUUUUUCAAAUAUAUUUACUUUAUCCGUUUGUCUCUCAUACAUUGUUUUCAUAAGCAAACUUUAUUGAAAGUAAUACUUUAAAUUGGAUACAUUCUAAGAGCAGAGCAGGGGUACGUUGUCUAGUGUUUGAAAAUGGUAUACCCCUAAGUCUCUAGCCUUAGUUACAACAUAUGGCCCUUCCCAGUUAGCUUGAAGCUUUUCGGCUCCUAUUUCAGCUGUGUUCUCAAAUAUUCUUCUGAGGACUAAAGUUCCUAGCCAGAAAAACCAUGGUCGUGUUUUUUUGUUGUAAUGGGUGAUCGUCUUUUGAUGGUAAGAAACCAUUCAGAUAGUUAUGUCUCCUAGCAUUUCAUCUGCCCAAUCCAACUGUCUUAUGAGUUCUUCAUCAUUGUUCCUCUGAUCUUAUACAACUGUUUUAGUGGUAGGCAUGUCAAUUUCAGUUGGAAUAAUGACCUUCAUCCCAUAAGCAAGGGCAAAAGGAGUAGUUCCUAUUGGCCGUUUGGAUGUCGUUUUGUAAGCCCAUAAGAUUCCGAGCAGUUCAUCCACCCAUUUUCCUUUAGCUCCUUCCAGCAUUUUUUUAAUGCAUUCAGUAGGGUUUUGUUUGUCGCCUCAGCUUGCCCGUUACUCUACGGAUAGCAAAGUGUUGAAUACAAAUUCUUGAUGUUUAACUUCAAAUAGAAAGUUCGGAAGACGGUAUUGUAUGAUUGCUCGCAAAACUCCAAAUCGACAUACGAUGUUUUUCUAGACGAACUUGAAGACAUCCUUAUCUUUGAUGCUAGCAUAGUGUCACGGACUUAGUCGUUCACUAAGCUCGUGCGGCACUUAGACAAGCCAAGACGCUUGAUCUUGCUAAGUCAGCCUUGCUCCCAAUACUUAGCUCACCCGGCUAAGACACUCGCGACUCAAAAGCUUAAGAAGCUUGGUAGGCAACUCCUUAAAGAAUGGAAGCUUUCUAUUACUCAAAGAAGCCUUUACAAGUGCUUGGAUGCUCACUUGCUUGGUUAGGAAGUGAUUUUGGGUGGUGCCUUGGCCAAAUGAGGCCCUCACCUAUUUAUAGGCACCAAGGGAACUCUCUAGAACCUUGGAGGGUUCCCUUACAAAUCAAGAAUAUUCUAGAACAUCCUACCCUAUUCUAUGUACAACCCUAUGUACAAGAAUAUACAAGAGAUUCCUAGAAGUCUCUAGAAAGCCUUGGACUCCUCCCAUGCCUUCCACCAUAGUGUAGAGAUGUGUGGACAUCUCUAGGCAUUUCUAGAACCUUCCACACUCUUCCCACCAAUGACUUNNNNNNNNNNNNNNNNNNNNNNNNNNNNNNNNNNNNNNNNNNNNNNNNNNNNNNNNNNNNNNNNNNNNNNNNNNNNNNNNNNNNNNNNNNNNNNNNNNNNNNNNNNNNNNNNNNNNNNNNNNNNNNNNNNNNNNNNNNNNNNNNNNNNNNNNNNNNNNNNNNNNNNNNNNNNNNNNNNNNNNNNNNNNNNNNNNNNNNNNNNNNNNNNNNNNNNNNNNNNNNNNNNNNNNNNNNNNNNNNNNNNNNNNNNNNNNNNNNNNNNNNNNNNNNNNNNNNNNNNNNNNNNNNNNNNNNNNNNNNNNNNNNNNNNNNNNNNNNNNNNNNNNNNNNNNNNNNNNNNNNNNNNNNNNNNNNNNNNNNNNNNNNNNNNNNNNNNNNNNNNNNNNNNNNNNNNNNNNNNNNNNNNNNNNNNNNNNNNNNNNNNNNNNNNNNNNNNNNNNNNNNNNNNNNNNNNNNNNNNNNNNNNNNNNNNNNNNNNNNNNNNNNNNNNNNNNNNNNNNNNNNNNNNNNNNNNNNNNNNNNNNNNNNNNNNNNNNNNNNNNNNNNNNNNNNNNNNNNNNNNNNNNNNNNNNNNNNNNNNNNNNNNNNNNNNNNNNNNNNNNNNNNNNNNNNNNNNNNNNNNNNNNNNNNNNNNNNNNNNNNNNNNNNNNNNNNNNNNNNNNNNNNNNNNNNNNNNNNNNNNNNNNNNNNNNNNNNNNNNNNNNNNNNNNNNNNNNNNNNNNNNNNNNNNNNNNNNNNNNNNNNNNNNNNNNNNNNNNNNNNNNNNNNNNNNNNNNNNNNNNNNNNNNNNNNNNNNNNNNNNNNNNNNNNNNNNNNNNNNNNNNNNNNNNNNNNNNNNNNNNNNNNNNNNNNNNNNNNNNNNNNNNNNNNNNNNNNNNNNNNNNNNNNNNNNNNNNNNNNNNNNNNNNNNNNNNNNNNNNNNNNNNNNNNNNNNNNNNNNNNNNNNNNNNNNNNNNNNNNNNNNNNNNNNNNNNNNNNNNNNNNNNNNNNNNNNNNNNNNNNNNNNNNNNNNNNNNNNNNNNNNNNNNNNNNNNNNNNAGCCGCCUCAUCCGUCAAUGCGAUAGCCUCAAAGUAUCGCUCCAUAUGCCAUAAGAAGUUAUCCAACUCCUUGGCAUCCCGAUUGCCACUAAACCUAUGUGGCUUCGGCACCUCCACCCUAGAUGCCUCUUGUGUGGCCAUGACCCGUGCCGACACAGCAGCCUUGUAGAUGGCCAACUCCUGCCUAACUUCCUGGUCUCGGGACUCCAUUCGAGUGGCCAAGGCCUCUAUCCUUGACUCCAUGCUAGCAAGCAUGCUCAAGACCUUUCCUUGGAAGGACACAAACUCCUCGUGCGACACUGGUUGAACCUGUGAGAUUAGCACCCCCUCGCGAAGGUCUUGGAUCUGCUCCCUUAGAUCCUCUAAGCCCUUCUCCAUGCCUUGCUCGAUCAAGUCCAACCCUUCCCGAGUGUCCGCCAUGGCUAGCUCCACCUUCGCUAACCUUGCCUCCAUGUUGGCAACGGCAUCACGAGAUUUAUCCUUCCUGCCCCUGCCCCGUGCAGUAGGCUCGGUCUCUCUCCCACGGGUUUGCUCACUAGUCUCCUCCACGUUAGAGCCCGACAUGCUUCCUUUGCUAUGCCCACCUCGUAACCGCGCUCUGAUACCACUUGUCACGGACUUAGUCGUUCACUAAGCUCGUGCGGCACUUAGACAAGCCAAGACGCUUGAUCUUGCUAAGUCAGCCUUGCUCCCAAUACUUAGCUCACCCGGCUAAGACACUCGCGACUCAAAAGCUUAAGAAGCUUGGUAGGCAACUCCUUAAAGAAUGGAAGCUUUCUAUUACUCAAAGAAGCCUUUACAAGUGCUUGGAUGCUCACUUGCUUGGUUAGGAAGUGAUUUUGGGUGGUGCCUUGGCCAAAUGAGGCCCUCACCUAUUUAUAGGCACCAAGGGAACUCUCUAGAACCUUGGAGGGUUCCCUUACAAAUCAAGAAUAUUCUAGAACAUCCUACCCUAUUCUAUGUACAACCCUAUGUACAAGAAUAUACAAGAGAUUCCUAGAAGUCUCUAGAAAGCCUUGGACUCCUCCCAUGCCUUCCACCAUAGUGUAGAGAUGUGUGGACAUCUCUAGGCAUUUCUAGAACCUUCCACACUCUUCCCACCAAUGACUUAGUGUAGAUGGCUCCAGGAGUCUCCAGAAGCUUCCCUCCUUCUAUAUAAGCCCAUGGGGAGGGUCAUUUGAAGCAUCCUGUGACAAUAGGCUUCUGUUUCCACCCACUUGCUAAAAUAGUCAGUUGCAACGAGUAAAACUUUUUUUGAGCUAUUGCAACAAGUAAGGGACAAAUUAUGUCGAUCCCCCACUGCGCAAACAACCAAGGGCUUGUGACCAGACUGAGAGCUUCAGAAUGUACACGGGAAAUGGGAGCAUGUCUUUGACACCAGUCACAUCUCUUAAAAUAGUUUUCAGUGUUUUGUUUCAUGGUGGGCCAAUAGUACCCUUGCAUGUAAGCACGAUGUGCCAAGGUUCGUUCGCCUGUAUGAUUUCUAUAUACGCUUUCAUAGAGUUCGGCCAGGACAUACUUGGCUUCUGGCUUGCUCAAACACCUUAGGUAUGGUUCUCUAAAUGAUCAUCUAUAAAGCAGGUCAUUGAUUAAAGUGAAGCGAGAUGUUUGCACGCAGAGUCUGUGCAAUUGCUUCCAAUCUUCUAGUAAUUCUCUCGUCUAAAGGUAUUUUACAAUGUCAUGCAUCCAGCCAAGGUUUGCUUCAUUGGUACUGCACACUAGUUCGGGUGUGGCCUGAAGGUAGAUAGACAACAUCAUUGCCUCUUUUAUAAGGAGAGUGGCAACUAUUCCGGCCAAUGCAUCCGCCUUCAUGUUCUCCUUUCGGGGUACCAGUCUAACAAUCCACUCAUCUAGAUUUUUCAAGUGAUCUUCCACCAUGGCGAGGUAGCGAGCCAUGCGUUCGUCCAUUACUUCAUACUCUCGUUGAAUUUUCCCAACAAUUAGUUAAAAGUCGCUUCUGAUUUUCAAGUUUGUUGCAGCCAGUGUUAAGGCAAGAUCUAGCCUAACUAGGACAAAUUCAUAUCCUACUUUCGUACAAUCUCUCACAAAAUUCAUACACUCUCUCACAAAGUUCCUACCAUCUCUCACAAAGUUCGUACCCUCUCUCACAAAGUUCAUACCACAUCUCACAAAAUUCGUACACUUUCUCACAAAGUUCAUACUAUUUCUCACAAAGUUGGUACCUCUUCUCACAAAGUUCAUACCCUCUAUCACAAAGUUCAUACACUCUCUCACAAAGUUCGUACCAUGUCUCACAAAGUUCGUACAAUCUCUCACAAAGUUCAUACCUCAUCUCACAAAGUCCGUACCACAUCUCACAAUGUUCGUACCCCCUCUCAUAAAGUCCAUACCCCUUCUCACAAGUUCAUACCCCUUCUCACAAAGUUCGUACCCCCUCUUACAAAGUUCGUACCCCCUCUUACAAAGUUAGUACCACCUCUCAUAAAGUUCAUACCCCCCUCUUACAAAGUUUGUACCCCAUCUCACAAAGUUCUUACCACCUCUCAAAAAGUUCGUACCAUCUCUCACAAAGUACGUACCAUCUCUCACAAAGUAAGUACCAUUUCUCACAAAGUUCGUACACUCUCUCACAAAGUUCAUACCCUCUCUCACAAAGUUCGUACCAUCUCUCACAAAGUUUGUACCCCCUCUGAAAAAGUUCGUACCCUCUCUCACAAAGUUCGUACUAUUCCUCACAAAGUUCAUAUCAUCUCUCACAAAGUUCGUACCAUCUCUCACAAAGUUCGUACCCCCUCUAACAAAGUUUGUACCCCCUCUCACAGAAUUUGUACUCUCUCUCACAAAGGUCAUACCCUCUCUCACAAUGUUUGUACCCCUUCUCACAUUGUUUGUAUCAUCUAUCACAAUUUUCGUACCCCCUCUCACAUUGUUCGUACCCCUUCUCACAGUGUUUUCCUUCAAGAUAUAUAAAACUUCAUCUUCAAAUUUAAUCUACAAAUAAACAAAAUAAUAAUAUAAAAAUAUUAAUGACAAUUUAAUAAUAAAUGACUAAAUUGUCUCAAUUUGAUUAAUAAUAACUCAUAAAAAAAAAUUCAAAAAUCUAAAUGUUAUAAAGCAUUACAUAUUGUUCAUACCCUUUCUCACAAUGUUUGUACCCCCUCUCACAUUGUUCGUACCCCUUCUCACAUUGUUUUCCUUCUUCAAGAUAUAUAAAACUUCAUCUUCAAAUUUAAUCUAUAAAUAAACAAAAUAAUAAUGUAAAAAUAUUAAUGACAAUUUCAUAACAAAUGACUAAAUUGUUUCAAUUUGAUUAAUAAUAACUCAUAAAAAAAAUUCAAAAAUCUAAAUGUUGUAAAGCAUUACAUAUUUAAAUGUCAUUUAACAUGACAUUUCUACCUACAAAAUUUAUAUUUAAAUAAAAAAUAUCAAAUAUUACCUUUGACACUUGUAAUCACUUGAAAUCUUUCAUCUUUUUCAUAUAAUAGAAAUUUUAAAUUUUCUCCCUCAAAAAGUUUCAAACUUGAUCUUCAAAUUUGAUUUAUCAAAACACAUCUCACAUAUUUUAUAAUAUGGUAGUUGAAACUAUUUAAUUUUUAUAUUAAAUUAGUAUCCCUUUUUGUAAAUAUGAAUAAUGAGAGUAUAAGGAUAGUUGUUAGAAUUUUCUUUUUUUAGAUAGAAUUAGGUAACAUUAAAUAAUAAAUUAUAUUUGAUAUUUAAUAAUAAAUUAUAAAAAAAUUGUAAUAUUUAGAUAUGUAUGAAUUGCAUGUAAUUAUUUCUCACAAGCAAGCCAUCUUUAUCGGUUUAAUAAGUUUUUAAUUUUUUUUUUUAAGUGGGUAGGUACCCAAAAUAAAGAGUGGGUACCAAAGAACGAUAUAUAUUUUGUCUAUAUUCUGUAAGUGACUGAAUGAUAGAUGCCUGUUGGUGAAAGAGAUGCCUGUACGUCGGCUUAAGAGAUGUUCUUUAUAUCAAACAAUAUAUAUUUAUCUAUAUUCUGUAAGGGGCUGAAUGAUAAGAUGCCUGUUGGUCAAAGAGAUGCCUGUACGUUUGUCUCAAAGAUGCUUGUUUAUAUCUAAGAAACAAAAGAUUCACAUAAAAAAAAAAAAUGAUGCUUAGAUUAUAAUAUUGAUCCUUGUUCUAUUUGGUUUAAGAGAAUAGUUUGACAUACAUGCAUAAGGUAAUUAAUAAAUUCCUGGUCAAGUGUCACGUUCAAACAAAUUCCUGGUCAAGUGUCACGUUCAAACAAGAAGAUUAAUUAAUAAAAAAGGUCAUUUCAAGGAGUAAAAAAAUUAUGAAAAAUAUAUCAGUUUUAACCACUAAUAUUAAUUAUUAGCAAAAGUCACUUUGAACCAUAAAAAAAUAAAAAAUAAAAAAAAUUAAUAACAAAAUAUCACGUUGAACCACAAAUAUUAACUCACAGCAAAAGGUCACCCUACGCCAUACCUACUAACAGAAACAUGUUCAUUAGUUAACAUGUACACCAAACCACCAAGAGAGACAACACCUCAUAAAACAGUUUUUAAGACCAAAUUUUAAGAACAGUUUUUUAUGUUUUUAGAAACAUAAUUGUGUUUGGGAAUUGAAUUUUGAAAAAUACUUUUUAUUUUCAAAAACAAAAAAAAAACAUGUUUAGUUGAGUUAAUAAAAAAAGUUUUUAGAACAAGUAAAACAAAAAAAUAUAUUUGAAAGUUGCUUUUUUUUUUAAUUGAGAAUUUUCUUUAAUUAACUUGAUAUUGUAAUUAUAUACAUAAUUUUUAGAUUUACAUUUCAUUUAAAUUAAAAACUAUUAUAUUAUGAUAUUUAUUUGCAUGAGUUAUAAUUUUUUCAACAAAGGAUUACUUUACCUAAUUGAUGAAGGGUAAUAAAGGGACUCAUAAAUCUGCUCAUCUACAUCAUUUAUUUCAUCUAAUGAAAAGGUAUCAACAACCAUUGAUAUAAUCUACUAGCUAAAACAAAAAUGUAACAACAGCAACAAUUCAAGUAUUGGUACAUUUCAGAUCACUACAAAUUAAAAGACCUUUUGGGUACUUACAGGCGAAGAAUAAAGUGCAAACCAGCAGGAGAUAGACUCAAUAAACGAAUACAACUCAAUGGUGUAUUUAAUACUUAGAUCAGGCCUCCUUCCCCUGGAAGUUGUAAACAUGGAAUGAGCACCUGCAAAUCAAAGCAAGGGAACAGACAAAAACCAUUUUUUGUUACACUACAAGAACUAGACCAAGAGUAGAACCUGUAAAAUCAUAGUAAUCAAACACCAAAGGUCCAAAACCAGUGAUCCAUUUGCUAGAAAAGAGAAAUCAAAUUAAUGAAACACAUAUCACAAUCAUUUUAAAUAGAGCAGAGGUCAUUCAAAACCUAUGAAACUCUAGACGAUGUGUUAAUGAACCAGGAAAUAUUUUAAGAAAUCACACAAAGUGAUCUAUCUUAACCUAGUGUUAAUAUAAAAGAUUCAUAAUCCCAAGAUAGGGAAAAAAACAAAUACGCAGCCGAGAAUCAAACCAAUUAGGUAGAAGACAAAAAAAAAAAAAAACAUUUCAAAUUAAAUAUAUACUCCAAUCCGAAUCUCAAAACCAUAAAUUAUUUUCAUGGAGAAGACAAAGAAAGGAAGAAAAAGACAAUACCUAAAACACUGAGUCUCCUUCUCAUUGAAUCCCCUUGAUGCAAAAGAUGCAAAGGUUAUUCUUAGCUCUUCAUUAGGCAAAGAGAUCCAUAUGUUGCGACAUCUGCAAAAGCCUAACUGUUAUCUCUCUUGCCAAUAUCCAGAGGGUAGAAUAGGCCACCAGCCUAAAAUUCAAAGCUUCAUAACACCAUCAAAUAGCGUACAUACAAGCACAUGAACACAUAGAGAGAGACUUUUUACACGAACAGCACCUUCUCUGGCGGCUAAUACAAGAAUAUCAGCACGUGAGGGUAGGUUGCUUCCAGCUCUUCCUUGAUGGAUUCAAUUAUAUCAAAGCCUUUUAGAGUUUCAUUAGAAAGCGAAUCUUUCUCUGAAUGGAUUCCAAUAUUUUUCUUGCCGUCAGUCUCUUCCGUGCACAACCCUUUCAAAUCAUGGGCCCCAAAAACAAACCAAAUUCCACAUACUUUUCAACUAAAUACAACCAUGAAUGCCAGUGCUGCCCUAUAAAUAAUAUGGAGCUUGCCAAGCUAUUUCUCUCAUACCUACCAAUUCAUCAUUCAAGGUAUAGUACUGUUCUAUCAUUGUUCCAAGGAAUUAACAUGUCUACUCAAGUCUCAGCAUCUUCUCUAGCCCAGAUUCCCAAACCUAAAAAUCGUCCUGUGGCAAACUAUCACCCCAACAUUUGGGGUGACCAGUUUAUCUCCUACAUUCCUGAAGACAAGGUAAUUGAAUGAAAAUAUGCAUCAAGUUUAAUGGCUUACAUACUUAUUUGGCAGUUAUUUUUCUUAAUGUGUUGGAUGAAAAAAAAUUUUGGUCCAGGUUACACGUGCCUGCAAAGAGGAGCAGUUUGUGGAUCUGAAAAAGGAAGUGAAAAGGAAAUUAACGGCUGCUGCUGUUGCUAACCCUUCCCAAUUGCUGAACUUCAUUGAUGCAGUGCAACGUCUUGGGGUGGCAUACCACUUUGAGCAAGAGAUAGAAGAAGCAUUGCAACAUAUUUGUAACAGUUUUCAUGACUGCAAUGAUAUGGAUGGUGAUCUCUACAAUAUUGCUCUUGGAUUUCGACUACUAAGGCAACAAGGGUACAGUAUUUCAUGUGGUAAGAGACUAAGAAAAAAAUGUUAUGUUCAACCUUCUUAUCAUUUAAAUCUUAUGUUCAAGUGGUGAUGUUUGUGUAGGCAUAUUCAACAAGUUUAUGGAUGAACGAGGUAGAUUCAAGGAAGCUUUGAUCAGCGAUGUAAGAGGCAUGCUAUGCUUGUAUGAAGCUGCACAUCUGAGGGUUCAUGGAGAGGACAUAAUUGCAAAAGCACUUGCUUUCACCACCACUCACCUCAAGGCCAUGGUAGAAAGUUUAGGAUACCAUCUUGCAGAACAAGUUGCUCAUGCCCUGAACCGGCCCAUUAGAAAAGGUUUGGAGAGGCUAGAGGCAAGAUGGUAUAUAUCUGUCUACCAAGAUGAAGCUUUCCAUGAUAAAACUUUACUAGAGCUAGCAAAAUUAGAUUUCAAUCUAGUGCAGUCACUGCACAAGGAAGAGCUAAGCAAAUCUUGCAAGGUUGGUUUUUAGAUCACCCCACAUGUACUUGGCCAUUCUUAUCACUUUCCUGUAUGCUGAUCAUAUUAAUGUCUUUUAGGUGGUGGAAAGAAUUAGACUUUGCUACAAAGUUACCUUUUGCACGAGACAGAUUGGUUGAAUGCUACUUUUGGAUACUUGGGGUGUAUUUUGAGCCUCAAUACUUACGGGGUAGACGAAUUCUAACCAAAGUAAUUGCCAUGACAUCCAUUCUAGAUGAUAUCCAUGAUGCAUAUGGCACACCUGAAGAACUCAAGCUCUUCAAGGAAGCCAUUGAGAGGUUUGCUCCUUGCACAUUACCAACCUUGAUUGUGUAUAAUAGAUGUAUUCAUAUAUACCUAAAUCAAGGGUCGUUAUUUUAUUUUCAGGUGGGAUAUUAACAGCAUAGAUCAGCUUCCAGAAUACAUGAAACUCUGCUAUGCGUCACUCUUAGAUGUGUACAAAGAAAUCGAGGAAGAGAUGGAGAAAGAAGGAAACCAAUAUCGGGUUCACUAUGCCAAAGAAGUAGUAGGACAUCUUUAACUCUGGAUCCCCACCUUUUGUAUUGAUGAUAUUUUAUAUGGUCUCAUAUAUACAUAGAUAUAACUUGGAUGAAUGUUCUUUAGAUGAAGAAUCAAGUUCGAGCUUACUUUGCUGAGGCCAAAUGGUUACAUGAAGAACACGUACCAACAAUUGAAGACUACAUGCGUGUUGCACUAGUAAGCUCUGGAUACUGCAUGCUUGUAACCACGUCCUUGGUGGGAAUGGGAGAAAUAGCAACAAAGGAGGCCUUUGAUUGGAUGACCAGCGAUCCUAAGAUUAUGUCAUCUUCAAAUUUCAUUGCGAGGCUCAUGGAUGACAUCAAAUCACAUAAGGUAUGCAGAAUAUGUGAUUCAAAUGGGGAGACUAAAACACUAUGGUUUUUCCUCAACUUUUGUAUUAUACAUGCAGUUUGAGCAAAAGAGACGACAUGUGGCCUCAGCUGUUGAAUGUUACAUGAAGCAAUAUGGUGUCUCUGAGGAACAAGUAUACAGUGAAUUUCAAAAGCAAAUUGAGAAUGCAUGGCUGGAUAUUAACCAGGAAUGCCUCAAACCUACUGCUGUUUCAAUGCCUCUCCUUGCUCGUAUUCUCAAUCUUACACGAACCGCGGAUGUCUUUUACAAAGAGCAAGAUUCGUUCACACAUGUUGGGAAAGUGAUGAGGGAUAACAUUGCGUCUGUCUUCAUUAACGCUGUAAUAUAACCAAAUAGAGUAGUUGAUUACCGUCCCCUAUGUAUUGCCUUGUGGAAGCAGUAAUAUCUAAUAAAUCACUAUAAUAAGGUGAACGAGUGAUAUGUAAUAAAUCAUUGUAAUACGGUAAGGGGACACAUUAUAUGUAGCACCUAGUUUCUCUGGAUUCAUAGUGUUUUACUUUGGAAUAUUACCUGAAUAUUUAAAUAAGAAGAUGUAUUACUUAAAUCACCUAAUAUAUAUAUAUAUAUAAUAAACUUUAUUAUAUUAUAUUCUUUAAUACAUAUGUAUUAUUGUCAUUCAAUAUGAGGAGUAUUGAUACUGAGUCUUAAAAUACAUAUGUAUGUAGAAUAUAUGCCUACAACAAAUCUGGAUCUCCUUGUUAAUGUGUAAUGGUGUUUUGGAGUACUACAAUACUCACCAAAUAUUUUCUUUUCACUUUAUAAUGGACACUAACUUGUGAGUUUAAAGUUAAUUAAAUAUUUAACUCUAUAGAGAAUUAUUAUUGUUGUUGUUGUUGCUAGCGUUAUUAUUAUUUAUUAAUUCAUUAUUAUGAAAAUUAUUAUUAUUAUUAUUAUUACUAUUUAAUUAUUAUUAUUAUUAUUAUUAUUAUUAGCUAUUAAUUUUAGUUUUUUCCUUUACAUCUUUUCUUUCUUGUUAUUUAUUAUAUACUUCAUAAAAUUACAAGUUAUGAUCUUUUAUUAGGUUGAAAUUGGAAGUUCAAGUUCAUUUAAGUAUGGCACAGUUUACUUAGCGGUUCACUAAUUUUGUAAAAACUUCGAUGCAUUUAUAGGAUAAUUAAAUAAUUCAACUAACUUAUCAUUUUACUAAUUAAGGUUUUUUUUAACCCUUUUACGUGUAAGAAUAUAUAAAUUUCUAGUUCAAUGUCGAAACUUUGGAAUUGCAUGAAUAUGAAAGUGAAAUUGAUAACAUUUUUUUUUUCUGAAGAAUUGUGCUUUGAAGUGAGAUGGGCCUGAAAAUUGAUAUAACAUCCUCUUAUCAUCCACAUUUAAGUUCAAGAUUCAAAUAAAGUGUAAAAAUUGAGUUAAAAGAUAUUAUCAUUCAUUAAUCCUUAAAAUGCCCUUAACCCUUGCAUAAACACACAAUGAAUGUAAAUUUCAAUUUCUUUGUAUUUUUUUUCCCAGUCUAUUCCCUAUUACCUAUUACCCAUUACCCAUUUCUACCUUUUUGUUUUCUUUUUCAUUUUUUCUUUUCUUCCCAUCUAUAGUUCUAUUUUAUGCCCAAUGUUAAUCUCUCAUAAUUAUAUUCCCAUUUUCAUUCGAUCCAUUAUUAUAUCAUUAACAACCAUAUUAAUUGCUAUUAAUUUUAUAUUUACCUUACAAUUCAUCCAAAUAUUUUUCAUUUGUAUUUAUCUUUUAGUUGAACUUUCAUUUUUUAUUUUAAAUUUACAUUACCUUUUUAUUUAUAUUUUUCCCUUAUUUUUAAUUAUUUUCUAUAGUUUCCACAUUAACCAUAUUUUUUAAAAUUUUAAAAUUGACUAUCACUUCACUCUUAAUUUUUUUUAUAUAGCUUUUUAAGUUUUAAUGUUUUUAUUUUAAAUUUAAAAAAAAAUUAUUGAGAAAAUAACUAAUAUAUAAAGUUCUAAUAUUAUAUUAAUAAUUUUUCUUAUCUAAAUAAACUAAUGAAAAGUAUUUUUACUAACAACAAGAAAAUUGUGAACACAAUUUUUUAGUGAAACUUUAGAAAUUAAAUUUCAAAUAAAGUAUGUUAUAUCAAAUUUUAUCUAAAAUAUGUUGAAAGUGGUAUUUAAUUUUUUUUAUUGACUUUCAAACUUAUUAAAUUUUUUACUUGAAAGAUAAUAGAACAUGUUUAAAGAAAAUUAGUUUUUCAUUUUUUUAAAUAAAUGAGUAUAAAUAUUUUUAAAAAAUUUAAGAUAAUCUUAGUAAAAAAUUUGAUAAAUGUGAUUACAAUUUUAAAUUAGAUUUUUAAAUAUAGAUUCAUUUGGAUAAAAUUUCACAAAAAAAAAAUGGUGGAAAAAAAGGAACAUUGCUAAAACUACAAAAACAAAAUAUGCAAUUACAAAAUUUUGAUAAUGAAAUUUAAAAAUAAGAGUCGAAACAAUUCUUAGGUGAGAUAAUUUGAUUGGGGAGAUUAUGCAAUUCUUGAGUGAAAAGAAAAAAGCGGGAGAGUUUUUGAGAAUAACUUAAAAUCCUUGACAAAAAAUAGUAUUGUACACUCUUGUAUAAUUAGUAAAUUUGUCUUGUACAAUUAGUGUAAUCAAUAAUUCAGAUUCCAUAUAUUUCCUUGUGAAUAUAUGUUAAUAGGUUAAUUAACCAUGUUUGCAUUGGUUUGGUUUAAGAGAACAGGAAAAGUUGUUGUACAAUUUUGUUCCAUGAUUAUCAUUAAUAGGGUAUAUAUUCAAAUGAUCAUAUACAAGUUAGAUAAAGUGCAUGAGAUGAGUAUAUGAUUAAUCGAUGUGUAUGAGGAAUGUCAUCCAUCCUUGACUGGCAGAAUCACUUAAAUUCUUCACAAAUGACAACCUUGUGCACCUUUGUACAGUUAGCAUAUUUGUCUUGUAUACUUAAUGUAAAUAUAUUGUAUAGUGAACCAAAUUUCAUAUACCCUUUACUCAAUGUGUGUCCAUAGAUAGGUAGGUUAAACAUGUUUCCACUAGUUUAAUUCACAAAAUAGUGGAAGACGUAAAAACAAAAUUUUUCCUCAAACAUCAUUAGUGAGAUAAGUAUUCGAAUUGUCAUGUACAAGUUAAAUAAAGUGCAUGACUUGGGUGUGUGAUAGAAGAAUGUGUGAUAUGAGAGUGUGCAAUCCUUAAAUGGCAAGACAAAAAAAAAAUUGCAAGAACAAAAAGUGAGAAAAUCUUUAGGUAAUUAAUCAUGUUUUUUGAGUGACUCUAAUUAAUAAAUUAGCUCUAAGUGACUCUAAUUAAUUAAUAGCACAUUCCAGAAAGUCAAUUUAUAAUAUCUAGUACAAGCUUGCAUUUUUACCAAGACGCUUUUAUGUAGACUUAUGAAUUACAAAUACCCAAAAUACUCUCAAAGCAUUCCAUCAUGAAAUAGGAGCUCAAGUAGAGACCAUUGAGACCUAUAGGAAAACACUAACUCCUUCAAAAUCUAAUGUUGAAUUUGACUUUACACUCUACUAAAGAGAGUCAACUACACCCUAAUAUCUUAUGAAAUUACAAUGAGCGAAGAUCAAGUCUAUGACCUACUAUUCAUUGCAUGUAAACUCUUCAUAAAUCGAUGUCUGUAAUUUAACAAGAUAGUGUUAUUACCUAUCAAACUUAUCUCUUUAAUCCUUAAAUUAUAGAUCUCACUUCUUAUGUGAUCAACUGACAUACUUUGCCUUAGAGAAGUAUUAUCUUUCGAUGUGAAAAUUUAGUGGGUGUUAAUUGACUUUUUGGUAGUUCUUAAAGAAUAAUUUCCUCAAAUAACAAAAGAAGCACAUAAAAAAAAUGCAAUAAAAAAUAAUUGUGGUGGUCUCAAAGUGACUUGGCCAAAAGUUAAAUAAUUGGAGGAUGACAACACGGAACAAGGACUUUUCAAACAGUUAUAUACAAACUUAAUAUAAUAAGGGUUUUUUUAAUGAUUAUUUUGGGAAAAAAAUUUUAAAUAGGGGAGGAUAUAAUUAUAUAAAAAUAUGUGUAUGCAUAUCAAUACAUGUGUAUAUUUAUACGUAUUUUUACAUAUUAAUUUAAUAAAGUAAAAUAAAAAUCAAUUGGUAUGACAAACAAAAUUAAAGUAAUAACAAUCCUAUAAGAAAAUAAAUAAAUAAAUAAAUGAACAAAAGUAAGUUUGUGUCAAAAAAAUAUAGUAAAAAAAUAAAAAUCCUUGUGGAAAAACUAAUUGCUAAUAUUUUUUAUUUUAAAAACAUUUCUAAUAUUAACCUAUAUCGAAACUAUUUAAUUUUAUUACAUUUCAUGGAAAUAAACUUCCUGUAAUAAAAAUAUUUUCUUUUAGGUAUCUAUAGACGAGAAAAAAAUAUUUGAUAUAUGAUUAGAAAAAUGUUAGUGUCCGAAAAUCGAAAAAUGUCCUUGGAAGAUUGUAUUUAUUUCCCCUGAAUUUUCGGUUUAUCCGGUACGCUCCAUGCCAAACACUGCCCGUGUUUUACGCGGUUUGCAACCCAUACUCCAUGCUCCAUGUCGUAAACCAAUGAGAUUAAAGAUUAGUCUGACAGCUUCAUUGGAAAAAUUCAAAACUAAUGGAAAGAAUGAAUAAAAAAAUGAAAGAAAAUGAAUUGGUCCACAUGUGAAAAGGAGAGAGCUGGUCGUUGAAUGGGAAAUGGAGGAAAAUAGAAGAAAAAUGACAAAGGAAGGAGCCAAGAAAAGGAAGGAGGAAAAUAUAGUAUUUCUUGUUAAGCUAUAAUUUGACCUUGACCAUAAAGCUCAAUCAAACAUAUUUACUGCACUGUUCUUCUAAACCAUAUAUGCAGUUUGAGCAAAAGAGAGGACAUGUUGCCUCAGGCGUUGAAUGUUACAUGAAGCAAUACGGUGCCUCUGAGGAAGAGGUAUACGAUAAGUUUCAGAAGCAAGUUGAGGAUGCAUGCAAGGAUAUUAAUGAGGAGUUCCUACGACCUACGGCUGUUCCGAUGCCUCUCCUUAUGCGUGUGCUUAAUCUUUCUCGAGUGAUGUAUGUGAUCUACACGGGGGGAGAUGGGUACACUCAUGUUGGAAAAGUGAUGAAGAAUAAUGUUGCAUCACUGCUCAUUCACCCUAUCGCAUGACCAAAUGGAUCAAGUUGAUGAGCAUCUACAUAUUCUGCCAUACCUAAUGCAUCACUGCUCAUUUGAAUAUAUGUUUAAAACACAUGGAUCAAGUUUGAUACUUUUCUGUCAUUUAAAGUUCACGUGAGGGAGAAAAUUCUCCAUAGAAAAUCACUUGGCGGAGAAGAUUCAAACAACACGUGUAUUCACUAUGGAAGUUACCAGGAAAAGGGUUUAGAACAUACAAAGACAUAAAACACUAAAAAAUUCAUCCUAACGGGUAAAAUAUGAUUAUGAUUAUUAUUAUUAUUAUAAUAUUAGACAUGCUAAAAGUUUUAUUAUAUACCAUGUAAAAAAUAAAUGUUAUGAUAUUACAUUAAACUAUGCAGAGUUUAAAUUUUUGCCAAAAAAAAAAAAAAAAGAAAAAAAAAAUUGGAGAAUCAAAUUCAAUCAACUCAUCAUUUUCCAAGCAAGGAUUACGAUAUUGAAAAUUAUAGAUAGAUCGAUGAUUAUAUUUUUAAAAAACAUUGGAAUGAAAUAAUAAUACAUGUAUAGAAGUUUUUUAAAUAAUAUAUAUAUAUAUAUAUAUAUAUAUAUAUAUAUAUAUAUAUAUAAUAACAUUUGUGUGAUAUUGAAUAAUAAUCCAUAGAGCUUGAAAAUGCAUUUAAUUAUAAAAUAUAUAUGAUUGCAUGUAAUUUGAAAAUAAGUAUUUAUAAUUUCAUUUACGACUUUAUUUCUUCCUCAUUAUUUAAUUAAUAUAGACAAGGUAUAUAUAAAAAAAAGACUUUAGUGAAUGCAACUUCAAAUGACGAAUAAUGCACGGUAGCAGUAAGCGAAGACUCAUUAUUUUGACUUCAAGGCAUUAAUUCAUAUUUUAUCCAUUACACAACAAAAUAUAUAUAAAUAUCCUUAUAAAAAAUAUAUACAAUAUUUAUAGGUAACAACUUUCUUCUUAAGCAAAGCAGCCAAGUAAGACUACAAAAUCUAUACCAAACAAAAUAUCUACUAGGAAUAAAAUUGAUUGGCUCGAACUCAAACUACCUAUGGACAAAUUUGGAUAAUUAUUUCCAACAUUUAAAUUGAUUGGGCUUAGGUUAAAGUAUUCUUCAACUCUUAAGUCAAUUUUAGUUGGGCUCUUACCAAGGUUGUGACAUCUCGAAUCUAACCAAAAGUUGAUAUAAUAUUUAUAUAAUAAUUAUAAUUUAUAUUAUUAUGGACUCAUGCACAUUUUUCAUUUAUUAUGAAAAAUGAUUAUUUGAAAACCCUUUUUAGGUUUUUUAGAGUGAUCAUUUAUUUUAUUUAUUUUUCAAAAAGGAAAACAAAAUAAGAAAAAAAAAAAAAAAAAGACAAGUUCAUAAACCAAGAUUGAGUAAGAAGUCAAAUUACCUAUUGGAAAAAUACAAAGAUAAGUCAUACAAAACAACCCUCUAAGCUUAUAUACUUACAAUCUUUAUUAAGCAAAUGAAAUGAAUUAUGACAAUUAAAUAAUUGAUUAUGGAUACUCAAGAAAAGAAAAACACAAAUAUAAAACAAGUCAUGGUGUUUAUCAUGUUAAAAUAAUGUAAAAAAAAAAAACAAAUGAUAAAAGAAUUUGCAUAAAUUGAUUUAUGAAACUAAUUAAAAACAUGGGUUUAAUUAUUUCUAAAUUCAAAGGAUUAAAAAAGUUAUUCCAAUUUGAUGAUUUCAAUUGAUUUUAAGUACAAAAGAAAGUUUUGAUUUCAAAUUUUUUUUUGAAGAAAAAAAUGCUUCAAAUCAUAGAGAUCAUCAUUUAUAUCAGCAAUGCCAUGAUAGUUAUCAUAGGUGCUUUGUAAUGCUUGUUCUAUCUCGUUUUCAAAGUGGUAUGCCACCCCAAGCCGUUGAAUUGCAUCGAUAAACUUCAGCUGUUUCGAAGGGUUACUAGCUGCAGCAAUCAGCUCUCUUCUAACUUCCUCCUUUAGAUCUUCCAACUGCUGCUCUUUAUGGGCCAGAGUUAUCUGUAUCAAUAAAUUGCAAGAACAAAAAGUGUGAAAAUCUUUAGAUAUUGUUAUGUAAACUGCAUAUAUGAUCAGAAAAUUACCUCAUCAUCAGGAAUGUUGCUCACGAUGAAACUAUUGGCCCAAAUGCUAGGCUGAUAAUUUGCAGUCCGGCGAUUAGUCUCUGGAUUAGCAACUGGGGCUGGAGAAGACAUGUUACUGGUAGCGAGAAUUAAGGGCAUGUGUAACUCACUGGAGCACUCCAUAUAUGAAUAAGAUAGCUUGCAAUCUUCGGUAUUUAUAGGAUGGGAAAUCGUUCAUUACAAUUAUUGAAUAUCAAUCCCAGAUCCCCAGUAGCAUGGAUUCAAUUAAUUCAAGGUCAUCUAUCAUAUUUAAACCACGUUUAUUAAAAAUUAAAUAUUUAAAAUAUGUUUUUAUUUCUCUUAGAAAUACGAAAAUUGUAGCUUAUUCCCUUAAUAAUUCUCAGUAUCCAAUCAGCCACCAAACAGUGACUAAGACUUUCACGUGAAGAUCGUUGGGAAGGUUAAUUUAAAAAUAUUUUAAAAUACACGUAAGUUUUCAAAAAUCAAAUAAUUAUUUCUUGAAAUAAAAUUAUAUAAAAAAUAAUAAUUUAUCACUUUAAGUUAAUAAAAGCAUCUUACAAAUAAGUAUAUUAAAAAAAUAUAUAAUAUAAUAUGGGAUACAAAUCAUUGUGAAAAAUGUUCUAUGAUAAAUAAAAUUCCUUCUAAUCUUGUAAUUAAUAAUAAUUUUAUAUUAUAUAUUAUAUAAAUCAUUUCAUCUUCCUAUCUUUUUUAAUAAAUUGAAUAAAAUUUUUGUUGGUUGGCAUCAAUAAUAAAAUAAAAUAAAAAUUAGAACUUAAAAGUUAAAAAUAUAACAAAUAAAAUAUUGACUUUUAUUUCACUCAUAACAUGUCUGUUAAAAAUAUAGAUAUCAAGAAAGAAAAAUAUAAUAUGGGUCAAUAUUUUAUUUAAUUUUUUUUAUUUUAAUUGUAUUUAAUUUUUAAGUAUUUUGGUUUUAAUUGUAUUUUUAAUUUUUAAAAUUUCUUAUUUUAUAGUUGUUCAAUAUUCUUAAGAAUGUUUGUUUAUAAAGAGAAAAAAAAAAGUCAUAAAUUCGUCUCACAACACCAUGACUAAAAGGGAGAUUGGUUCUUUACAAUUAAACAUCUACACGUUUAUUUGUUUAUUGAUAUUAUUGAUGUAAGAGAUAAAAUGAUCAUUUUAGGAAAUAAUUAUUUAACUUAUGAGAAAUGUAUGUGUUUUAAAAUAUAUUUAAAUGGAUGAAAAUAAAACUAAUUUAUAAAAUUUUGAAUUUCUUUUUCAAAUUAGUGAGUCAUAACCUAGUUUUCCCUUAAUAUUUCAUUGUACAAUAAAAUUAAUAUCAUGGUAAUAAAAGAAUUUGGAUAUAACUAGGGAACUAAGUUCUUUUAUAUACAACACAAAAAUUAGUGUCUAGAUGAAAAGAAAAUUGCAAAUAAUUUGUUUUUCAAUCACACCUAUUGUAAGAAUCAUAUUAUUAAUUAUUUUGAUUCUUAAUUAACAAUAAUUAAGAAUAAUAUAAAUAUAUAUUUUUUUUAAUUAAAAUGUGAUUUGAGUUAGGAUAACUCUUAAAUUUUUGGCAAAUUUUCAAUGCCAAUAUUUCAUUUAUAUAAAACCACAUAAUAUUUCCUUGAUAUAAAAAUUAGGUCUAAAUGAUGCUUGAUAUGUCAAAUGUCCUUUCAAACAUUGAAAAAGUUAAAAAAAAAAAAAAAAAACAUUGAAAGUUAUGUGAUUCAAUUAAACCACAAAUUCCUUAGAGGAGAUGUAUAUAACCAGCCAAUCACUUUAUCAUAUGAAAAUCAUUCCUCCACCUUAUCAUAAUAAUUGAUUCUUCACCUAUCAAUAAUUUUAAAUUCCCCUAAUAUGGCAAUUUACAUCUCCUCUUUCUAUCAAUUUCUAGACCCAACCUUAUAUUAAUUUCUAAAAAUUUCAUCCCUUAAAUCGGAGUGGCAUGACAUUAUUUAGUAAAUUCCAAUAAAACUAUAAGAGUUCUAAACAAUCAAUGAAUCCAAAAUAAUCAUUUAAGUUUUAUUAAAUCAUUAUAUUUAUUUAUUAAACAUCUUUUAAGUCAAACUUAUUAUAUAAUAAGGCUUAAUUAUUUUAUAAUUUAUUUAUUUUAAUAGUUAAGAAAAUUGGAGGAUGCAUUGAAUUGAGCAAAACUAAAUCUCAAUCAUAAAUGAGCAAGCCUAUUUUAUAAAGAGACAAUAAAGUUUGGAAGGACCAUCUAUGGUCGAAUUCAUACACCAAAAUCUCUAGAAAAUCCGAGUGGGCACCAUCACCAUUGAAUAACGGCCCUACUUGGUAUGUGGGGUGAUGUUGUGGGUUUUGGAUGUUAAUAUGAAAAAAAGAGUCGAGUGUUUUGCAAAUGGCCGGCCGCCCUACUUGGUAUUACUGAGUGUGGAUAUGUUGGAGUUGUUUUGGGGCUUAAAGUUUUAGUUUGACUUGUUUAAAUUUCCUUUUUUUCAUGUACAUUGUAUUGACUCUUCUCAUCAUUGUUGUCGCAUUCCUCGGUCCUUAUUUUAAUAAUUUAUUAUAUUUUUUAUAUGAAAUGCAAAAUAUUUGAGUACUUUUUGAGUGGUUGCUUAUAAUAUGCAGUGAAAUUUGUUCCUACUAUUAUUUGUUAAAAGGGUAAAUAUUUUAGUGGUUGCUAUUUCUAAAGAAAUUAAGAUUUGGUUCACUUUUUCAAAAAUUAAUUUUUGCUUCCAAUAACAAAUAUAUAUAUAUAUAUGAAAAAAAUAUGAAAAUGAAAACAUGUCUAUGUGUUAAUUGUUCCAAAAAUAGAUUUUUGAAAAUAGGGUAUUUUUUAGGAAAAGUUUUAAUUGUUUUUAGUUGUUUUUUUUUUUUUUGUGAAUGUUUAAAAAAUAAUAUAUAAAUAAAAAAAUGAUUAAAAAUAAGGUAGUAUAUAUAAAAGUUUUUUUUAUUGUAGAGAAAUUUGAAAAACACGCUUUUAAUGUUAGAAAAUGAUUUUUAUACAAUAAAAAAACUAUUACAAAACAGAGUAGUCAAAUAAGCAAUUCUAUGACACUUUCCUUUCAUCUUUAGAUUUUGUCAUGGUAAUCAAAUUACCAAUUAUGAUUAGAAUUCCUUUUCUAUUAAUUAAGUCUAUAAAUUCAUUGUUUUAGCUAUGAGUUUAGUAAAUUUUUAACUAAAAAUUUGAAAAAAAUAAAAAUAAAAUUACUAUUCAUAUAUAUUUUCUUUUUUUGCUUUUUUUUUUUUUUUUUUUUGAGAAUUUUGUUAACUCAUCCCUCUUGGUGUUCCUCAAUUGGAAUCAACAAGAAGGGUUUUUUUUUUUAAUACUACUUUUUUGUCUUUUGAGAAUUUGGUUCAAUAAAGGGUUUGAUUUUAAAUUUUUUUUAGAUACGUAUACUAAUUAUUAAUUAGGAUAUUUGAUUGAGACAUGAAUGAUCUUGGCUGAUUUGUAAACUCUAUUUGAAAGUAGUAAAAGAUUUGUGUAAUCAUUAUUUCGUUAUAAAAUUAUCUAAAGAAAAAUUAUUAGUGCUUUAGUGCAUUAGUCUAGUUAAAUUAAAUUUGUAAUUUUUUAGGACGUCAUAUAUAUAUAUAUAUAUAUAUAUAUAUAUAUAUAUAUAUAUAUAUAUNNNNNNNNNNNNNNNNNNNNNNNNNNNNNNNNNNNNNNNNNNNNNNNNNNNNNNNNNNNNNNNNNNNNNNNNNNNNNNNNNNNNNNNNNNNNNNNNNNNNUAUAUAUAUAUAUAUAUUAAUGAUUUAUACUCCCUUUAAAAAUUCAAGGUUGCUGCAUAAUUAAUUUGAAAUUAAACAGAUAAGUAUAACUAAAUUGAUUUAGAAUAAUGAGCAAAAGGGAUAAGUAUUUAUAUGGAAAUUGAAAAUAAAAAUUUGAAAAUGAAUUUAAAUUUAGAAUUUAAAAUAGAAAAACUUUCAAAUAUCUUUUAGUUUAAAAAAUAUUUUUAAAGUUUAAAAAAAUCUUUCCUUCCUAACUCUUUUUUUUUUUUUUUUGGUAAAAUAUCAUUUGAGAGUUUUCAAAGAUCACCCCCUAAGCUUAAAGUCAUUAUUCUUUGUGUUUAAUAAAAAAAGGUUUCAAAACAUUUUAAAUUUGUUUGUUGAGUUUGAGAUAGAAGAUCACAUCCUCUCAAGGUGUCGAGGAGUCCAGUAAGGAGAAUGAUACGUUUGCAUCGUGGACAUGAAAUUAGGUACAAUCAUUAGAUAACUUUAUGUACUUAUCCUUCAAAUUUAGUGGAUUUUAAAUUUAUGGUAUUUGACCUUGUGGUUCUUAUAUCAAAGUCUUUGGGAGGCUUUGUGAGUGAUUUCUAUGUAAUUGCUUGUAUUUUUAAGUGAUUUUUUAUUUUUAUUUAUUCUUUAUAUCCUAAUAAAAGAAAAUAUAGAAACUAAAGAUUGGCAUACAUUGAGCUAAAUUCAAGAAGACUAUCUAUUUACUCCCUUUGAGGUGAAUAGAUAAAAAAGAAAGAAGAGAAAUGGGAGAUUUGUCUUUCUUUAAAUCCAAACAAGAUGAUAAGUCCCAGUCAAAGAAUCAUGUACUACAACAAUUGAUUACAAGUAUUCUCUUUGGGUGAGAACAGACCACACAAAGAAAUUGGGUGAAAAAAAUUGUCAUAUCCUUUAUUGAUGUCCAUGAGCGAUUUUUAACAUAUGUCGCUAAAACUAAAGGUCUUUAACACCAUAAUAAAAUAACUUCAAAUAAUAAAAAAAAUAACAAUAGUGAAAGCAAAAAAUCAAUGCAAUAGCUUUUGUUCUUCUACCACUACUUAUGACUUGUUCCAGCACAUGGUUGUUAAUCCCUUCUAAUUCCUUGGCCAGAAGAGAAUAGCAGCUUGACUAUGAAAUGAUCCCACAACCACUUGAAUGCGUACGUGUCUUCACGCAUGAUAUUUUGGAUUUCUUUUGAUGGCACAUUGCAAACGUUGUAGCCCAUUCAAAGUCUUGUCAUUACUCCCCCCUCCAAGUGGAUGCUUGUCCUCAGGGUCCUAAUUUGGAAACCUCUGCAGAAGCUCUUCGGUACUCUCCCACGUAGCAUCCUCCACAGCCAGCAUACACCACUUGACUAAACUUUCUUCACGAAACUUAGCCCCGUGUUUCACCCAGCGAGUGUCUAGUAUGGCUUUGGGCUCAAUCACAAGUGUACCAUCAUCUGAAAGUGGCAGAAGUUCUGAACUGUUCACGGAACCAUCUUGAUUACUACUCAAAAAGUGCUAUUUCAUAGCUUGUAAUUAACUCUUUUAAACACUUUUGAGUAGUAGUUAUUACCUUUUAACCCAAUUAACAUAUUAAGGACCUUUGCAAUAAAUUCUAAUCAAAUACUGUUAAGUUUUGGUGUUUUGAUAGCUUUUUGAUCACCAAAGCAAUCCAAGAUUGAGGAGAGUUCUUUGGAAUCCAUGGAAAAGCAAUGGAAAGCUCAGAAACAUGAAGAACCGAAGCUUUGAAGUCCUUUGCCAUAAGCAAAUCUGGAAUGCAAGGAGGGGAAGCAAAGAGAAAUCUGCCAUGAAGCAUUCUAGAUGACAGUCAUGUAAGCCACUUUUGGAGUACUUCCUGGAGUCCAAUUUAUGUAUGCUAUAUGUCGUUUCGAAGCUUAAGAAGUCAACAAUCCAAUGCUUUAAACAGUACGCGAUUCGGAGUUGAAAUGAAGGAGUUACAACCAUUGGAAGCUGAUCACUCCAAGCUAAAGGAAAAUUUUGCACGGCUGCAAAAUCCCCCUUUUGCUGCGAAAAUGUUGUCCUUUUGUUGCGAAAAUUUCGCAGCCAUUUUGCACAAUGCAACAGAAUUUCUCCUGAAGCUUCCUGAUAUUUGCGACAUACAUUUUGAGAUUUUUUGCUUUAGAUAUUUGAUGUCUAAAUCCCCAAACUCUCCUUGUAACCCACCUAUCAUAGGAUUCCUUAAUCUUUAAGUAAGAACAAAGGGUGAAUAACCUCUUAUAUAUAGUUUGUAAUUUUCUUUAUACAAUGAUCAAUCUCUCGAGAGCCUGUUCUCAGAGAUGAAUCAUCAUGUAAUUGGCGAAAGGAAGAAAUAUAUUUUACAGAGCACUUGCUCUGUUUUUCCUUCAUAUUUUUGUUUUCUCAUUAUUUUUCUUUCUAGCCAAUCAAACUUUGAGGAUGUUUUCUCAGAGGAUGAGAGGCUAGGCUCUUCGUCUCUUGGAGUGAAGAAAGCCGGGUAAGUUUCCUCAUGCAUAAAUUGGAAGUUUUGUUGUUUUAGUUUUUAAUGAAGAGAAAGUGUGACCCGUUAAUGGUUUUUAUCUUUUUAGUUAACUUAAAAUGCCUUUAAAUCACCUGGGCCAACACUUGGUAAGGCAAGUGAUCUCCGUCCAUUGAGAUGCACUAGUUUACCUAUUGCGAGCCUUUGGGAGGUGGUUUAAAGGUAGGAUUUUCUAGAAUAGCCAACACUUGGUAAGCUUUUGGACUCCAAGGAGACAUCCAUUAGUUAUCUCUUGCGAGCUUUUGACGGGUAAUCCAAGGUUAAGGAUCACCUUGAAUGGCAAAUGCUAGGUGAGAGGCACGAGCCAUUGCAAGAUGCAUCAGUGAGAGAGAUUUAGUGUUUGAACCCAUUAAUGGGAAGCAUCUGUACCACACCGGUUAGAGAAUUAACUAUAUGUUAAUUCUCUAAUGCGAGAAAAAGAAACAAGUGACCGGAACUCCCUUUUUGUACAAGGAACCUGAGCCUAGUGAUUUGAAACUCCAAGAAACACUUUUCUUUGUAAGUAAAAUCAGUUGCUAUUUUUGGUUAGUUUAAAACCAAACCUUUUUCAUUCAAACAUCUUUAUGUUUUAUUUUAAAGCUAACCUUGAAAUGAAAAGACACCAAUUCAUCUUUGAAUUAAUAUCAAUUGUGGAGUGAAAAACCAUCCCAGUGAAUGACCCUAGAGCCACUAUGCUAUGCUAGCUAAGGCUAUCCUAGUACAUGGUGUAAUAGGUUAUAAAUUUUGUUGAUUACUCCUGAGGACCAAAAUCAAGGGACACCAGCUGGACACGAAUCAAAUGGCACCACUGUCAGGGACCAUUGAGAGGACAUGAAUCAACUGAGACACCAAUUGGGAACGCAUCACAUCUCCAAGCUUCUUCCUUAGCAUCAAUACAUGAAAAACAAGGUGCAAGCGCACAUUGUCGGGUAGCUUCAGUUUUUAUGCGACAGCUCCCACUCUCUCCUCGAUUAGAUAUGAUCUACAGUAUUUGCUUGCAAGGUUCUGAUGAGCGCGUUGAAAACGAAUUGUUGGCGAUAAGGCUGUAGUUUGAGGAAAACAAGAUUGCCUUCUUGAAAUGUAGCAUCCCAUCAGUCACGAUAUGCUAUUUGCUUCAUUCGAUUCCUUGUAAUUGCCAAGUUUUCCUUGAGAUGUUUCAAUAAUGCAUCUUGAGUUGCAAGGCUAUGAUCAACUUCAUCAACGGGCGAAGACCCCAUCGAAUACAAUGGAAUAACAGGGGAAAGUCACCCAUAAAGAGCCUGGAAUGGGGUCAUGCCUAUAGAAGAGUGAUAAGCAAUAUUAUACCAUAACUCAGCCCAAGGAAGAAAUGUACUCCAUUGGCGUGGUUGUUGAUAGAUGAAGCAAUGCAGAUAUUGUUCCACACAGCGGUUGACAACUUCAGACUGGGCAUCUGUUUGAGGAUGGUAGGUAAAACUCAUCUUGAGUUAUGUACCCAACAUUGUAAAAAAUUCCUACCAGAACUUACUGAUGAAAAUGGGGUCCCUAUCACUAACAAUAGACCGCGACAUUCCAUGUAGUUUCACAAUGCCCUCAACAAAUUUUUUUGCCACCACAUUUGCUGUAAAUGGAUGAGAUAAGGGCAGAAAAUGUGUGUAUUUGCUGAGACGAUCAACAAUCACCAGAAUGGUCUUUUGAUCAUGGGAGAAUGGUGUUUUGAGCAAAACUAAAUCUCAACCAUAACGUAUCUAGUUUGAUUUAAUGUGAUUUAGUGUAAGAAAUUUGAUGUGAUUUGGUGGACCAUCAUGUUUAUGAUAGCUAAAAACUAGUAGGCAAUGAAAAUAAAAUAAUUCAUUCUUGCAGAGAGAAAGGGCAAGAGACAAUAAAAUAAUAAUUAUAGCACUAGACUUCUUCCUUACUAUCUAGUUUUCCCAUCUUCUUUUGUUUGUGAUUCCACUUGGGCUUACCAUUCUAUUUUAUAGAAAUAUGAGGAAAUUAUUCUUAUAAUUAACGUAGAAAAGUGAGGCAUGUUGAUGUUGGAUAAUUGGAAGUAACAUGUCUCCCUGAUGUCGUCGCCCAAUCAACUGAGAGUGAGGCUUCCUUCUCCUCUCCUGCAAAAGACACACCCUCCGAAGCUCUAGUUAGAUUGACAAUUAGAGAGAAUACCCCAUAUUGGGAACUCAAGAAGUGGAUUUUCUUUGCCCUCCCCCUCCCCCUCUUUCUUUUUGAGCCAUGUGAAGACUUUUAUUGUGUUUGGAGCCUUGUCACAUCUAUGCUGGGAAGGUGCUUUGACUUUCACAAUCAUGAUGGCUGCACAGAGGGUGGCAAAGCAAUCAUUAUCCUUUAGGCGGUUGAUAGGGGUCGUCGAUGGGGUGACCUGGCGUCUUGCUUGUCACCUCAUUCUACAAGCGGUGCAGUGCAGAGCGCAGCAGGUUGCCUGAAAGGACAUGGGGAUGUCCCAUCGAGCGUGCUUUUGGUGAGGAGAAGAAUGAUUGCCCGCGAAAACCGGUCAGGGAUCCUGUUUGGAACGCAUCAUGCAUUCUUGGAGAAGCACGAGGCAGCCAACCAUUGACUAUUGGGGCCGAAUUAGGUGUUCCUAGCUAAUGGCACAUGUCUAGACAAAGAUGAAGGGAUGCCAUGUGUCCAACAAAAGGGUGUCUUGCGAGGUCAAGGCAAUCUGCCACAUGUCCGCCCAAAUGAGGUCCUUACAAUGCCCCCUUUUAACCCAAUUGUUUUGUCCGGACAGAAGAGGCGAGUUAGUGGAGGGAGAUCCAAUGUCCACAGAGAAGGCUGCACACAACGUCAUUUUCUUUAGCAAUGAGCAGUUCAACGCGGGGCCCCGUUUCCUCUUCCAUCCAUUUUCAUGUAGUUCUUGCACUAUACCCAGAUCCCUCCAGCCGUUUCCAUCCUAAUAUCGUUUGGGUGUUAAUGGGGUGAAGCAUCCUGAACAUGCUCUUCUAUCUGGACCUCUUCCUAUCAUAGGUCAUCUUCGUCUACACCAUCAAAAAGGGCAAAAAUGACAUCUUUAGCAUGUUCGCCCAUAUCCCGUCUCUCUAGUUGGUGAUGAGUCUUCUUGAAUUGAACAAAUGAGGGGCCAAGAGACAUGUGCUGGUCCGGGGACCAUGGGUCAGCUUGAUAGAGCAUCCAGAAAGGGAUUUCCACCCUAACUGUUCAUUAAAGAUUCCGAGUAAGAAUGGUUCUAAGUGCCUCUCCCCUUACUAUUUUCUGUUGAGUUAAUGUCACUUGGUCGCUAAUAUUUUAUGUUUUGGCUGGUGUAAGUAAGGAUAAGAGGGGUCGUCUGGUUGAGUGGGUGGAGAAGGCUUCAUUCGUUCGAAAUCAUUGCCAGCGAAAGGAACUACCAGACGCUUCUUUCUGCCCGAAACCUACUUGCAGUUAUCCGGGAGCCCCAACCGUACGUCCUCCUCAUCAUUCCUAGGCGGUUGCCUAAGGUUGUGGUGCCCCGGGAACACUUUGUCUUGAAGAAUCUUUCAUUUUACGAAGAGACGUGUGAGGCAGAUGCCAAGGCUCGUUAGGAGCGUCUUGAGUAGGGGGAUGAGAAAAUGUAGGAGGGGAAAUUAAGGAGAGCGUCGGGUGAGAAGGGUCAGGCCUUGUUGUCUGUGGCCUAUCCUCCAACUAAAAAGAAGAAGAAGAACAAGAAGAAGAAGAAGAAAAGACCCAACGUAAAAGUGACCAAGGCUUCGACUCUAGUUCCUGAAUCUCCGUCUACCUCUACUCUUUCCUCUUCCAAUUCGGCGGACAGCUCCAUCCAAGCUUCCAAGGGUGACUCCGAUUCCUUGAGGCUCGAUCUAAGCGAUCCGGGGACUUGUCAUUCUGAGCCUGAGUCAGUGCCUAUAGCCCUUAGAGUUAUAGACGAACCAGAAGCAGAGGAAGACAUGUCAACUGAUUUGAGAGUCGGUUUUAAGGAGAGGCACCGUAAACGUCUGCAUGAGGCUAUCCAUAUGGUCCCUCCUCCAACCAAAAGGGCUUGCCCGGAAGGGGCUCGGGAGGAGCCUAGGAGACAGGUCCUUCCAAUGCCAAUGCCCCCGUUGGAUACCGUGGGGCCUAGCAGCACGCUUGUUGUUGAGAAAGAGGUCGACCCGACUCUAGGUGGGGUCUCUGGUGGUGUUGCUCUUGUUGAGGAGGUUUUGGACCAAAAAGACACUCCUGCGUCCGCUCCUCCUCCAAGCUGGGAUGAAAUGAUGGAGAUGCUAAAGCACAUGUCAUGCUUCACUGAUGCUGAGCCACCUUUCACCAAGAUGUCAGAUUUAUUUCCUUUUACCAAGCGGAUAUCGAUGAAUUUAGGCGGUGACCCUCCCAUCUUCGUCUCAACCCGACUUCCUUUUGGCACGCCCGAGUCUACCACCUCCCGUAUUCAACAACUGCGGGAUUGCAUGGUGCAAGAGACUGCAAAAGUGGUAACUUCUUCUAUGUUGCCCCCUUUCCGGAUAAUGCACACCUCCCUAAUGGCGCUAACCCUAUUUCUAUUAUUUCUUUUAGUUGGUGGUUGGCAUCCGCAACAUGGUGCGUCAACGCACACUACUUUCAAAUCUGAAUUUUUCUUACUUGCUCUAUUGUUGCCCAAAUUUCUUAAUCAUUUUUCAUUCUCUAGUUAUUCUACCCAAGAAUUUGAAUAGAACCUCCAAAUAAUCAACCAAAAUUUCAACUCUUGACAAGCAACCACACUUGGACACUCAUAGUUCCACUCUCCUUACAGUAUAAGAUUCUAAACUUAAGGAAUUUUGAUUUCUUGUUCAGUUUUACUGUCUACUUUGCAUGUUCUUGGUAAGAUAAUGGUAGCUCCACACAAGCAGAAUGACAUGAGUAAGGUACAUGGUGCUACAAGGAUGAGAUGGAGACCAAAAAAAUUCUGUCAUGAUUUGAAUUGUUGCCCAAAUGAGGUUUUCUCAUUGCCAGGGUAUAACUCUCAAAUUAAGCUUAUUUGUAAUGUAUGGGAAAAUUAUAUGCUAAUAAUGUCCAAAAGCUUAUGGCUAGUGAGGUUUGUGUCUAUAUGAAUGUGCUUUUGAGCAUUGAACCUUAAUUUACAAUCUAGAGAUUUAAUAUGGAAUCUUGUUUUUUCUACAAAUGUUGGAGAUAUUACAACAUUAGAACUGUUGAUUUUCUAUGAUGUGUUGAUUGAUUACUACUCAAAAAGUGCUAUUUGAUAGCCUUUAAUUAAUCCUUUUAAACACUUUUGAGUAGUAGUUUAGGCCUUUUAACUCAAUUGGCAUGUUAAGGAUCCUUUAAAGCAAUUUUGAUCACUUUGUGUAAGUUUUGGUGUUUUUGUUAGUAUUUUGAUCACCAAAGCAAGUCAAGAAUGAGGAGAGCUAUGAGGAAUCUUGGGCAAAGCUUAGAAUUCAAUUGCCAAGAGUGAAUCCGGAUUGCAAGGAGAAAAAGCAAAGAGAAUCUGCCAUGAAGCCUAUUCUUGAUGACAGUCGUAGCAGCCACUUUUGGAGCACUUUCUGAAGUCCUAAUGAUGCAUGCUAUAUACCAUUUCAAAGAUUAGGAAGUCAACAAUCCAAUGCUUCAAACGGUGCGCGAUUCGGAGUUGAAACAAAGAAGUUGCAGCCAUUACAAGUCAAUCACUCUAAAGUGUUGCGGAAUCAGCCAUUUGUUGCGAGAAUUUCGCAGCACUUUUGUACAGUAAGGUGUUUCUCCUUCUGACGAUGCACGAACCAUGCCGCGAGAAGGGAGCUGGAAACCUCAAGGUGGAAGCCAACUUUGCAGCCUGGUGAAGAUAGCUUGGUGUUGCGAAAAUAUUUCGCAGCCCUCUCAGGUGUCUGCGAAAUUUCGCAGACACCACUUUUCUCCUGCGAAAUGGCUCCUGAAGCCUCCCGAAGCUUGCUACCGACAUUGGGAGAUAUUUUCCAUUAGAUUUUUGUUGUCUAAAUCCCAAAAUACUCCUUGUAAACCACCAAUUACAUGAUUCCUUAGUUUUUAAGUUAGUAAAAAGACCAAAUAUCUUUGUAAUAAUUAGUUUUAUAUUGUUUUGAUAUAAAUACCUCUCGGGAGCCUGUUCUCAGAGAGGAGUUCCUUCUGUAAACGUUUGGUAAGCUAGUAAAGUCUAUUUUCUUUCUACUGCCUUACCUUCUCACUUUGUAUUUUCAUUUUAUUUCUAAGUUAUGAAUUCUCUGAGGAGUUUUCCCCAGAGAAUGAGUAACUAAACCUCCAAUUCCUUGGAGCUAAGGUUGCCGGGGAAGGUUCCAAGUGCAAGAAUGCAAAGCUUUGUGGUUUUAGCUAUUAAUGAAGAGGAAGUGAAAUCCUUUAGUGAUUUCUAUGUUUUUAGUUAACUUAAAACACCUUGGAGUCACCUGGGCCAACACUUGGUAAGGCAAGUGAUUUCCAACCAUGGAAAUGCACUAGUUUACCCCUUGCGAGCCUCUGGUAGGUGACUUCAAGGUAGGAUUUUCUGGAAUUACCAACACUUGGUAAGCUUUUGGACUCCUAGGAGACAUCCAUUAGUUAUCUCUUGCGAGUUUGUGAAGGGGAAUCCAAGGUUAAAGAUCACCUUGAAUGGGUAAGUGCUCGUGAGAGGCAUGAACCAUUGCAAGUUGCAUCAGUGAGAGAAUUAAAGUGAAAUCUAAUUGAAGGAGUCUCUGUACAUCACCGGUUAGAGAAUUGACUCUAAGUUGAAUCUCUAAUGCGAGGAAAUGAACCAUCUGACCGGAGCUAUGUCUUUUGCAUGAGGAACCACCCCAGUGAACCUAAAUCUCCAAGGAAUGCUUUUCUUCCUAAAUUAUUCCAAACUUCUGUUAAGUUAGUUAGUUUAAGUCUAAACCUUUAUCAAUCAAAGUUUGUGUUUUACUUCUUAAGCUAACCGUGAAAUGAAACAAGACCAAUUCACUUGGAAUUGGUAUCAUUGAUUGCUUGCAAAUCAUUCCCAGUGAACGAUCCUAGAGCCACUAUACUAUAGUAGCUUUGUAUUUGCUACCCUAGUGUAUGGUGUUAUAGGUAUAAAUUUUGUUGAUCACUUCCUCAAUCAAGGAGCGCCAGCUGAACACAAAUCAGCUGAGACACCAAUUGGGCAUGAGUCAAAUGGCGCCGUUGCCGGGGAAUGAGUGUCAAGUUCAUUGUGAUACCAUUGUUGAGCACUUGUGAUUUUCAUCACAAGUUGGUAAAGUUUCUUUCAGUUUACUAAUUUUCAUUCUUUCUUUGUUAAUUCAUAAUCUAAGUUUAUCUUUUUAAAUUUUAGUCUAGUUUAAUUUUGUUGUUGUAGCCCUGUUUUUCUUUGUGUCUUCUGUUUUUAUUUAAGUUGCAGCUGAAUACUAGUUGUGUAUGCCCAACUGGAUACGAGACAUUGGAGGUAGGCUUGUUAAGUGUGAUACACCUCAGAAAGGAGAAUUUGAAGUAAUCUUGAACAUCAUGGAGGCUGCACCUGAAGAUCAGCAUAGUCACCAAGGUCGUCAAGACAAUCUCAAUGAAUUCAGAUCAAUGAGGGACCGUAUGCAUCCACCUCGUAUGAGUGCACCAUCAUGUAUAGUGCCCCCUACAGAGCAGCUAGUGAUCAGACCAUAUCUUGUUCCACUUCUACCAACUUUCCAUGGGAUGGAAAGUGAGAAUCCGUAUGCACACAUCAAGGAAUUUGAAGAUGUUUGUAAUACAUUCCAAGAGGGAGGAGCUUCAAUUGAUUUGAUGAGGCUUAAGUUAUUUCCUUUCACUUUAAAGGAUAAGGCCAAAAUUUGGCUUAAUUCUUUAAGGCCAAGGAGUAUCCGCUCUUGGACUGAUUUACAAGCUGAGUUCCUUAAGAAAUUUUUUCCUACUCAUAGAACAAAUGGCUUGAAAAGGCAAAUUUCAAAUUUCUCAGCUAAAGAGAAUGAGAAAUUCUAUGAGUGUUGGGAAAGAUACAUGGAAGCUAUAAAUGCUUGUCCUCACCAUGGCUUUGAUACUUGGCUAUUGGUGAGCUAUUUUUAUGAUGGUAUGUCAUCCUCAAUGAAGUAACUCCUCGAGACAAUGUGUGGAGGAGAUUUCAUGAGCAAAAAUCCAAAGGAAGCUAUGGAUUUCUUGAGCUAUGUAGUUGAUGUUUCAAGGGGAUGGGAUGAACCAACCAAAGGAGAAGUAGGAAAGAUGAAGUCUCAGUUGAAUGCUUACAAUGCAAAGGCUGGGAUGUAUAAUUUAAAAGAAGAUGAUGACAUGAAAGCAAAGUUGGCAGCUAUGACAAGAAGAUUGGAGGAGCUGGAGCUGAAAAAAAUACAUGAAGUGCAAUCUGUUGCUGAAGCACCAGUGCAAGUGAAGCUGUGUCCCAAUUGUCAAUCAUUUGAACAUUUGGUGGAGGAGUGCCCUGCAAUUUCAGUUGAAAGGGAAAUGUAUAGAGAUCAAGCAAAUGUUGUUGGACAAUUUAGGCCCAAUAACAAUGCUCCUUAUGGAAAUACCUACAAUUCAAGUUGGAGGAAUCAUCCAAAUUUCUCAUGGAAGGCCAGAGCAACUCAAUACCAACAGCCGGAUCCACCAUCUCAACAAUCUUCAAGUAUUGAACAAAUAAUAGCCAAUCUCAGCAAGGUAGUGGGAGAUUUUGUGGGAAAGCAAGAAGCCACCAAUGCUCGAGUUGAUCAAAGAAUGGACAGAAUGGAGAGUGUGUUGAACAAAAGAAUGGAUGGAAUGCAAAAUGACAUGAAUCAAAAGUUUGAUAACAUCCAAUAUUCAAUUUCAAGGCUUACAAAUUUGAAUACACUGCAAGAAAAAGGAAGAUUUCCUUCUCAACCUAACCAAAAUCCCAAAGGUGUCCAUGAAGUGGAAAGCCAUGAGGGAGAAUCAUCACAGGUGAAAGAUGUGAAAGCUUUGAUCACUCUAAGGAGUGGUAAGAAAAUUGAGCAGCCAACACCCAAGCCACAUGUUGAAAAAGAAGAAGAGAUAAAGAAAGGGAAGGAAAUGGAAGAUAAAGAGAAUGAGAUCAGUGAAGAGAAGAAGGACUCUGAUUCAACAAUGAAAGCAAUUCCAGAGAAGGAGCUUCUGAAGGAAGAAAUGCUAAAGAAAUCAACUUUUCCACCUUUUCCUCAAGCAUUACAGGGGAAAAAGGGGGUUAGAAAUGCAGCUGAAAUCCUUGAAGUCUUGAGACAAGUGAAAGUUAAUAUUCCACUGUUGGAUAUGAUCAAACAAGUUCCAACGUAUGUAAAAUUCUUAAAGGACUUGUGUACUAUCAAAAGAGGGUUGACUGUAAACAAGAAAGCCUUCUUGACUGAGCAAGUAAGUGCAAUCUUACAAUGCAAGUCUCCUUUGAAGUACAAAGACCCUGGAAGUCCUACCAUUUCAGUCAUGAUUGGAGGAAAGGUAGUGGAGAAAGCCUUGCUAGAUUUAGGAGCAAGUGUGAAUUUGCUUCCAUACUCUGUCUACAAGCAACUAGGGCUUGGAGAGUUGAAGCCAACAACAAUCACCUUAUCUCUGGCAGAUAGAUCAGUGAAAAUUCCAAGAGGAGUAAUUGAGGAUGUAUUGGUUCAAGUAGAUAAUUUCUACUAUCCUGUAGAUUUUGUUGUUCUUGAUACUGAUCCAACUGUAAAGGAAGCUAAUUUAGUUCCUAUCAUCCUUGGAAGGCCAUUUCUUGCAACUUCAAAUGCAAUCAUCAACUGUAGAAAUGGGCUUAUGCAACUCACUUUUGGUAACAUGACACUGGAUCUAAAUAUUUUCUAUAUGUCUAAAAAGCAAAUCACUCCGGAAGAAGAAGAAGGUCCAGAAGAGCUAUGUAUAAUUGAUACUUUGGUGGAGGAGCACUGCAAUCAACAUAUGCAAGAAAAGUUGAAUGAAAGUCUUGAGGAUAUUGAGGAAGGUUUUUCUGAAUCUCCUAUUGGGCUUGCUACUCUACAAAGUUGGAAAAAGAUAGAAGGAAUUCUACCUUUGUUCAAUGAAGAAGAGGAGGCAUCUAUUGAAAAAGAAAUUCCAAAACUCAAUCUGAAGCCUUUACCUGUGGAGCUGAAAUAUACAUAUCUUGAAGCAAAUAAUCAAUGUCCUGUUGUGAUAUCCUCAUCUCUGACCAGUCAUCAAGAGAAUUGUUUAAUGGAAGUUCUUAGGAGGUGUAGGAAGGCAAUAGGAUGGCAAAUAUCUGAUUUGAAAGGCAUUAGUCCUUUAGUUUGUGCUCAUCAUAUAUAUAUGGAGGAGAAAGCAAAGCCAAUUCGUCAAUUUCAAAGAAGGUUGAAUCCUCAUCUACAAGAGGUGGUGCGAGCUAAGGUGCUGAAGCUACUUCAAGCAGGAAUCAUUUACCCUAUAUCUGAUAGCCCUUGGGUGAGUCCUACUCAAGUGGUACCAAAGAAGUCAGGGAUCACAGUGAUUCAAAAUGAAAAAGGGGAAGAAAUUACUACACGCCUCACUUCAGGUUGGAGGGUGUGUAUUGAUUAUAGAAAGCUGAAUGCUGUCACCAGGAAGGAUCAUUUUCCAUUGCCAUUUAUUGACCAAGUGCUGGAGAGAGUCUCUGGACAUCCAUUCUAUUGUUUCUUGGAUGGGUAUUCAGGGUAUUUUCAGAUUGAAAUUGAUUUGGCAGAUCAGGAAAAGACCACUUUUACAUGUCCAUUUGGAACAUUUGCUUAUAGAAGAAUGUCUUUUGGUUUAUGCAAUGCACCUGCUACAUUUCAAAGAUGUAUGUUGAGUAUUUUCAGUGAUAUGGUGGAGAGAAUUAUGGAGGUUUUCAUGGAUGACAUCACUGUAUAUGGAGGUACAUUUGAGGAAUGCUUGGUUAAUUUGGAAGCAGUUCUUCAUAGAUGCAUUGAAAAAGAUCUGGUGCUGAAUUGGGAAAAAUGCCAUUUUAUGGUACGUCAAGGAAUUGUCCUUGGCCAUAUCAUCUCUGAAAAAGGCAUUGAAGUUGAUAAAGCAAAGGUGGAGCUUAUUGCCAAAUUACCAUCUCCAACAACUGUGAAAGGAGUAAGGCAGUUCCUUGGCCAUGCAGGGUUCUAUAGGAGGUUUAUAAAAGGUUUUUCAAGUCUUUCAAAACCUCUUUGUGAACUGUUAGCUAAGGAUGCUAAGUUUAUAUGGGAUGAAAGGUGUCAGCAUAGCUUUGAUCAACUGAAGAAAUUUUUAACAACAACUCCAAUAGUGAGAGCCCCUAACUGGCAGUUACCUUUUGAACUGAUGUGUGAUGCCAGUGACUUUGCUAUAGGAGCUGUGCUUGGCCAAAGAGAAGAUGGGAAGCCCCAUGUGAUUUACUAUGCAAGUAAAACACUAAAUGAAGCUCAAAGGAACUACACAACUACAGAGAAAGAAUUGUUAGCUGUGGUAUUUGCUUUGGACAAAUUUCGAGCUUAUUUAGUGGGGUCUUUCAUCAUUGUCUUUACUGACCAUUCAACCUUGAAGUAUUUAUUGACAAAGCAAGAUGCAAAAGCAAGGUUGAUUAGAUGGAUUCUAUUGUUACAAGAGUUCGAUCUUCAAAUCAAAGAUAAGAAAGGAGUGGAGAAUGUAGUAGCUGACCACUUGUCAAGGUUAGUUAUAGCACAUAAUUCCCAUCCCUUACCUAUCAAUGAUGAUUUUCCUGAAGAAUCACUCAUAUUCCUAGUAAAAACUCCUUGGUAUGCUCAUAUUGCUAAUUAUUUAGUAACUGGUGAAAUUCCAAGUGAGUGGAAUGCACAGGACAAGAAGCACUUCUUUGCCAAAAUUCAUUCUUAUUAUUGGGAAGAGCCCUUUCUCUUUAAGUAUUGUGCAGAUCAGAUUAUAAGGAAGUGUGUCCCUGAAGAUGAGCAGCAAGGGAUUCUAUCUCAUUAUCAUGAGAAUGCAUGUGGAGGCCACUUUGCCUCUCAGAAAACAGCUAUGAAGGUAUUGCAGUCAGGGUUUACUUGGCCAUCUCUUUUCAAAGAUGCCCACAUCAUGUGUAGGAGUUGUGAUAGAUGCCAAAGGCUUGGAAAGCUAACAAAAAGAAAUCAAAUGCCUAUGAACCCCAUUCUAAUAGUUGAGUUAUUUGAUGUAUGGGGCAUUGACUUCAUGGGACCUUUCCCAAUGUCUUUUGGUAAUUCUUACAUUUUGGUAGGGGUAGAUUAUGUUUCUAAAUGGGUUGAGGCAAUCCCCUGUAAACAAAAUGAUCAUAGGGUGGUUCUCAAGUUUCUUAAAGAGAACAUAUUCUCAAGAUUUGGGGUGCCCAAGGCCAUAAUCAGUGAUGGAGGUGCUCAUUUUUGCAACAAACCUUUUGAAGCUCUGUUAUCCAAGUAUGGAGUGAAGCAUAAGGUGGCCACACCUUAUCAUCCUCAGACUUCCGGGCAAGUUGAGCUAGCUAACAGGGAAAUAAAGAACAUCUUGAUGAAAGUGGUGAAUUCCAACAGAAAAGAUUGGUCUAUUAGGCUUCAUGAUUCAUUGUGGGCAUAUAGAACAGCUUAUAAGACUAUUCUAGGGAUGUCUCCCUAUCGUCUUGUCUAUGGCAAAGCAUGCCAUCUCCCUGUGGAAGUUGAAUACAAAGCUUGGUGGGCAAUAAAGAAGCUGAAUAUGGACUUGAUCAAGGCCGGAGAAAAGAGAUUUCUAGACCUUAAUGAGAUGGAGGAAUUAAGAAAUAAUACUUAUAUCAAUUCCAAAGUUGCAAAACAGAGGAUGAAGAAGUGGCAUGAUCAACUCAUCUCCAACAAGGAAUUUCAGGAAGGGCAAAAAGUUUUGAUGUAUGACACAAGACUCCAUAUCUUUCCUGGGAAGCUCAAAUCAAGGUGGAUUGGUCCAUUUGUUAUUCACCGAGUAUAUUCCAAUGGAGUGGUGGACUUAUUGAAUUCCAAUGGCAAUGACAGCUUUAGAGUCAAUGGAUAUCGUCUUAAGCCGUUCAUGGAGUCAUUCAAAUCAGAAAAGGAGGCAAUCAACCUCCUUGAACCUCAAAAAGCCUAAGUGAAAAGGGUUUGUUGGACGUGGUUUUACCACAGUCCAAAAUUUUUGUAAAUUUUGUAAAUUUUCAAGUUGUUUUUAUGCUUUUGAUCUUAGUUAUUGAUCUUAAAUCAUGUUUUUAGGUGUGUUUUAAUCGUUUUAUAUGAUCCCAGGUGGAAGAAAUUUCAAGGGGAGUGAAAAGAAAAAAAUCGGGUCGAAAUUGGAGCUGAAACAGAGCAAAAACAGGGGAAAAACAAAGCUCUGCGAAAUUUCGCAGGGUGAAGGAAACCUCUGCGAACUGGGCAUUUUGUUGCCAAACCAUUCCGCAGCACUGUAGAAGUCUCUGCGAGUGUAUUUCGCAAUUGCGAAAGUGGUUUUGGCACACGAGUGCCACUUCGUAGUACAGUAGCACCCAUUUCGCAGCUGCGAAACUCAUUGCGAAAUGGAAAAGCGUGAUUUCGCACCAAAAGUCCCAUUCCGCAGGGCAUUUCGCAAUUGCGAAAGUGGUUUUGGCACACGAGUGCCACUUCGCAGCACAGUGACAUCAAUUUCGCAGUUGCGAAACUCACUGCGAAGUUGCUGCGAAAAUGGCAAGUUGCUGCGAAAUUGGCGUUUUGUUGCGAAACUUAAACUGACCCCUGAGCUUCCGUUUUUCCUAUUUAUACCGGUCAAAAGUUCUGCGAAAAGGGUUUCAAAAAUCAGAGCACCAUUCUCGCAGCCCCUUCGUCUUCUUCGCCAAGCCACGCCGUCCGUUUCUCCGGUCGUCUUCUCCGUUUAGCAGCGCCGGCCAAAGAUCGAUAUUCCAAAAUGGCACGAACGCGAGGGGCAAAGUCUUCAUCCCCUUCGAACCGCAAAAGGAGUCUGCGAAAGGAGCCAAGUUCAGGUUCUGUUCCAGAACCUGCUCCAAAGCCUUCGCCGUCGAGACCAAAUCCUCCUUCAGUGAAGCCGGCACCACCAAAGCCGCCGGCAAGGCGAUAUUUAACAAGGUCAGGCGGUCAGCCAUUGAAGAAGAAAACCAGGGUUGAGAGCUCUGAACCAAUUGAUUUGACUGAGCAAUCCCCUGAGAAAUCCCCAAAGCUAACACCGGUUCAAUCUCCGGUAUCUUCACCAAAUCCUUCACCGGUACAAAUUCCAGUGCCGUCACCGGUUCCCUCGCCAAUUCCCUCACCAGAAGCAACUCCAAUUCCAUCGCCGGUACCAUCUCCGGCACCCCAAGAAAAAGCUUAGGAGCCUCAAGCGCCAAUUCCAGAGCCCCAAAUUGCAGCUGAAGCACCUCUGGAAGAAGUGAUUAGGAGGCCAAUGCUGCCUCAGCCCCCAAUCAAAGGAAACUUGGAUUGUCGAACUCGGGCAUUCCAUUCUGAGCUUUGCUUCGAUUUAACAGCAUUCAGAGUGAGGCCAGAGCUUGCCCAAUCCUUCCAGCUACUAAGGAGAUAUCAUAUGGAGCAUCUGCUCGCUCCAAGGGAUUUUUUCUAUCCCCGGGUAGUCACGGACUUCUACUAGACCAUGACAACCAAAGAAGUAAGAAAUCCAACUCUGAUCCAUUUCACAAUUGAUGGAAGACAUGGAAUUUUGGGAGCAAGACAUAUUGCUGAAGCCCUGCAAAUUCCUUUUGAGCCAACCCAAUUCGACAAUUUUAAAGCUUGGGCAAAUCCUACUGAGUUAGAGAUGGUUCACAUCCUAACCAGAGGAGCUGCAAAUCGAUCGCAUUUGCUGAGGGGGGAGCUACCUCCAGUUAUGUUUUUGAUUGAUGCCUUUUUGAGGCAUAAUAUCUAUCCCCUGCAGCAUUGGACCCAAAGAAGGGGAAUUCUCCUAGAAGCCCUGUAUAAGAUGUCAGAAGGAUUCUUCUUUGGGCCUCAUCAUCUUAUCAUGGCAGCCCUUCUAUACUUUGAGGAGAAGGUUCACAAGAAGAAGGUUCACAAGAAGAAGCUUCAAAGAGCAGAUUGCAUUCCACUCCUCUUCCCACGGCUGCUAUGCCAAGUUUUGGAGCAUCUCGGAUACCCCUCUGAGCCUCAGCAGGAAAGAAAGAGAAUAUGCCGUGAGCCAUUUACCCUUGAUAAAUGGAAUAAUAUGACGGCCUACAAAGUUGAUCAGCCAGGGCAACCUCAGCCAGCUGCAAGGAGAGCCUCCCCAAGACGUAUACCUGAAGGUAUAACACUUGCUACUCCUGCCAUCCCUCGAGCUCCACCAACUACCCCAGCUGCAUCACAGCCAUCCACAUCAGCUGAGCCGAGGAUGGCCAUCCCUAUAUCCGAAUAUUGAGAGCUGUGCCGAGCAUUGGAGACUCUUACAGCUUCCCAGACCAAUCUUGCUCAGGAGUUGGCAGCCAUCAAAGCAUGCCAGGAGCAGAUGUUAGCCUCUCAGGCUCAACAAGCUGCCAUCCUAAGGCAGCUUCAAGUCCAUUUCGAUCUGCCACAAGCUGUAGAGCCCUCCACUGAGACUCCACCAGAGCCACACUCUCAGCCUUCAGAGUCUCAUCCUCCAGAGCCCGAAGCCCCAGUUGAUCCUCCUACUGAGGAGGCAGAUCCUUCUGCCUAGCACCAUCACCCCACUCAUCAGACAUUAUAUAUAUUUGCUAUUUAUGUUUUUAUGCUUGUUUUGUUUUAGUUGAAAUGAAAUCCCAGUAUUUUGGUACUAUAUAUGGGAUUCCUUGUGUUACUUGUCUUUAGCAUUGUAAUCAAAUGAACUCAAAGUAAUACAAGUUGAAUUUUUUUUUUCUUGUUAAAAGUUAGCAUUAAGUUCUCCUUAUUUCCUUUUCUCACAUAUUCUAUUUUUUUUGAAACAUGUGGUUUUCCCCAAUCAAUAUUCGAAUUUGAUAUCAGCAUGGAGGUACCACUUCCUCCCUUUUAUUACAGUCACUCAAAUCACAUUGAGGACAAUGCUCAGUUCGGUUGGGGGGUAUGAGGAAGGAAGUAUGCUAAAUCUUUUUGGUAUUGCAAUUAUAUUGGUUAAUUAGUUGUAGAUUUUACGUUUUACUAGUGUUACUCUAUUCUCCAUGAAUUUUGAGGAAAAUUUUCAAAUUAAACCAAGAGAAAUUGAACUGUUGUUUUUCACUUGACUUAGAGUAUGGAUUAUGCUUACUAAAGUGGUUCAAUUGUUGAAACUUCUACUGUAAUUGAAUUGAGUUCUUCCACUUUAAGCUAUCCACACAUUGUGCACAUUAGUUUCCGAUUAUAAGAUGAAAAGCUAUUACCCUCUUGACUUAGGAUAAUUUUGAGACUUGGUAUAUUUGACCUCAUUUGAUAAAAAUUGAAACACCCUGCAAAAGGCCAAUGAGCCUUUGAAAUAAAGAAAGUUGUUUGCUUGCCUUGAAACCCGAGCAAGGUCUGAGGGGCAUAUGGUGAAAGCCUUUAAAGCCUGGUGCCCUAAACCUUAAUUGGUUGGGAGUCACUGACCUCAAUGCUCGUUACAAGGGUGAAUAGGUAGAGUUAGCAUAUGGUAGAUGUUUGGGUAUUAGAAAUUCAUUCUUAAAAGUCCGGGGAAAAAUCCGAGGAGUUAGUGGUUGAAAGAUCCUUAAAACUUGGUGCCCUAAACCUUAAUUGGUUGGGAGUCAUCGAUGGACCCCCAUUACAUGGACAAGUCAGAAAGAGUACCCCAUAAAGCUACCUUGAAAAAAAAAAAAAAAAAAAAAAGAUGAAAGUGUGUUAUUUUCUUAUUGAUUUUGGUCAGUUUGCUAAAGUGUUGAAAAGAGAUAGGUUGGGGGUGAGAUUAGUUUAGCAUAUUAUUCUCGGAAUCUAAGGAACUAAUACACAUAGAUUUUUGUGGAAGAUUGAAAUUUAGUUCUUAGAAAGUGAAAUGAUUUUAAAACUUCGGUUUGCAUAAUGCACUCCCUUGAUUGACAGUGCUUAGCAUAGUUUGUUAUGACUCUUGUUGAGAUUUGGGUUUGUAUUUCUUUAAUGAUUCAUGUGAGAAUUAGAUCAUCAUGCCACUUAAGAAUUAUUUUCUUUUAGCAUGAUGUUGUAAAUUUUAGAUUAGUUGCUAUUUAUUUUCAUUUUUCUCUCCUAUAUUGCUAAGGGACUAGCAAUAUGUCGGUUGGGGGGAGUGAUUACUACUCAAAAAGUGCUAUUUGAUAGCCUUUAAUUAAUCCUUUUAAACACUUUUGAGUAGUAGUUUAGGCCUUUUAACUCAAUUGGCAUGUUAAGGAUCCUUUAAAGCAAUUUUGAUCACUUUGUGUAAGUUUUGGUGUUUUUGUUAGUAUUUUGAUCACCAAAGCAAGUCAAGAAUGAGGAGAGCUAUGAGGAAUCUUGGGCAAAGCUUAGAAUUCAAUUGCCAAGAGUGAAUCCGGAUUGCAAGGAGAAAAAGCAAAGAGAAUCUGCCAUGAAGCCUAUUCUUGAUGACAGUCGUAGCAGCCACUUUUGGAGCACUUUCUGAAGUCCUAAUGAUGCAUUCUAUAUACCAUUUCAAAGCUUAGGAAGUCAACAAUCCAACGCUUCAAACGGUGCGCGAUUCGGAGUUGAAACAAAGAAGUUGCAGCCAUUACAAGUCAAUCACUCUAAAGUGUUGCGGAAUCAGCCAUUUGUUGCGAGAAUUUCGCAGCACUUUUUUACAGUAAGGUGUUUCUCCUUCUGACGAUGCACGAACCAUGCCGCGAGAAGGGAGCUGGAAACCUCAAGGUGGAAGCCAACUUUGCAGCCUGGUGAAGAUAGCUUGGUGUUGCGAAAAUAUUUCGCAGCCCUCUCAGGUGUCUACGAAAUUUCGCAGACACCACUUUUCUCCUGCGAAAUGGCUCCUGAAGCCUCCCGAAGCUUGCUACCGACAUUGGGAGAUAUUUUCCAUUAGAUUUUUGUUGUCUAAAUCCCAAAAUACUCCUUGUAAACCACCAAUUACAUGAUUCCUUAGUUUUUAAGUUAGUAAAAAGACCAAAUAUCUUUGUAAUAAUUAGUUUUAUAUUGUUUUGAUAUAAAUACCUCUCGGGAGCCUGUUCUCAGAGAGGAGUUCCUUCUGUAAACGUUUGGUAAGCUAGUAAAGUCUAUUUUCUUUCUACUGCCUUACCUCCUCACUUUGUAUUUUCAUUUUAUUUCUAAGUUAUGAAUUCUCUGAGGAGUUUUCCCCAGAGAAUGAGUAACUAAACCUCCAAUUCCUUGGAGCUAAGGUUGCCGGGGAAGGUUCCAAGUGCAAGAAUGCAAAGCUCUGUGGUUUUAGCUAUUAAUGAAGAGGAAGUGAAAUCCUUUAGUGAUUUCUAUGUUUUUAGUUAACUUAAAACACCUUGGAGUCACCUGGGCCAACACUUGGUAAGGCAAGUGAUUUCCAACCAUGGAAAUGCACUAGUUUACCCCUUGCGAGCCUCUGGUAGGUGACUUCAAGGUAGGAUUUUCUGGAAUUACCAACACUUGGUAAGCUUUUGGACUCCUAGGAGACAUCCAUUAGUUAUCUCUUGCGAGUUUGUGAAGGGGAAUCCAAGGUUAAAGAUCACCUUGAAUGGGUAAGUGCUCGUGAGAGGCAUGAACCAUUGCAAGUUGCAUCAGUGAGAGAAUUAAAGUGAAAUCUAAUUGAAGGAGUCUCUGUACAUCACCGGUUAGAGAAUUGACUCUAAGUUGAAUCUCUAAUGCGAGGAAAUGAACCAUCUGACCGGAGCUAUGUCUUUUGCAUGAGGAACCACCCCAGUGAACCUAAAUCUCCAAGGAAUGCUUUUCUUCCUAAAUUAUUCCAAACUUCUGUUAAGUUAGUUAGUUUAAGUCUAAACCUUUACCAAUCAAAGUUUGUGUUUUACUUCUUAAGCUAACCGUGAAAUGAAACAAGACCAAUUCACUUGGAAUUGGUAUCAUUGAUUGCUUGCAAAUCAUUCCCAGUGAACGAUCCUAGAGCCACUAUACUAUAGUAGCUUUGUAUUUGCUACCCUAGUGUAUGGUGUUAUAGGUAUAAAUUUUGUUGAUCACUUCCUCAAUCAAGGAGCACCAGCUGAACACAAAUCAGCUGAGACACCAAUUGGGCAUGAGUCAUUGAUGUCUUUUGAUAAACUUAGAAUGAAUUGUGGACUUGGGAAGGAAGUAUUUCAUCAAUAAGCAUGUAAAAAACACCAUAAGCACAUGUCAAUAUGAAAAUGACUAAAUUGGGGCAUAAAUACCAAAAAAUGAAAACCUUGUACCUAUAGUAAAAUAAUGGAAGUUCAAACUUUGGAAAUCAUGUAUUUUUCCUUUUUAAACUGAUCCAUGCAAUGAAAACAUGAAAAAGAUUGUUGAGGUUGUGGCCAUUAACAAUAUAUCCCUAGAAGGAUAAUACAAAUCAUAAAGAGAAAAUUUGUAAAAAGGACACCGUUGGGCUAACCUAGAACUACAAGCUAGGACAAGAAUUGGUCACAACCAUGUACCUACAAAAUCUACUUAUAAUUUCUAGGGAACUUCGAAGUGCAUAUGCAUGUGUGUGUGUGUACAUGUUUGGAUGUAUAUAUAUGUUUACAAGAUAAAAACAAAUCCUUGUACUAGAUGUAGGCAAAGGUAUUCACUAGAUAUAAAAAUUUCCUUGUGUCACUUGUUGAGACAAGAGAAAUACCUAUUUGGAUGUGGUGAUUAGAUUUCAACAUAGCCUUCUGGAUGGUUUUUGAAUUAUGAGGCGGUGGUGUUUGUUGUACCCUUAAAUUUUACUCCGUAUAAAGUAAUUACUAAUUUAUAGAGGCAAAAAUUCCUUGUAUCAUGAAAGGAAUAGCAGUUUCUUGUUCAUACUAUUUUGUUUGGAAGUUGGGUUCCUAUAUUGUUCAAAAUGCUAUUUUGAUUGCUUGAUUGUUGCAACUCACAUUUCGUUUGUUGUUUGUAUUUUGUGUGCAGGGUAAUAUGAUACUAUCAGAUAUUGGACUUGCUGAGAAGCGAAUAAAUCAUGCUACUCUCAAUGGUAAUAAUAGUCUACCUAGUGUUUUGCAUCAGAAACACAAUUAAUAAUAUCAUGGCCUUGCCUCUAGUCCCAAUUGGUUUCUUUAGUUUUUGUCCAUGAAUGACACUUUAUUCAAAUAAGCAUUGGUGUGUUGUUACUGGUAUAAUAUUUUUUCUUAUUCAUAGAAAAGUAACUAUUUAAAUAUGUUGUUCUAUGUCCUCAUGGAUUUCUGUUGACAAAACAUCAAAUCUCAGAGUUUCUUGGCCUUACUUUUUGAGUGUCAAGUCAUUUUCUCAAUAUGUUGAUCUAAAAAAUCUCUUUUGUGUUCCAGGUUUGUUUUGUCGAUGCUAAUUGGGACUCACCAUCUGUAUGUAUCCAUUGUAUGAUUCUAUUAUUAUUAUUAUUAUUUUAUUUUUUUGCUGAAAAAAAGGUUUAUAAUAGAUAUCAUGUUCAAGAGAAGCAUUUUUGUUGACUUAUGAGUUUUGUAUUUCUCCAAAUUUUGGAAUAUUACCAUGAAGCUUUGGUGCCAAUCUUGAAAGGGUUAGCCCUUUUCUUUUUUUGUUUACCCAAUCUACACUUGCUAUCGGCGUUGAAAAGGAUCCAGAACAAAUUGCCAUUCAGUUAUGAAGUGGUUGGGAUAAAGCCAAGCUGUUAUUGCAGCAUGAAAUUGAAUGUAAUAUCAUAAUAUCUAGAUUCAAAUUCUCAGAAGAAAAAUGUUUCUGAUUCACUCCAUUUUUAUGGUGUUUUGAAGGAUUAAAUGGGGAACCUCACAAAUGAGCCUCACAAAAAUUUAAUAAUAAUAACCUAUAACUGCGGCUAACUCCAAAAGGCAACUAUAUGUCAUUUAGUGGGGUCAAAAACAAGAUGCAGCUAUAGGAACCAUUUGUUGACCUUUACUAUGGCUGCUACUAUUGCUCUGACUUUUGCUGCACUUUACAUGUGGUUGACCUAUAGUUGGGGCCAACUCUAAAAUGCAACUAUAUGCCAUUUAGUGGGGGUAAAAAACAAGAUGCACCUAUAAGAACCAUUUUCUGACCUUUACUAUGGCUGCUACUAUUGCUUUGACUUUUGUUGCACUGUACAUGUGGUUGACCUAUAGCUGGGGCCGACUCUAAAAUGCAACUAUAUGCCAUUUAGUGGGGCUAAAAAACAAGAUGCAGCUGUAGGAACCAUUUGCUACACUUUACUAUGGCUACUACUAUUGCUUUGACUUUUGUAGCACUUUACCUAUGGUUGACCUAUAGCUUGGGCCAACUCCAAAAUGCAACUAUGUGUCAUUUAGUGGGGGUAAAAAACAAGAUGCAGUUGUAGGAGAGUUUGCAGCCAAAGUAGUGUUUACUUAAAAAAAAAAAAAAAAAACCAAACUAAUACAUCUUUCAAACUAUUUGUCAAACUAGUCUUUUGAAUCCACAUCAACAAUCCACAUCAGCAGACUUUUACUCUAAAGACCCUUUUUUUCAUCUGAAAUCAUUCAACAAAGAAACCCUAACUAUUAUUUUCUCUUCUCUACGGCUCCCACCAACAGCUUUACUAGCAACGUCUUGUAGUGGCUAGGUAAGUUUUUGAAGCAUUUUAACAAAGUGGUUCAUGAGUUUUUUUUUCCCUCAUUUUCCUUAGCUUUCUUACUAACCAAACAGAGGAAAACAAAAAAUUAAAAACAACUUUUGAAAAUUUUAAGAAUCUCAAGUUGUUUUUUGUGGUUUCUACUUGUGAACGGAAGAAAAAAAAACACAAAAAAAUCAUGGAGAAGAAAAAAAGAAAGAUUAACAGAGAGAGAUAAGAGCACUAAAGGAAAUUGGUUUCUGCACUUUGGGGGUUUGGGUAGAUUUCGAAUUUGGGCGAUGGUGGGUUAGGGUUCAAAGUGGACUAAUCCAAUUGGAUGAUUUGAUGGAGUAGUUCGGGUUCAAAGUGGAUUGAUCCAAUUGGAUGAUUUGAUAGAGCAAUGAAAGAAGAAGAGAGGAGUGUGGAACGAGAGGGAGAGAUUGUGAGAAGAGAGACGAAUGAAAGAUUUGAAGAGGAAGAAGAAGUGCAGGUUAAUGUGCAAAAAUAAUAAAAAUUUUACCCAAAUGCAAAUUCUUUGAUUUUGCCUAGUUUUCUUAGCAACCAAACGCAGGGUCUCAAGAAAAUUAUGAGUUCUGAUGAUAGAGAGAGGACAAGAAGGGGGGUAGAUACCGAAGGGCUGCCGAAAAGGAUGGUCGUAUGUGGAGAGCGCAAAAACCCUACCUGUGUUUAGCUCCUAAUAGAGUAGAUGCCUUUCUCAAGCAAAAACUCUAUUUGGGAAUUGAGAAUCCCAAAGAAGGACAAUUUUAGAAUUUCACAAGUCGGGCUUCAGCUUCAACUUUGAGGGAUAUUUGAUAAUCAUUUUUCAAUUAAUCUUUAUAAUUUUAAAAUUUUGAAAAUUGUAUGCAUUUUUUAAUAUAAAAAUUAUUUGUUUAAUCAUUUUUUAUUUUCCUUUUUUAAUAAAAAAUUAAAAAUUAAUCAUAAUCCACUUAUUUAAAAAUUAUCGUUAAUCCUUAUUUAGUAUGAUAUUUACUUGUUUAUUAUUUAAAUAUUUUGUCUUCUUAGUUAUUAUAAUUAAUAUAUAUAUAUAUAUGACCAAAAUUUAAAAUAAAAUAAAAACUAAAAAAUAUAAUUUUAUUUCCCAUUCAAAUCCAUCACCCUUUAUUAUUAUAUUUUGUUGAAUUUUUUUUAUUUAUAUCUUUUUUCUAUAAAGAGAGUAGAGUUAUGAAGAAAACAUUUAAUUUAAUUUCUUUUUUUAUAAAAAAAAAACCAACUUCUAAACAUGUUUUUUUUUUGUUUUAAUCAUUAUAAAAAAAACAUUUUUUAUUAACUCAACAAAACAUGUUUUAAAAAUGACCUUAUUGGGUAUAUUUUAAUUUAUUUUUUCAAGUAUUUUAAAUUUAUUAAAUUGGUAAUAAGUCUUAAAAAUGGACUUUGGAAUUAAAUUGUAUGAAAAUGUUAAAUAUUUGCAAAAAAAAAAUCUAAAAAACCACUUAGUCCUCCCUUUUAAGCAAAUCAAAAUUAUAUUUUAAAAAUGUUAUUAUUAAUAUUACAUUUUAUAAAACUUUCAUUAAUGACAUGUAAAACCAUUACCAAAAUGUUAAGAACUUUAUAAAAUUGGACCAAAUAAUCUUCCAAAUAUAACCAAAUUACUUCUCAAAUCCAACAAAAUCAUUCCAAAUAUGACAAUGUUAACCAUAAUACCUCCCAAUUCUUACCUCUCAAUAGUAAUAGCACAGUUGCAUUGAAAAUCAAAUUCUUCAAUGCUUGCUCUAUCAUCAUAUGAUUUGUUUUGAAGCUUUUAAUAAUGAACCGUGAACCCAUUGGAUUGUACUAGAGAGGACCCGCAUGAUAAAGGUUUAAAUUUGGGCAACACCCUUAUAACAUUAUUAUUAAUAAGUUGUGAGCCAUAAUGGGGCCAAGUCAUUACUCUUUGUUGGGAAAAUCUUCCAAAGGCAGGCUUAGGCUUUUUGUGGUUCUUGCACAAAAAGCCUUCCUUGGAUUUUGAGCAUUGUUUCUUGUACCAAAAGUCAACUAGAUUUACCGAGAAACCAUCAUUACAAAUGCUUAAGUUUUUCAAAUUAUUUUUAAACUUGUUUUCAUAAUUUAUUAACUUUAUAAAAUUGGAAGUGAUUAUUAAAUUUAUUUUUCUUUCUUUUUCUCCUCUAAAAAAAUAUAUACUUUUUAUUAUAUAUAUUAAAAAAAUUUAUUAGGAUCAAGGAGAUCUGAGUGUGUCAUUUUUCAAUCAUCAUUUUUCUAAAGCUAAUAUUAUUGCACAUAUAACAAUCCCUUCCCCAAUACAGGGCUCCUAGAACUCGAAUCAUGACCAAACUCUAGGGCUCCUAGAACUUAAAUCAUUUAAUGGCAUGUGGAACAUUUAAUAGCACCUCUAGAAAUGCUAAGAACUUUAUAAAAUUGUAAAAAGACAUGUAGAACCUAGGCUGGAUCUCCAAACCAUGAAAAUUGCUUGUAAUUAUUGGUUAGCUUGUGGAAUAAAAAAUCUAUAAGAUGGAGAUAGACUCCUAAAGAUUAUAAGAUAUUUUAAGAACUCAAUAGUUAUAAAAAAGAAAAAAGAAAUAACACUAAAAACAAAUUUAAUAUAUAGAAAAUAUUAGUUUUUACUUAAAAUUUAACUUAUUAAAUUAUAAAUUGUAAAAAUUUAAUUAAAUUAAAAAAAUUAAAUUUAACCAGAUAUAAGCAAAAGUGCAUUAAUAUGUCUAUUCCGCUUUCUCUUUUUUAAUUAUUUUAAUGGAAAAUAUUAAAAUAUUUAUAGUCGUAACUAUUAAAUAUGUUGAAUAUGUACACAUUACAUCCAUUUUUGAAACUUAUAUAAAAUCAAAUUUUGAACAAAUUUAAAAUUUUUUUUCACUUAAUUUGGGUAGAUUAAACAACGACAUUUUAAUUGUUAAUGGAAAAAUAACAACCUUUUAUUCAAUUUUAACGGUAAUAAAUAAUAAGAAAAUAUUAUUAAUAAAAAACAUUGAAUUAUUUGGAUAUUGAGGUGUUAUUUGUUAUUUGAUUAUUGUUAAUAACAUACCCUAUUAUUGUUAUUUGUUAUUUCAUUACAAAUUGAUGUUAUUACUAAUGUUUUCUAUUGUGUAAUUUUGUGGUUAAAAAUGAGAUUGAUUUGAUUUUUUUGGCUUCUUCUAUAGGUAAACUAUGUCUAAUUUAUCGGUGGCAAUAGUUUGUUUUUGUAAUGGGAAAAUGGUGAGAACACAAACCGAUGUUGAUUAUGUUGGAGAUAGAGUUGUGGUUGAACCUAUUGAUGUGCCUCUUGGGACAACAUAUGAACAACUGUUGGAAAUGAUAUACUCGGUCACUGACAUCAAUAAAGAACAUUUUUGAUUAAUUCUUAGUUGUAAGUAUCCUAUGAAAAAAGGGAAUAAAUUCCAACCUUGCCUUGUAAAGAAUGAUAGUGGUGUAGCUCGAAUGUUAGAAAUGCAUAACAGAUUUGGGAUGGAUGAAGUUGAAUUAUUUGUUGAACAAGUACCUAUUGACUUACAAAUGAAUUCACCAAUUGGUAAUUGCAUACCUUUGUUACUUGGUGAAAAUGAUGGUACUAGUAAUGUUCAAAAUCUAUUUACUUUUGAGCAUAGAUUAGAAGAGGAUGAGGAAGACGAAGAAGGAAGACGAAGAAGGAAGAUAAUGUGAUGAUGACAAUGUAGGAGCCGAGGAUGUUCAUAAUGAUGAUAAUCAAGAUAGGGAAGGUAGCUCGCCUUUUUUAGCUGUUUGUGAGGCAAUUGAAAGAGAACAAAUGAGAUAUGUGGCUGUGGAUGGGGAAUGAUGUAACUUGUCAAAUAAUCCAGAUACAGAGGAUUUAGAUGAACCAAUUGAAUUAUCUUCAAUGCAAUAUCAUUUGGCACCAUCACCAUAGUUUGAAAAUGUUGAAAACAUUGGUCAUGUUGUGUCAAGUGAAUGGACCCCAUGGGGAAACACUCUUAUGGGACAUCCAAUUGGAGAGUUCAUACUUUAUAAAUAAUAAUGAUAUUGUUAAAAUGAAUACAACUUUGAAAAUCGUAGUAAUUACCUUCUUAUUGUGCACCAAGAAUCAUGUUCUUGAAGUGGUGAGAGUCUGCUUUAUUGGGUGCAACACUCUCAUAUAUGAACAACUUACUGAUCAAACAUCCCAUGGUUUCCUUGAUGGGACCACAUUUGAAAAGAUGUUUCACAUAUUUUUGUCUUGCUGCUGAAGAUUUGUGAAAUGAGGAUGCAUUAGGCGGUGAUGGAUUCAAAUAUUGAACACUUUGCAAUCUUUGCAUAUGCCUUGUUAGAUUAGUUGGAUGUGAAAACUUACCUAUUAUAAUUAUUAAAAUUAAAAAUAUAUGUUAAUUUAAUAUUAUUGAUAAAGUUGAUAAGAAACAGUAAUAAUUCAAAUUGAUAAGUCAGUCUUCCAUUUUGCAUAUACCUGUUUUUCUUUUAUCUUUUACAAAAUGUUCUUCUUGUUGUCGAUUUCAUUCAAUAGCUUUUGAUGCUUGAACUACCGCUUUAUAAGCAUGUUGCUCAUCAAGGUGCAUGUCAGCCAUACAUAUACACAUCAUCAUCAUCAUCAUCAUCAUCAUCAUCAAGGUUUUUGUAGACCCCCAUAUGGGGCUCAUUUUUUUCUCCCACAUUUCUACAGGUUACAUUCUUUUUCUUACCAGGUGUUACUACCCCAGCGAGGCACGUGUCGCUUCCUUGGUGGCCAUAGGGGAAUCAACCUUGCUUUUUGAAGCUGCAGUGGGAAUAUGACACGUAGGGGGAAUAUUCUAGAGGGUCUGUAGGCCGUUAUGGAGGAGCGGAUGAGAGAGAGGAUAUCCUGCAGAGGGUGGUGUGGCUUUUGGUGGUUUUCUGGAGAUAUAAGAGGGGCAAAUCAGGUAGAGCAAAAGGCAAGGAGGAGGAUUCGGUAGGGGGGGGGGUUGCUUUUUGGGGAGGUUGGCCGUGAUAUUUUCAGCAAGAGUUUUCUUUAUUGAGAGAGAGGGGAGGGGGAAGUUUGAGCAACUGAAAAAAAAAAACAGAGGAGGAGGAGGAAGCUGCCGAGGAGGGUGACUUGGAGACUGGAGAGUGAGAUUUCUUUUUGGAGGGUAUUCUGGCUUGAGGAGCAAGUGAGAGAGGAUAUUCAUUCUGGAGAUCGACAGAGAAGGGAGAAAAGGGAGAAACAGAGGAAAAGAGCGUCUGUAGGUGAGUUUGAGGUGAGUUUCUCGCUUACUUUGAUUCAAAUAUUUUCUCAUCUCUUUCCCAUUUUGGUUUGCUCUUCAUUGCUCAUCAAUUUGGGGUUGAACAAUAUGGAUUAUGUGCCGAAUCUUGUUGAUUACUGAAUCAUUUUUAUACUCUGUUGCUGUUGAUUUUACCGUUGUUCUUGUGAUUUGGUUUGGAGCUAGUGGAACUUUGUUUCUCAUAUAUUGUGUAAACCUGGCUCAAGGUUCUCCCUCAUCCCUCCUGUUUUGAGCCCAUGAUCAUCACUUGAUAUGGGAUCAUGUACAUUCAUGAACUGCAUGCUCACCUGUUUGUUCUACCCUUAGUUUUCACUCUAGUUCAUGCCUUAGUGUUUAUUCCUCUGAUUUUGCCGGGGUUGGGGUGUUAAAUAUCUCGUCUGGGACUGGCUAUCGUGAUUGGGGAUGUUUUUGAGACCUGAAAAGCUAUGUGGACCUCACUGAGACGUCCGGAGAAAAGAACUUGAGCUAAAUCAUCGUGAGAAUGUGGGUACUGUGAACGUUUUGGUUGAUGUCUCUACCUUGCUCACAAACGCACCCUAUCUGCUGAAUCUGGAACGUACUCACCAUACCCAUGACAGCAAGGCCCUUGAAGAUAUCGUGUUACACAAUGGACUAGACAAGGAUAGAUAGCCCUCGCUGCAUGGUUCAAAAGGUUCAAACCAAAAUUGCAUGCGGAAAAACCUGUUCCUCAUGCCGACAUCUGUUCUGAGUGUGGCUCACCAUUAUUUCAUGGCUCAUGGAGUGGGCUCCUUCUACUGGGCCUAUGGACUCAAAUAUACCAAGCUUGUAACCUGGUUGCAAUGGAGGUUUAUUGGUGUUAGUUUGAAAAAGAAGCUUCUUAGGGACUUGCCCUCAUUGCUCCCUUGUGUGAAAAUCUAUUUGUUACUAUGUCUGGGCGCUUGCGAUGAAUCCAAAGGUAGAUAAUGCCCGACAAUAUUUGAGGAUUUCUCUUAGCUGUGCGUCCUGGAAUGACAUGAUGGAGGCUUGUGAUGCUCGGGAUCUUGAUAUUCUGCAAAAAGAGUUCCCUAUUUUAAACAAUUAUAUUCAUUUUGGAGAUGCAGAGAUGGCGCAGAAAUUGUAUCGUAUUAUCCGAGCUUGCAUGGGUGGCUAGAGGCAACUAAGCAAUGCUGCGGCGACUGUUCUGUAUAAUCACUCUGGCGGCGAGACUCUGCACAAUGCAAGUCCUGCGAGCGACGCUGGGGAUGCAGUCAUGGCGUGAUGGCUCCAGUCCGCCGGAUUGCAGCAUCUGACCUUUCCAUUGGCUUCCACCAGAGUUGAUCAUCACCUCCUCCCCGAUCUUCUAAUGCAGGGUUAUGGAGCGCAAUCUGCUGUGGGAAGGCUUUACCUGGAGGUCCAAGGGCUUGGGCAGACAUUCUUUUCAUAACUUACUAGGUUACUUUUCUCAUUGCUGAGAUAUGCCUGUUAGCGGGUUCAGUGAGGAAUGCCUACCCUAUCAAGUACGAGACAAUUUUCAGUGAGGAUCCCCCGUCAUGUGAGACCUUGAGAAAGGGUGUGUUUGGCACUAGGGCCGCUUUCCCAUUCUUCACUGCCAUACCCUCUGAACCUUACUAUGUUUGCUAUUCGUAAGUUAGAGGAAGUUCUCUAGCUUAUGGUGAUUGAAAAACUGGUUUUUGAGAUGGGAACCUACAGCUGGGCUUAGUUAAGAUGAUCAUAAUUGUUUUAAUUCUGAGAAGCAACCUCUACAUACCCAUCAAGCCACCCCACUAAACCCUUUCCCUCUCUCUAAGCCUAUUCAUACCCAUUUCUUACUCCCUAUAGUUUGCCACCCUCACUUUUCCACCUUGUACAUCAUGAAGCUCAUUCAUCAAGCCUACCUAUUUAACCCCCCCUCUUGAUACCUAUUCCAGCACAUGCAUGGCUGUCCCAAAGCUCCUUCCAAAACCCUUGUUAAUAUCCUAGAUUUAUCCACCCACGUGCAUGGGAACCAUGCUAACCUGGUUAUUCUUCAUAUGCCCAUUUCUCAUUUUCCAUACAUGCCACUUUCACCUUCCAUGCUCAUACCCAUCAUCUAUCAUCCAUUCCUUACCCCUACACUCAGAAAUUAUGCAUCCAUAAUCAUCUUCAUACCCACCAUGCUCAUUCAUACCCAUCUUUCUCUCUCUACCUCUUCAUACCUCCGCAUGCCUAUCUCUUCGCAUCAUGCACACCAAACCCAUACCUGUGGCCAUCUUUCUAUGUUCAUUAACCCCAUAUUACAAGUGUUCUUGUUAUUGAUGACAAUCCGAUGUGGGCAAUUACUGGUAAAGCCUGAAGAAGAACAUGAUGGUCCAGUAAAUGAAGAGAAGGCCCAAAUUGGUUAAGACACCUAUAUUAAGUGAAUGAAGAACUGGGGCAACUUAGAUCCAAACGUCCUCAUUAUACCUUUUCUGAGGAUGAGAGUGGCGGAGAGUUCAGUAUGACACGCCUUCACCAGAAUCUGAGUCCGGGCCUUCAUAUUCCUGCAGAGAAGGUUUUUGACUUGUUAUCAUCUCGGCCGCGACCAAGAUGUCACCAUACUCCAUCACCAGAAUUAGGAAAUAAACUAUCAGUUUCCGGUGACCUUGAUCCUUACUUUUCCUUCUCGUUGGCCUCGUCAGCAGACGUCAGCAAAUGUUAGAAAUGAGGAGCCCUGAUGAAGAAAAUGGCCACAGCCGCAGCCCUAGUCCCAUUCCUAGGAACGAUGCAAGUCUUGCUGAUGAGUAUGGUAUCAAGUUCUUUGAAACUAGUGCAAAAACACUAUAUUGAAGACAAUAGGAAUGCCAAAUGGUGUCCCGCUCCAGGCUGUGAUUAUGCAGUUGAUUUUUUAUUGUUAAUAGUGGAAGUUGUGACGUUUCCUGCCAGUGCUCAUAUAACUUUUAAUGGAAUUGUACAGAGGGAGCUCACCUUCCUGUUGAUUGCAGCACUGUGGCCAAUUGGAUUCUGAAAGAAUAGUGCAAGUGAGUGUGAAAAGCCCUCUCUGUCUUAGUCAUCAAGUAAGCCUUCAAUCUGGCAGAAAGUGAAGAGGUGACUCCCAUUUCCUAGGAUCCCACUACAUGAUUUGCCAGAAAGUCUAACAGAUAGAUUUCAGCAGUGCCCAGGCCAGCAGCUUUCCUUGUCGAGCAGCCAGAGUGGUGAACUCAUUAGCAGCCGCAUCAAGGCCGCAUGGUAUUGGCGAUUCAUACGUGGCCUCCCUGUAAGGCAUGAAAGCGUUUGGUGCACUCUUUGGAUCGAUGCUUCUUAGAGAUUCUGUAGCUAUGCAAUCAUGCCAGGGUGAAAACUACAUGUUGUUUCCCCUAGUACCAGUGAGAUUGAUGCAAACAAGCAUGAUGGUGAUAUGGAAAGAUAAAAUAAUCUAGGAUAAUUCUCCUGAAGUUGGUGAGAAUUCUGCAGAGAGUUGUGAAAUCUCUGGACCUGAUUCUGAAGUUGUGGUGGAUAAAGAAACAGAACUGGUAACCAAGGCUCAAAAUCAGAGGUCAAAGUUCCAAGUGGCAAUAGAUGACAAGUAUUGGAAUGACAGCCUCAGCGCGGUCCAUUCUGAUGAGAGGAAUCUAAAACAGACACUGAAUGGUCAGAUGUUAAUGGCUCAGCCAGAGACGAUGCAUCCUGGAUCUCAUGGUUUUACCAUAUGUGGGGAUAUUAUUCCUUCUGUGAAUUUGACGAUGAUUGCAUGCAAGAUGAUUUUGAUGACCUCUAUGGUUUGAGCAAUCAAGUCGCCCAUUAUGAUCAUGCGUUUGACUUGAUUUUGGAUGUUGAAUUCUCGCAUGGUGAUUCUCCCACAGAGAAGCAAAACGAGAUAGUGGAAUCUGUAGCAAAGGCUUUAUGGUCUGUUUCAUUUCUGUUACUUAUUGACUUAGCAAAGACUGACUGCCAUGCUAAGCGAGCACGUAGACUCUGACUUUGGUCGAUAUCCAAGAAUUUGUUGCUGCGGACAAACCUGCUUUCUAGUGACUUUGAUGGGGCCUGUAAUGCCUAUCUAGAAGGGUGAUAAGUGCCUAGCCUUGAGGUGCUUAAACUGACAAAGGAGUGUCUCAUGGAGAAGCUUGCUGCUGGUGUCCCCCAAUUUGUCCCGUCUUUCAUUGGUCAUCUCAUACCCAACUUUGGUGGUUGUACUCCGGGCCCUCAUGCACAAUCCUAAAAAUUGUAUGGCCAUCCUCUUGUGCCUUUUUUUCAAAAUCCAUGUUUCUUCAUUCAUUUUCAUGUCUGUCUUUAAAGAAAUAGGUUUUCAAUUAACUUCAAACUCUUCCAUAUUUCAUCCUUAGAGUUUUUAGGUUUCACAAGUCCUAUUUUCAAUAAAAUUGGUUGCCAUUUUCUCUUCGGCAAGCCAUCUUCCCAUCUUCCAUGUUUUUUUUAAAAUGUUUUAAAAUAAGUGUGAAUUUAUUUUCGUAAUUCCAAGUGAUGGAAUUUACAAAAUUGAUUCACUCACAAAUAAAUCGGGCUUUGGUGGGGGCCCAACAUUAUUGGAUGUUUCCUUUGAAAAUCCAUUUGAUUGAAUUGUGACAUGUGAUGAUUUAUUGCUCGGUUUAGCGACAUGGGUGCCACAUUUUAUGCUCAUCAAUUGUGCAUUAACCCCAUUUUGUGAUAGCGCGUUGCUGUUUAUGGAUCAAGUACGCAUCUUUUCUCACUCUGGCUAUCAUCCAUAUAUGUUUUGGCUUUCAGUAUGUGAUCAUGACGGUAUUCAUUGAUUUCCUUAUCGAUUGCUACAUUAGCUUCAUUUUAUUAGUAGAGACCUGACUUUAAGGACUUAAAGGGGUGCUACGGUCUUUACCGUACCUUCUUGAUAAGUAAACUGACCCCUGAGCCCGAUCCAGUUCUUCACAAACCACCUUUUCCAAAUAAAGAGUCACACUUAGAGUUUUCUUUCUUAUUUUGUUUACCCUUUAAAAAUAAAACAAAAAUAAGUGGCAACUCCAAGUCAUUUUCUAAUAAAUAAAAUAAAAUAAAAUCAUUUUUUUGAAAUAAAGAAUCGAGCACCCCAUCGAGUGGAAGCGCAUUGAGCCGAAAUGCGGGGUCCACAGUUUUCCUCAUCCUCCUCAUCAAUUACAUGUCUAUGUCUUCCUCCCAUUGUGUCUUGCAAUUCAGCUCGAAUCUCUUCUAUAUUUGUGGCUUUCUUCACUUUUGCCUUAUUUUUUUUCCUUUAGAAGUCGACUUAUUUCUUGUUUCACUUCUGGAGGCACAUUAGGACACUUUUUUGUAUUUGAAUGAGGGUUUGUAUGCGACAGGUGAAAUUUAAAAUGAGUAAUCUUACCACUCUUUAUUUUCAACCUAUAGUAAUUGCAUAUUGUUCCAUUUUUGUUCCCUUCCAUAAGUGUACAAUAUUUCCAACUAGGAUCUCAACCCAUGAUACCGCUUCCACUUCCACUAACCAUUUUCUAAACAUGUAUUUUAAAUUCUCAUACGAAACUAAUAUAUGUGAUGUGAUAUCAAAAGGAUUUGCAUUAUAAUUAAAUUUCUAUAUGAGUUAAGUACUAAGUUAUUAAAGAUAAAUAUCUAAGUUAAUUUAAUAUUAAUAUUAUUAAUGAAAUUAAUAAGAAUCAUUACUAAUAAAAUUGAAAUUAAAAUUGAAUUAUGCAUAUAUAUUAUGUGAUAUGAAAUAGAUAAAUAUUACAAUUAAAUUUCCAUAUGAAUUAAAUUUAAAUUUAAAUUUAUUAAAAAAUAAAACCAAAUAUGCAUAUAUGUCAAAUCAAUUUCCAUAUGAAAUUUAAUGUUAAUGGGACAAAUUUUAAAAUUAGAUAAUAUCAAUUAAACUAUAUAUAACAAAUAAAAUUGAAUUAUGCAUAAUAAAAAUAAAUUUUAUGAAAGGUAAAACAUACCUUAAUUAGCCUUGACUUUGAGUUGAUCCCCUUCACCACCAAAUUUUCAAGAUUUAAUUUUAUUUAUAGAAAUAAAAAAAAAUAAAAAUUUGGAGCAAUAGAACAAGAUCAAAAAUUUAUGUAUGAAAUGGAAUGAAUUGUGGGUAUUUAUAGGAUUUUUUUUGGCCAAACUAGCCAUUGGAUGGUCAAAUAGCAGUUAUAAAUUAAUUUUAACCAUUGGAUCAAAAUUUGGCCAUUAGAUCUUCAUAUAACCGUUGGAAACAUUUCUUAGCCAUUGGAUCAAGUCAUGAUUGAUUUUCCACUAUUGGAUCACAAAUAUGAUUGUUGGAUGCCUUUAUAAAAAACACGGGUGAAAUCUAGGCCAUCGGAUUGUCAAAAAUUCAAAUAUGACUGUUGGAUGCAGUAGGAGGAAAUUUCAAAAAAUUGCCCAAAAAAUCGUUGAUUUAUCGUCGAUAUUUUGAAAAAAAUUGGUGAUUUUUUUACAGUCUUCCUCCAUUGCUCCGUGCAUCUCUCCAUGGUUGAUUUUUUCAUUUCCAAACCGACAUAUUGCUAAUAUUCGACGAUAUUACCAAAAUUUUGCCAAAAUUCCCACCAAUCAAUAAUCGGUACCCAAUAUCGUGUCGGGAACCACCAAUAUUUGAUAUAUUGACAUAUUUCAUCGAAAAAACCAAAAAUCCUUAAUAGAAAAUAAUGCCUUAUUAACACACUUUUAUUCAAAGUGUUUGUCCUUAUUCUCGACAAAGAAAGCAUUUUAUUCAAAGUAGAACACUCCUAAAACUAUGACAUCAAUACAUAUUAUCCCCUUUCCAUUUCUGACAAUAUGGAAGAAGCUGGCAUUAGCUUUCAUUUGUUCAUACUGGCAUAGGGUCAAUGAGCAAGGAUGCAAUAUUAUCUUUCAUCACUUUCCCAACAUGAGUGUAUUCAUUGUUUUCCUUAUAAAUGAUGUCUACCACUCGUGUAAGAUUGAGAACUUUGAUAAGGAUUGGGAUCGACAUGGAAGUAGGUAUGAGGAAAACUUGGUUAAUUUCCUUCCAUGCAUUCACAAUUUGCUUGUUAAACUCGUCAUAAGCCUGUUGCUUAAGACACUAUAUUGCUUGAUAUAGCAUUCAAUGGCUAAGGCAACAUGCCCUCUCUCUUGUUCAAACUGCACACAUAUAUAUAGUAAUGCAAAAGAUGAGGAAAAACCUACCAUAAAAUCAUCACGAAUGAACUUAUAUGCAAUAUAUUCUACACAUAUUCCUUAUGUGUCAUCAUAUCGUUCAUGGGCCUGGCAAUUAAACAUGAAGCUAUUGUAAAAGGGUCAUUGUAAACCCAAUCAAAGGCCUCUUUUGUUAUCAUUUAUCCUAUUCCAAUGAAAGAGAGGGUUGUGGCUAAGGGAAGAGCUGAGCCUACUCGUGCAACUUGCAUGUAUUCCUCUAUGGAACCAUUGUACUUUGUCAAAGAGCCAACCUGAAUUUUCAACCAACAAACAUUUGUCAAUGUUACAUACUUGUACAUAUGCUUUAAUUUUUAAUUUGAUAUGAUUCGCCUAUUUAACUCGAGCCCAACACAUUUUGUCAAAAUAAUCUUAAAAUAAUCUCUCUCUCUCCUUCUCUGUGAUUGUUAAAUUUAAUGAAUAAGUAUAUUAUUCUAUCAUAUUGGUAUAUGUACAAAAUUAGCUCUCUCUGUCUCUCCCUCCUCUCUCAUUGUUAAAUUUAAUGAAUAAGUAUAUUAUUCUGUCAUAUUGGUAAUAAACAUUACCACCGUAUAUGUACAAAAUUAGCUAAGCUAAAUAAGAUAAAAUAGCAAGACUAAGUAAGAUAAAUUGUAAUUACAAGGAGAGAUUGACAUUCUACCGGAGGUAAUCUUGGUUGACACCUAAGAUUACCUUUAAUACUGAUCACCAAUUGCCAUGAAUUCAUGCACCUGACUAUGUACAAUGUAUUCACUUGGGCUGUCUCCUAUCAUCCCAGAUCAAGUAUAGGAUACUGAACAAACAUUUAAAUACAUGAAACGAUGUUCACAACAUCAAUGGAAUUAAUGUUUUUUGCAGAAAAAUGUGUGGAUGCAUGCAUGUAUACAAGAAUACUUAGAAUUUGGCUGUGCUGUUUGUUGUCACCUCGCGUAUCCGGUGGUCCACGUUCCUGCUAGAUGGAUGGACACGCGAUUCUCAACACACAAAGGGUUCUUGAUUCAGCGGUCGUACCUGCAAAAGGCAUCCGGACAGGGUGUCUGGACGCACCCUCCGAUGGUUUUGUUAGCCAUGGUAAGAGAGGAAGAUAUAUGAGGCAGUUGGCUUUUUACUAGGUAUCAGGAGGUUACCCAGAGAGAGAGCCCCAAUUCUUCUUCGCGUGAAGACUUAUAUAUAUAGCUUUAAGGGUACUGUUCCUCUCAUUAAUGGUGAGGAGAUGUUUUAUGUUGUCAUGAUGACAUUAAGUAGCAGUAGAGACAUCAUCACCCUACGAGCGGCUGUCAAGAACCAUGGUAGGUGACGCGAUUGUCAGAGAUCGUGAUAGGUGAUCAUGUAGAAUGAUCGUGGGAAGUGACUUGCUAUCACUUCAUCUUGUCUUCUCACUCUGCAGGUGACAAGAUGUGGGCCAUGGCUGCUUGUUGUGAUUGCGUGUAAGACUCGCUUUACUUUAAUUGACCAUCCAGACGAUUUAUAUCCGGAUGGCUCAUGCUGAUUAUCCGGAUGUGUUGUGGAGACUAUCCGGAUGUCUACGCUCUGCCAGCGUCGUUUGCUCUUCCUUGGAUAGGAGAAGCUGAAACGUCGUUUGCCUUUCCUUGAGGCGGUCUGGAUAGGAUAACUGCACCAUGCAUAUCCUUAGGAGAAUCCGGAUGAUGAUGGUCCGGCUAAUAACACGUGCCACGCGUCAUCAUGAGCUGCGUGCCACGUGUUUCCCAAUGGGAGGGGUCCCUACAUUGCCCCCCUUUUUAACUUGCCUAUUUUGCCCAAAAAAUGGGCGGGUUAAAAAUAACUGGCUUUUGAAAAUUGAAGAGGUCCCUUCGUCUGACUGGGCCACGUGGCGAGUGGGGGUGCGGAAGCUAAAAAAGGCAUUUAUGACGAGCCACCGACCCUGUGUAUCCCUAGGCAAUAUGUCGUUUCAAUGAUAACAUGGUUGUCCUGCUAUAAAUAGGGCACUGUACCUCUUUUUGCAUUUUUUCCUACUGCAUUCUCUUGAGAGCCUUUCUUCUUCUUGCUUUUUUCUACGCCCUUUGCUUCUCUGAGAAAAAACUUCGAAAGCUCUUUUGUACCAGUGUUUUUGUAUUGCGACUUCGUUUGUUUGCUGCUGGUGAUUUUGUACCGAGUCAGUAACCGUUCUUCUUCUUCAGAGCUUUAUUUGGUACGUACCUCUUUGCUACUGUCAUUCCUUUGGUUGCGUUUGCUGGUUCUUUAAACUUGGUUUCUGGCUUGCUUGGGCAUUGUUUUGGACAAGUCGCUUGCAAUUGUUGUUGAAUGUUGGUACUUUGUUGGUGUUGGGGGGGUGUUUUUUAGGGGUUUUUCUGACUGCUUUGGGUUAGGGUUUGUGUAUUUUCUGACUGCUUGGUUUGAACCGUUGUAUUGCUUUUGUAUGUAGAUUUUGGUUUGGCUUUGUGGUAAGAAAUGGCUCCAAAAAAGACUGUUUCAUCUGCCCGGGUUAGCGAGGCUGGCGAAAAGGCGAUAGACAAAUUAGAUGUGAAGGAAUUCCGGGAGCGGUUCUGCAUCCCAAAUGGCGUAUCUAUAGACUUGGUGAACGAGGAGGCAGCUAUGCCUACUGAGAAAGGUGAAGAAAACGUUAUCCUCUUCACAAAGGAACAAUUCAACGCGGGGCUCCGGUUCCCUCUGCCGGCGUUGUUCAAGGAAUUCCUCCACUUCUCUCAGAUUCCAUCCAUCUUCAUUCAUCCCAACCUUGUCCGGGUGUUGAUGGGAUGCAGCAUCAUCAACAUGCUGUACAACCUCGACCUUACGCUACUGGAAGUGCUCUUUUUCUAUUCCCUGAAGAAGGCAAAAAAUGAUAUCUUCAGUGUGUCCACGCACCUGCCCUCCCUUCAAAUGGUGACAGAGAUGCCAGAUUCGAUAAAGGGAGGGGCGAAGGGGCUGGUGGCGGUCCGGGGUGGAUGGGCGGGGCUAUCGGAGCAUGCGUCGAGGCCCUUUUCUCCAAAUUAUACCUUAAAAAUUUCGGGUAUUCUUGUUUUGCGAUUCUUUGUCCGGAUUUUACUUUGCUGAUUUUUUGCUGAUUUUUCCGGACGGAAUUCUCACCUUUUGUUGCUGUUAAUGCAGGUCUGGAAUUGAGGGGCCACCUUGUGGAUUGGGUGGAAAAGGCGUCCUUCGCCUGUGUCUGCAAAUUAUUUGAGAUAAAUCCCAAGAAGAGGGCCUGCAAGACAUUGCUUUCCGCGCGGAAUUUGAUGGCGGUCGUCCGGGAGUCCCAGGAAUAUGUUAUCAAUAUUCUCCCCAGGAAACUGCCAAAGGAUGAGGUAGUGCCUGGGGAGCAUUAUACUGUGAAGGAGCUCCCCCUCUAUCAGGAAGCUAAAGAGGCUGAUGCUGAAAGACGGCGAAAGCUCCUGGAGGAUCGAGAUCAGAGAAAAAAUGAAGGCACUAUCCGGAAGGCUCCCGGACAGAAGCGGGGUCCGGACUCUCCUCCAAAGAAAACUCCAGCAAAAAGGAGGAAGCUGGUGAAGAAGAAUGGGAAGGAUGUGAAGGAACCCACUCCUCCCAAGGAGUUUCCUCCUCCGCAAAUUACCUAUGAGGGGGAAGUAAUGAUAGAGGAGCCAGUAAACGCUGCUCCGCACUCUAUCUCAAGCAGCCCCGGACGCAUCUCGGGGUUGAACCAUUCUGGCACUUCCUUAGCCGCGGUUGCGCGUCUGGCUAACGUGGCUGAGGAAGCUGCAUCUAUCAACCGUCCGGGCAACCUUAAUCCGGAUGCUGAUGCAGCUGAAACGACCCCGUUGGAGGAAGCGGUGGUAGAAAGCCAAAGUUAGCCUUCCGACGACCCGGAUCGCUUGGCCAUAAUCCCGGUGAAAGGGCCUCCUUCAAAGAAGCCGCGUUCGACGCGCAAUCUAUGGUCCGGACUCCUUGGGCGGCUUCAAGAGCGGCAGCAAGAGAUUGAAGUUAGCUGCGCUUCUGCCCAUGACGCUCAUCCGGAUGGAGGCGAGGUGGAGAUGGCAACUGAGACUUCAGCCGCCCCGGCAAUAAUUCCGGCUGAAGAUGCAUCCGGACAGAUGCGUCCGGACGAAGAUGUGGGGGUCCCGAAUCCGGGACAAGAGUCACCUUCUGUUUCCUCAUCUGAGGAGGAACCUGCUGACGAUGCAGCUCCUGCUAGCCUUUUCAGCUACGCGGAGUUGGAAGCUAAGCUAAAACAGGUUACACCCGGCUGGACUGCCAUCAAGCCCUCUACUAAGAUGUUUGAUAUGAUAGAAACGGUAUACCGUUGUCUUGUGCUUUUGCUUUUUGAUUCUUUGUUGCGCUGAUGUGUUUGUUGUAGUAUGAUUUAUGUCUUUGCUUUUCUUGUUUGCGUGUCAGCUGGUGAGGAGCCUCCGCGACAUGGCUCAACAACACGAUCUUUUUACUCACCUGCUGCAGACUGCAGACUAUAUGAAGACCUUCUCCUCUCGACGCCGAGAGAUUGAAAAUCAGCUGCGUCUGAGAAUGGAGGAGGCUGAGGCUAGUCUAUCCACCAUGCGAGAGGAAAAUGAAGCCCUCCGAGUGGAGUUGGCUGAGGCGAAGAGUCGAGAAGAAUCGACUGUGGGCCGCCUACAUGAGGCGGAAGGUGAGGCAGCCCGGCUGAGGGAUGAAGUGAGUCAACUCCGGACAGAAGUUUCGAAUGAAAAGAAACAAAAGGAAGACUUGCAGCUGCGCCUGGAUGUGCAAAAAGAAGACCUUGAACAGGAGUUUGCUGUGGAAAGAGAGGAACUUGCAGCGGAUUACCAGCAACAAGUGGAUGAUAUGUUUAUCUUUGGGUAUCGCUGCUGCAUGAAGAAGAACGACAUCAAGCGAGAUACCCCUUCAAUUCCUCCGGGUGAAGAAAAGAAGCUCCAUGAGAAGCCCGCUCCCUGAUAGUUUAUCUUUUUUUGCAAUUUUUCUGCUGUAAUUUUUCCUUCUGUAUUUUUGUGGUCCGGAGAUCUCUUUGUAAUUACACUUAUUCAUAUCAAUAAAAACAUACUUCUUUCUCAUUUGCACUUGUGUAUACUUUUUAUUGAUAGUACUGCUUUAAAUUGGACACAUUCCAUGGUCUGAGUAACGGACUGCCAUCUAGCUUUUGUAAAUGAUAGGCUCCAUUUUCGUUUGCCUUAGACACUAUGUAGGGUCCUUCCCAAUUGGCUUGGAACUUUCCUGCGCCUACUUCAGCAGUAUUUUCAAAAACUUUUCUAAGUACUAGCGUACCAUUUUUGAAGUUUCUGGGCCUGACUUUUCGAUUGUAAUGCGCUGAUGCCAUUUGUUGAUAAUCUGCCAUCCGGAUGGCCGCGCUUUCUCUGACUUCGUCUGCCCAGUCUAAAUUUCUUCCUAGUUCCGUGUUGGCAUCUUCUUGUUUUGUUGCAUCGGUCCGGAUAGUAGGAAGACCUAUUUCAAUGGGAAUGACUGCAUCCAUUCCAUAUGUGAGGGCGAAAGGAGUGUUUCCUGUUGGUCGUCCGGGUGUGGUUCGAUAGGCCCACAGGACGCCGGGUAGCUCCUCCACCCACUUCCCUUUGGCUUGCUCAAGCCUUUUCUUUAAGGCAUUGAUUAGAGUUUUGUUUGUGGCUUCCGCUUGCCCAUUGCUUUGAGGAUAACGCGGCGUGGAGUAUGAAUUCCGGAUAUUCAGUUCCGAACAGAAAUUCCUGAAUGCAAUGCUGUCAAAUUGUGGACCAUUGUCAGCUAUGAUGAUUUGGGGAAUUCCAAAGCGGCAAACAAUGUUCUUCCAUACGAAUUUGGUGACAUCUUUAUCUUUGAUGCUUGCAUAUGCUUCAGCUUCUACCCAUUUACUGAAGUAAUCAGUGGCGACAAGGAGGAAUUUCUUCUGGGCAGGUGCUGCUGGGAGGGGUCCCACUAUGUCCAUGCCCCACUGCGCGAAAGGCCAUGGGCCUGAGACCGAUUUCAAUGUUGCCGAUGGCAUAUGUGGAAUGGGAGCGUAUCUUUGACAUUUAUCACAUUUUUGGACAUAUGCUACCGCGUCUUUCUUCAUUGUGAGCCAAUAGUAUCCUUGUGAAUGAGCUGUAUGUGCCAGGGAUCGUCCUCCCGUAUGAUUUCCGCAUAUUCCUUCAUGUAAUUCAGCUAGCACAUAUUGGGCCUCUGAAUGCCCAAGACAGCGAAGAUAAGGCCCUGUGAAGGAUCGCUUGUACAGGUGCCCCCCAAUCAGGGUGAAACGGGCAGCUUGCACCCGGAUUUUGUGCGCUUGUUUAGGAUCUUCGGGUAAAGUGCCUGUCCGGAGAUAUUCUGCAAUAUCAUGCGUCCAUUCUUGAUCAUCCGCUUGGUUUGCCUCAAUGGUGUUGCAAGUGGAACUUUCUGCGACAGAGGGAUUGACUUGUACAUGGAUAGGCAAUAGAAUGGCUUCUCUGAUGGGGAGGGAAGCAGCUAUACCGGCCAAGGCGUCAGCGUGCCCGUUGUCAACUCGCUUAAUUUUUUCGAUUGUCCACUCGGUGAAUUGCUGUAAGGUGCUUCUUACAUUGGCCAAGUAUCGCGCCAUGCAUGCAUCCUUAGCCUCAUAUUCUUUCUGGACAUGCCUUACCACUAGUUGCGAGUCGUUGUAGAUCCGGAGUUUGGAGACGGAUAGAGCAAGGGCGAGGUCCAAUCCGGACAGGAUGGCCUCGUAUUCUGCUUCAUUGUUAGACGCGGAGAAUCCCAGCCAGAUGGCUUGCUCCAGAUGUUCCCCAGUUGGGGACUGUAGUAAGAGCCCAACUCCAGAGCCUGAUGAGCGUGAGGCUCCGUCAACUCGUAGAGUCCACCACUCCUGUUCACUUGAUUCGUGGUGCUGGUUGGGUCUUCGUGAAUAUUUGAGCACAAAGUCGGCCAUUACUUGGCCUUUUUUGGAUAAUCUGGGUUGGAAUUCGAUUCCAAAUUCGCUCAAUUCGAUGGCCCAUUGUAGCAUUCGCCCAGUUAAUUCUGGUUUGUGCAGAAUGCUACGAAGGGGUUGGUCGGUCAGUACAAUCACUGGGUGGGCUUGAAAAUAGGGGCGGAGCUUUUGAGCAGCACUUCGAAGAGCUAAGGCUGUUAGCUCCAUUUUUGAAUACCUGGUUUCUACAUCUGCCAAUGCCCUGCUGACAUAGUAGACAAGUUUCUGCUCCUUUGGUGAAGGACAGCGGAAUAGAACGGCGCUGAUUGCCCAUUCUGAGACAGCCAGAUACAUGUAUAACUUCUCCUUUGGGAUGGGGCUGCUUAGGAUGGGUGGCUGCAUAAGACAAUGCUUAAUUUUUUCGAAAGCACUUUGACAACUGUCUGUCCAUCCUUGUGCUCCAGCUUCUCGUAUUGCCAAGAAGAAGGGUCGCAAUUCUUCAGUGAAGCGGGCUAUAAAGCGCCCUAAUGCGACGAGCUUGCCUGUGAGUCAUUGUAGCUCCUUCUUGUUCCUGGGAGGGGGUGUUUCCAUGACUGCCUUGACUUGAUCCGGACUGACUUCUAUGCCUCUCUGGCUGACCAUAAAUCCUAGGAACUUGCCAGCACUUACUCCAAAGGCGCAUUUAGAAGGGUUUAGCUUCAUGUCAUACCUUUGCAAGAGGUGAAAAACUUCUUGUAAGUGAAGAUCAUGCUGCUCUCGGGUUUUGCUUUUAACCACAAUGUCAUCAAUAUACACUUCUACCGUGUGGCCUAUUAGAGGUUUGAAGAUUUUAGUCAUUAAUCUCUGAUAAGUGGCGCCAGCAUUUUUGAGUCCGAAUGGCAUGACUUUAUAGCAGUAGAGGCCAUGUGGUGUUAUGAAUGCUGUCUUUUCUUCGUCAUCUGGAGACAUGGGAACCUGGUGAUAUCCGAAGAAGGCAUCCAAGAAAAAGAGCAUCCCUUGCCCGGAAGUGGAAUCUACAAUUUGACCUAUUCGUGGUAAGGGAAAACUGUCUUUUGGACAUGCGUUAUUGAGAUUGGUGUAAUCAACACAGACUCACCAUUUGCCCUCUUUCUUUGGUACCACCACUACAUUUGCCAACCAAUCCGGAUAAGAUACUUCUCUGAUGAAUCCGGCUUCCAGCAAUUUGUCAAUUUCAUUUCGGAUAACUUUUUGUCUAUCCGGAUGAAAGCGUCUAAUCUUCUGUCGAACGGGUCUGGCUGCUGGAAAGACGUUAAGCUUGUGAGAGGCAAUAGAGGGAUGAACUCCCUUCAUAUCCGAAUGUGUCCAUGCGAAGAUGUCAUGGUUGCUUCGAAGGAUAUUUUGUAUGCUCUGAGUUUCUUCUUGUGUCAUGAGGGAACUGAUGUUCAUGAGGUGAUCAUUCUCUUCUGAGAUUUGGAUUGUUUGUAAGGGAUCUGCUGCCAGGGGAUCCUUGUCCGCCGGACCCAAUAAUUGCUAUUGGUCAUGCGUAUGGCUGGGUUCAGGGGGAGAUGCAUCCUCCUGGCUAGUUCCCGCUUCUCGUGCUAUUUGAUAGCACUGUCGAGCGGCCAACUGGCUGCCAUACAAGUCAGUUUGCCCUUCGUUGGUGAGGAAACUCACCAUUUGAUGAUAUGUGGAAGGGAUGGCUUUCAUGUAGUGAAGCCAUGUGCAUCCCAAGAUGACAUUGAAGGGUGAUAACUCUUGUACCACCGAGAAUUGCACGUUGAGAGUGACUGGGCCAGCUUGGACCGGCAGUAUAAUGUCUCCUAAGGAUGUGGUUGAUGACCCGUUGAAUCCGGAUAAGAUUCGUCCGGGGUUUUCGAGACCCGCGAGACUAUGUCCCAUAUGGCCAACGACUGAUGUUUGCACUAGAUCGGCUGAACUGCCUGGGUCGACCAAGAUACGUCUUACAUCGAAAUCUCCUAUUUCUAGGGAGAGGAUGAGGGCGUCGCGAUGUGGCUGUAGCGUCCGGGUGGGAUCUACUGGAGGGAAAAUGAUUGUCCCAUCUAUGGGGCGAGGGCCCUCUCCAGUGAGACCCGACCGGAUGGAAUUAAUGUGUUCGCGUAUUGACGCGGCUCGCAGCAAUUUCUGCCUUUUCCGCCUGGAAUCGUAUUCCUCGUCAGAUGGGCCCCCGUUGAUAUAGUUUAUGACAGCCUUGGGGGCGACUGGGGCCCUCGGGGCCCCAGAGUUAUGAUGUUGAGAUGCGUCCCUUCCUCUAAUAUCUGAGCGGAGGUACUGUUUUAAAUGUCCUGCUUUGAUGAGCCUUUCAACUAGAUACUGGAGGGACCGACAUGUCUCUGUUGUAUGACCAUGGUCUUUGUGGAAGGCGCAUUUCUUGUUGCGGUCUCUCAUGGAUGGGUUCGUUUCGAGGGGUCUAGGCCACCUGAAGUCGGACAACCCUUGGAUCAUUGGGAGAAGUUUUUCGUAUGACACGGAUAGGGGUGUGAUGGGCGGCCUAUCCAGACGACUCGGCCCGUCCUGCCUCCGGUCAACUGGUUUUGGCCGGUUCGGAGGUUUGGCAUGUCUGUCCGCGUCAUCUCUAGAAGUUUGUCCGGCAACCAAAACUUGCUGAGUGGCUGCACGUACGUCAUCUUCGAGCAUUGAAUAUUUGUUAGCACGUCUGAACAAAUCGUCCAUCGUUGUAGGAGGCUUUUUGGCCAGCGAUUCGAAAAAUGGAGUGCCUGGACAGAUGCUUCUCUUGAAGAUCUGUAGGACAGCAUCCAUGCUGCAAGCCUCUAUUUGAAGUACGGCUUGGCCAAAUCGUUUCACAAAUUCCCUCAAGGAUUCGUUGUCUCUCAUUUUUAUGUUCUGGAGGGUGCUGAUAUUCUGCUUGUGUCGAGCAGAGCACAAGUACUGUCCCACGAAAGCUUCAGAGAGGUCCCUGAAAUUGUCAACAGAGUUAGGAGGUAGGCGAUGAAACCAUGAGAGGGCCUGCCCUUGAAGGCUGGCGGGGAAUACUUUGCAUAGCAAUGCAUCGUUGCCAAUAUCGAGCGUCAUAAGCUGUCGAUAGUGCAUGAUGUGAUCGAAGGGAUCGUUGGUCCCAUCGUAUGUGGAAAACUUUGGUACGAAGAAUCCCCUUGGGGGCUCGUAAUAGGUGAUAUGAGAGCAAAAGGGCGUGGAGAGCAUGUCAUCCAGCCUUUUACUGAUGGAGCCAAUGGGUGGCUCGUUUGGGAGGUUUCUCCCAUCUGGUCGUUCCGCUAGGUGUGAGUGAACGUUCCGCAUCGCUGGGGUGACCAUGGGGUCACGAUGCGGAGGUACGUUCUGCACCAUGGGAGCGAUCAUAGGAUCGGGGCGUGGUGCCCGGGUUGUGGCUACUGGUGGCCUUGAUCUCCCAGGCUCUUGUGGGCCUAGUCUUGCGCUCAUAGAACUUGACAACUGUGAUUUUCUAUCACGUUGUCUUUUUACUGAAAAAUGAGUGGAAUCUGAGCUUUCCUCACGGGGAGCUCGAGGCAUAGGUGUACGUGGCUCAUGGGGCCUUGCGUUGUAUGCUCCUGGGACAGCUCCUGUUGACCCAGGAUAUAUUGAUUCUGGCUCUGGCCUUAAGUUUGCCACCUGGCCUCUUGAACGCUGACGACGACGAGGACCUGACGUUGAGGCUUGAAUGCGUAACACAUCGUUUUCUUCCCUUAACCUCUCCGUCUCCUAGAGGAGAGCUCUUAGUUGUUUUUCGCUCGCCAACUGUCUUUUUUCGAUGGCCUGACGCCAUUCGAGAUUAUCUUCCUCCCCUCUACCAGAUGAUCGACUUUGGGAAGGUGUGGCCAUCUUUGCUAGUGACUGAAUCAAAAUAAAAAGUAAAGUUUCCCACAGACGGCGCCAAUGUUGUCACCUCGCGUAUCCGGUGGUCCACGUUGCUGCUAGAUGGAUGGACACGCGAUUCUCAACACACAAAGGGUUCUUGAUUCAGCGGUCGUACCUGCAAAAGGCAUCCGGACAGGGUGUCCGGACGCACCCUCCGAUGGUUUUGUUAGCCAUGGUAAGAGAGGAAGAUAUAUGAGGCAGUUGGCUUUUUACUAGGUAUCAGGAGGUUACCCAGAGAGAGAGCCCCAGUUCUUCUUCGCGUGAAGACUUAUAUAUAUAGCUUUAAGGGUACUGUUCCUCUCAUUAAUGGUGAGGAGAUGUUUUAUGUUGUCAUGAUGACAUUAAGUAGCAGCAGAGACAUCAUCACCCUACGAGCGGCUGUCAGGAACCAUGGUAGGUGACGCGACUGUCAGAGAUCGUGAUAGGUGAUCAUGUAGAAUGAUCGUGGGAAGUGACUUGCUAUCACUUCAUCUUGUCUUCUCACUCUGCAGGUGACAAGAUGUGGGCCAUGGCUGCUUGUUGUGAUUGCGUGUAAGACUCACUUUACUUUAAUUGACCAUCCAGACGAUUUAUAUCCGGAUGGCUCAUGCUGAUUAUCCGGAUGUGUUGUGGAGACUAUCCGGAUGUCUACGCUCUGCCAGCGUCAUUUGCUCUUCCUUGGAUAGGAGAAGCUGAAACGUCGUUUGCCUUUCCUUGAGGCUGUCCGGAUAGGAUAACUGCACCAUGCAUAUCCUUAGGGGAAUCCGGAUGAUGAUGGUCCGGCUGAUAACACGUGCCACGCGUCAUCAUGAGUUGCGUGCCACGUGUUUCCCAAGGGGAGGGGUCCCUACACAGUUGUGACUCAGCAACCACCGCUGAUAGUGACUAAACCUUGCAUGGACUCGAGCCCACGUAGCAUUUAGGCAUAAAACACAAUAACACGUCCCGAUCAUGCGCCGCAAGGCUUCGUUUACUAAAGAAAAAAGGAUACUUUUUCUCCAUAUAUUGCCUAAUUGGGAUGCAAUUUUAUAAUAAGAAUGGAGGAGAAAAAGAGAACAAGCCCCAGACAAGUGACCCAACAAUGACUUCCCACUUCGGAAACACUGUUCCAUUGCCCAUGUUUUUUACGACACCAGAGUGAAAUGGUGGUGAGAGGUCAUGAUCAGUAAGUAUAAUAUUAUUUAUAAGUUGUUUAACACAUAGAAUGUUUUGUUGUAUAGCUAGUCAAAAUCCGCCUAUAAAGUAGCACAAAGCUAAAGUGCAGAGCACACAAAUUUCUUCUUCGAUUGGCAACCUUUUGAAAUGCGAUGCCAGUACUGCUAAUUCAUGCGUACCAAACUGUAUAUAAUAAUAAACUCCAUACUGGGGAAAUCAUUAAUGGAACUUGGAAUAUUAUUCUGGCCCUUGGGCUGUCCACAAGAUUAAAGAUGUGAGACAAGACUCACUAAGUUCUAAGGUUGUGCAGUGUCUUCACACUUGGGGGCAUUCAACUCGAAUGGAAUGUCAAAACCCAGUUCUUGUUUGGUACUAGUUUCAGCACAUGGAGUAGUGCCACUUGUGAGAUGCCAGCAUUCAACCAUUUGACCAUUGGGCCAGACCACCGUCCACAUACAACUGAGUUCCAAAAUGCAAGAAACGUGGCCCCCGCAUAUCACGUGUCUACCCGCCCCAUUGUGAAAUAACUUCUACAAAAACGGCCGGCUAGUUCAUUUACGUUACGUGGGCACGUGAUCUUACAAAUAAACGCCCCUCAUGCACGUUCCAUUCACUAACACAUUUUGGGUUGGCUGUUUCGGGCCAAAUGCCAAGUAAUUUCAAUGCUUGAAGUUGUAGUUCAGUUUUUGGUUGACAGAUACGUGUACCUUACUAUUGUAUACCCUAAAAAAUCCAUGAACAUUUUGAAUAAUGUUGAACAUGUAGUAGGCACAAAAAUAGACACAUUUCAAUAGAUUUGGGUUAGACAUACUCAUGUUUGUGUUAUAAUCAUGUUAAGUUAUAUAUAUAACAUGUUUAAUAACUAGGUCAUAUUUAGUCUAUAUGACUUCUCGACCCAUUAAAGCUAUUUAAUUUGUUCACUUCAUGAAUUUUCCAUUGCACCCAGCUAAUUUCUACAUGAAUUUUUAAAAUAAUGUAGUUUAGGUGGUUGAAAGAAUUAGACUUUGGGAAGGUUAAUUCUGGAUGGUUGGGAUGCACUUCGAGUCUCAUACAUACAUGGAUAUAACUUGGAUGAAUGUUCUUCAGUUGUAUAAGUCAAGCUUACCUAUAAAUAUUAUGUAUAUUUUUUAUAAUGAAUUAGGACGAUAUUAAGUUGGUUUACUAAACAUCCAUAUAAUGUUAAAUAUAAAUAUUGAAGGAUAUGAAAUCCACAUAUCAAUAUAUCAAACUUUUACCAAACCCACCUCAUGACAACCUUCUUAUGGUUCUCACACGGAUUUCUAUUGUUAUCAAACAAAAAGUCUAUAAUAAAAUAUUUUUUAUUAUAAUUCAUAGAUACUCUGACAAUUAAAUAAAAGGAUAAACUUAUUUGUGGAAUAUAAUUAAAAAGAAAAAAGAAAAAAAGAGACGGGUUAGAGUUUUAAAUUAUUAUUAUUUUAUAUACUUUAAAUAAAAUAGUAAUAAUAUAAUUAAAAACAAUGUCCUCUUUCAACUUUCAUACCUUCAACCUAUACGAGCUGUGAUAUUUUCAAGUUGGUAUUCUUUAACACAAGUCCAUUCCUAACUUAUUCAACUUUUACGACUUCAACGUAAACCUCGUGAUGGUACAAAUUAGACUAUUCUGCCCUACCUAAGUUAAAGUCCUAAAAAUUUCAUAAGAAUUAUGGACUCACCUUAUUAUGAAUCUAGACAUUAUUUAUUCUGAUUUAUCUAUUCUUUAAUAUAUAUAUAUAUAUAUAUAUAUAUUGGUUUUAAUAGGCAGAAAUGUCCUUAAUGACCUUGUACAUAGAGUACAUAUAUGAGUGAUAAUAAUACGUGUUUAAGAAUAUGUUUGACAAUAAUUUAAAAAAAUAUUUUUAAUAUUUUUAACAUUUAAAUUAUACAAAUUUUAAAGUGUUAAAAAGUUUGAAAACACUUACUAAAAUCAUUGUCAAUUAAUAUUAUUAUAAGCUAAUUAUUAUUAUUAUUAUUAUUAUUAUUAUUAUUAUUAUAUCAAACAUGUUAAAAUUUUAUUAUAUACCUUAUAAAAAUAAAAGUUAUGCUCUUAUAUUAGGUUGCAAUUUGAAGUUCAAGUUCAUUAAACUAUGCAGAGUUAAGCUUUAUGUUAAAAAUAAUAAAUAAAAAAUUAUAGAGAAUCAAUUCAAUCAAUUCAUUAUUUUCCAAGCAAGGAUUAAGAUAUUGAAGUAUUGAUGGUUAUAUUUUACAAAACAUUGAAACAAAAUAAUAAUACAUUAAUAAUAUAUAUAAUGAUAAUAAUUCAUAAAUCUUGAAAAUAAAUUUAAUAUUAAAAUAUCAUUCCAAGUAAUUCUGAAGUAUUCAAAGAUGUAAAUUAAAGAAAUAAUAAUAUAGGUAUAAUUAUUUUUUAUUUAAAAGUAUUAAUAAUUUCAUUUACAACUUUAUGUUGUCAAAAAUAGACGUAUCAAAAGAAUUAUCAUAAGAAAGCUUUAUAUUUUUAAUAAUAAAUUAAAUUAAGGUGGUGUUUAUUUUUUUAUAUUUAAAUCUGAAUGAAAAUUAAUUUAACUUAAUAGAAUUAAAUAUUAAAUUAUUUGUUUCUUAUCAUUUUAUUUUUGUUAAGUAUUAAAUAUUAAUAGGGUGAAAGCCUUGUUGAGCUUGUGCAAAAAAAUUAUUUUUAAUAUUCAAUAAAAAGUUAAAUAUUUUGGUUUUUGCUAUUCAUAAAAAAUUCUUAAGAAUUAAUUUUUUAUUUUUAUUCAAAAUAGUCGUGUUUGGUCAAACACUUUAAAAUGCAUUAGCAUAUUUGUACUCAAACGUUUUUAUGAAAAUAAUUUUACACUAAAUCUCCUAUUUGUAAGCAUGAUUAAAAUUAUUUGAUCCAUGAAACUGUUUUAAUGAUCCUUAUUGGGCUUCGAGUUCAUGCCCAUUUGUUGAUAAUUUUUCAAGUAUUCUUAGUCCGAGCGAGGAGUGAUGGCUAGGCUAGGGAAUUUUUUCUUUGUUAGGAUUUUGAUUUAAACUUUAUUAUGGACAUUGUUUAGAAGUUAAAAUUUUAUUCAUGUUUGAAUUAUUUGAUUUUGGAGUUAUUUGGAUAAUAACACUUUGGUUGAUGUGUUAAUUUUUUUUAUUUUUUUUUAAGUUGAGAAUUGGGGAUUAUAAAAUUUAUUUAUUUUACUACUCUGAAUAUGAAUUUGGUAAUUGAUAAUUUCUAAUUACAAGAUAAAUGUUUGUAUUGUUUCCACUUUAAGCCUUCGGGCUUAAGGUGUGAAAUGAUCGUCAUGCCCAUGGAGUAGGUUUUGGGGCAUGACAUAAUUAGUACAUUUUCAUUAUAUAGUUAGUAUAACACCCUUGUACAAUGAUGCAAAUUUCAUCCACAUGCAUACAUUAUGUGUCCAUAUAGGAUGUGUGAAUCAUAUUUCCAAUGAUUUUGUUUAGAAAAUGGUGUAAGACAUAAAAACAAAUUUUUUUCCCCAAACAUCAUUAUUGGGAUAAGUAUUUGAAUUAUCAUAUGUAAGUUAAAUAAAGUGCAUGAAAUGAAGGAAUUUGAAAUAGAAGAGUGUGAAGUUAUUGGAUGAUAGGAAAAAAAAAAUAGUUGUUCAAAAUUGACUAAAAUCCUCCACAAAUGGCAACCUUGUAUAGUUAGUGUUUUUACCUUAUACAAUUAGUGUAACACUUUUUUAUAAUGGUAUAAAUUUCAUACAUAUGUAUAAAUUAUGUCCACGCGAGUGUAUAAACUAUGUUUCUAAUGGUUUAACAUUUAAAAUGACUAAAACAAAUAAAAUAUUAUUUUAUUUUAUUUUCAAUGGAAAAUGUUAUUAAAAAUAAGACAAAGAAAUGAUUUAAAAACUAUUAUUUAACUUAAAUUUAUUUAUUUAAUUCGUUCCCAUUCCUUAUUUUCAUAUGCCAAACAUGUUCUUAUUCCAAUCUCAUUACAAUGACAUUAAUACAUAUUAUUCCCUUUCUAUUGCAGACAAUAUGGAAGAAGUUGGAAUUAACUUUCAUUUAUUUACUUAUACCGGCACAGAGUCGAUGAAUACGGAUGCAAUAUUAUCCUUCAUCACUUUCCCAACACGAGUGUAUUCAUCCUUUUCCUUCUAAUUGAUGUCUACCACUUGUGUAAGAUUGAGAACUCCGGUAAGGAUUGGGACCGACAUGGAAGUAGGUAUAAGAAACCCUUGGUUAAUAUCCUUCCAUGGAUUCGCAAUUUGCUUGUUAAACUCAUCAUCAUAAGCCUGUUGUUCUAAGACACUAUAUUACUUCACAUAGCAUUCAAUGGAUGAGGCAACAUGCCCUCUCUCUUCUUUAGAAUUCCUAGCAUACCUUUCCUAUCUUCCCAAGGCCGCACAUAUUUUUUUUUCUCACUUAAAUUUGGAGCACCUUCCUUUCUUCUCACAUAAGCAGUGCACUUUAUUUUUUUUUUUCUUCAAUUGGUGCAUUUUUAUUUAAUUCUCAAGGUGGCCUAUCUUUCUUCACUUAAUGACGUACUUUCUAAAACUUCAUUGCUUCCUAUCUUCUUUUCUUCUUGUUAAAGUGGUGCACCUUUGUUACUUGACACAUCUUUUUACCUUAGGGACUUGGUGCACCCUUGGCUUGUGGGACCAUGAUUAAAUAAAGACUUUUAAUUUUUAUUUGGGAUUUUUUUUCUUCGAUUUGAGAAGUACACAAAAAUUAAAAAGGAAAUUUAGGAUUAGAAUUAGGGUGUAGAUUUUUUUUUCUCCUAUUUAAGGUUUGCAUGAUUUAGAAGGAGCAUAAAGAUUUAAAAUUAGAUUUUCUUUUUGUCCAUUUAAGGUUUCAUUUGGGCACUGCAUAAAGAUUUUGAAAGAAAUGUUAGUAUUUAGAAUUUUUUCCAUUUAGGAUUUGAUUUGGAAAUUUAGGUUUUAAUUUGGGAAAUAGAUUAAGAAGAUUAAAAAAAGAAGAAGAUGAUAUUUUAAUUUUUAUUUAAUAUCUUAAUUUUAAUUAUCUAAAAUUAUUUAAUUAUUCUAAUUAAUGAUAUUUUGAGGUUAAUUGCGAUUAGUAUAUUAAUUAAAAUUAAUUAUAUAUAAAAAUCUUAAAUUAGGAUCAAUGGUAUUUUAGAAAUUUUUAUUAAAUUUAGUUGGUAAUAAUUUGUAGAUUAUUUUGUAGAAAGCUUAAUUAGAAUUAAUUAAAUCUUUAUAUUAAAAAAAAAACUUAAGAAUAAUUAGAUAAUGAGAUAAUAUAUACUAAGAUAAAUAAAAGAUACUUUAGGCAUUUUCUUCGAUUCUUUAACAAUGAUAUCAUUAAUCAACUAACAAUCAAUCCUUAAGGAUAGUCAAUGCUUGAUUGAUGGUCAAGUUAUGUAAUGGUUGAUCAAGGGAGUGUUGGUAUAAUUUCAGAAUCCUGAAGAAUUAAAAUGUAGUUAUCAGAUACCCUUCUUUAAUUGAGAUAAGUUGCUUCAAUGAGUGAUUGUCGAUUGAAAUUUUACUCCUAAAAUAUGUUUGUGGCUUUAGCUUGUCAAAGAAUAUGCUGGGAAUCAGUUAUGCUUGGGUUACGAGUUCCAUAAGCUUACGGCAUUAGAUUUUCAAGAUUGUCUUUCUUUGGAUGAGACCGUUAUAGAGAAGAGGGCCUUGCCAAUCCACUUUCAUUCAAACUGUUUGUCCUUAUUCUCAAUGAAUGAAGCAUUUUAUUUAAAGCAGAACACUCUAAAACUGUGAGAAACUAGCCGCCAAAGCAUUUAUUCCAAUCUUAUUACAAUGCCAUCAAUGCAUAUUAUUCCCUUAAUUUCCAUUGCUGACAUAUGGAAGAAGCUGGAAUUAACUUUCAUUUGCUCAUACUGGCACAGGGUCAAUGAGCAAGGAUGCAAUAUUAUCUUUCAUCACUUUCCCAACAUGAGUGUAUUCAUCAUUUUCCUUGUAAAUGAUGUCUACCACUCGUGUAAGAUUGAGAACUCCGGUAAGGAUUGGGACUGGCAUGGAAGUAGGUCUGAGGAACCCUUGGUUAAUAUCCUUCCAUGCAUUUGCAAUUUGCUUGUUAAACUCGUCAUAAGCCUGUUGCUUUGAGACACUAUAUUGCUUCACGUAGCAUUCAAUUGCUGAGGCAACAUGCCCCCUCUCUUGUUCAAACUGCAUACACAUAUAGUAACGCAAAAGAUGAGGAAAAAAACUACCAUACAAAUUGUCACAAAUGAACUUAUAUGUAAUAUAUUCUACAUGCAUACCUUAUGUGAAGUCAUGUCAUUCAUGAGUCUAGCAAUUAAACAUGAAGCUAUUGUAAAAAGGGUCAUUGUAAACCCAUUCGAAGGCCUCUUUUGUUAUGAUCUCGUCCAUGCCAAUGAAAAAGAUGACUGUGGUCAGGGGGAACGAUGAGCUUACUCUUGCAACUUGCAUGUAUUUGUCUAUGGUAGGUACAUUUCCUUCAUGGAACCAUUGUGCUUCAUCAAAGUAAGCGACAAUCUGAAUUUUCAUCUGACAAAACAUUCCUCCAUAUUACAUACUUCUACUUAUACUUUAAUUUUUAGUAUAAACUUGUGGGAAGGUAAAACUUAAUAUGAUACCUAAACAGAAAUUGAACCCAACACAUUUAAUUUUCUUGGGUUUGGGUUGAGUACAAGCAAGUUUAGGUUAAGUUCAUAUCAAUCUAGCUAUAUAACCCAUUUAAUAAAUAAAUUAUUUUUUUAUCAAUUUGAAUGAUACUAAUCUGAUUUAAAUUGACCUAAUUUAAUAAUUCUAGCUUAUUUAAUCAAUAUUCGAUUCCUAUAAAGCUUGAUUUUGGAUAUACUUUAAUUAAAAUUCAGUCACAAGCCUGUUAGGUUGGGAGAUUAAUAAUAUAAACCAUAUAAAAUCUAAUUCAAUUUUAUUAUUAAAUAACACGUAAUUAUUAAAUAGGUUAUACGUUACAUGUUUAAUAAUUAGGUGAUAUUUUUGAGAAUAUUUUUAACUCAAUUGUUAUCAGUAUUAUAUUUGAGUUGACCUAUUUAUUCGAUCUAUGAUAUGACACAAAAAUUUCAUAUAAACUAAAAGCCCUACAGAAAUUUCAUGAUAAAUCAAAUGAGAGUGAAGAGAGGGUUGUGAAUUGCACUUGGGAUUUCUGCUGAUGAGAGGGAUUUGAUAGAAAAACAGAGCGAAUCGCACCUUGGUAUUGUGCUGGCAGACAGACUCGUUGUAAGCGUGUUGGAGGUUGAAGAUGUAUUGGAGGAAAAAUCACUGGGAAAACAUGGAGAGAUGUUUUUAUAUAUUUAUUUAUUUUUGUUCUCUGAAUAGUAGGAAAAACAAGGGAAACAACUUUUUAUUGUUAUCCGAAAAUGGAGAUUUGAAGGAACCAAGAGAACACCCACUUCCCAAAUGUGUUUUUUGUAUUUUUUUGUUCUCAAAAACAAAAAACAGUUAUCAGAAACACCAACCAAGUAGGCCUUUAUUUUAUUUUAUAUAUGUUUUGAAUAGAUUAACAUUGGUGAAUAAAAUCAAUUGAAAAUAAGAGAUAAGAAAAAAUAAUCUUUUACAUAUUAAAAUUAAUAUAGAAAUUAGGGUGUAAUUAAAAGAAGUUAAUUUGAGAUUAGGUUAUGAUUAUAAAAAGUAGGAAAAAACACUAUUAAACUAAGAUUUUAUUAAUCUCAAUUGUGAUGAUUAUAAAAUAGGGUUUGGAAUUAAUUGUUUUAUUUUAAGUACAAGAUUUUGAGAGGGAUAAUCAAGAAGAUAUAUCAAGGUUGUAAGGAAUCCUAGAUUUCUCUGUUCUUAAAUCCUAAAUCAUAUAGGUGCAUGAAGAUCUACCCUAAGCUUCUCUAAAAACUAUUCUAACGGAAACAACAAUAAUAAAAACCAUUUAGAAUAAUAAACUAAAGAAGAUAGUAGUCAUACUUGGAUCUGGAUGUUCGAAGAUCAGUUUUCUAUCAUGAAGGGGAAGCCUAAAGAGUCUGAAUGUCAUGUCCACCUAAGAUCUUCCGCUGGAUGACUCAAACCACAAUUUUAGCACUCAAAAGUGUGGGCUUUGGAAGGGUGACUACCUUGACUCUCUCUAUCUCUUUAGAAGUGGAAGAUGAUUAUCAAAAGUCUUGGAAAUCCUAACCUUUAAAGGGGUAUUUUUAAGAUUCUCCUAUUGGGUUUAAGUGACUUCAGCUCAUCAAGGCUUAGAUCACUUAGUCUAAUAUAAAUUGAGUUUUAAUUGAUUAAUUAACUACAAAAGGUAAUCUAAUUAAUCAAUUAGUCAAUUCUAAAAACCUUGUUCACUAUCCCUUUUGCAAUCUUGCGUGAUUACCAAGACGCAUUUAAGCACAAUAGUGAACUUAGAGUCAAUCCAAUUCUCAUAAAAUCAUGUUAUCAUGGAAUAUGAGUUUAAAGCAGGGACUACUUGAACCCGGAGGAUUAUUGGCUUCCUUAGAAUCUAAUUUUAAAAUUGAUUUAACACUACGUUAAAGAGAAUCAAUUGCACUCCAAUACCUUAUGUAAAUAACAAUGAGACGAAACUCAGGUUCAUGACCUACUAUCUAUUACAUGUAGACUUCCCAUGAAUUGUUGUCCAUAAUCUGACAAGAUACUACUACCUAUCAAGAUUACAUCUCCAAUCAUUGAGUUACAAAUCUUACUUAGUAUGUGAUCAAUUAACAUAUUCUAGCUCCAAGAAGCAGAUGUUAAAUUCUCACAAAAGGAAAUGCUAUGACCAUAGUUUUCUAGAUCACAUGUUCUUUGGAUCACCUAAGGGGACACACUAUCUCAAUUCUAUAAGAUAUCAAGUAUCUCUAUUGAGAAUCCCUAUUGUCACUAGCCUCCAUCAACAAUGACUUAAUCAAUAGGAAUAUAUGACCACCAUAGGAUCUCACCCAUAGGUCAAAGCCUGUUGUUGACUUUAAAACAAACUCAAUAUUAUUUCAAAGUUGAGAGUCCAUACAGUAUAGUAACUUGGUAAAUCAUGAUAAUUGAUAAACUUACAUCAUAAUUCACUAUAGGUCUUGUCUCGCGUACAUAACAUAUACUAGUGCACUCACCAACUUCCUCACAAUGCAGAGCUUGUGAGAGCUCGAAAAAACUGAGAGCUCAAGAAUUCAAGAGUGUUCCAAAAAAUCCUCUCUCCUACUUUUGUAAUUUUCUCUUUAAAAAAUGUAGUCCUUUGUAUUCAUCACUUUGAGUCAUCCCUCUGCUGUCAACAAGCUUGUAUCAACAACUCUCUGUAAUCAAGGUAUAUUUUCAAUAAAAAAUAUUUUUCAGAUUCAAAUAUCUGUGUUUUUAUGAUUAAAUUUCUACAAUAAAUUAGAAAGAAUUAGAAAGUAAUUAUUUCUGUUUUUAUGCUUGGAGUUCUUUAGAAAAAAUUAAUUAUUGCGUGUAUGAAAUUUCUAGCCCAUUUAUCUAACUUUUUUUAUUUUAAUAUUUUUUUAUUUAAGAUAAAACUAUUAAUUUUUACUUUUAAAUUUUAAUUUAUUUAAUACUAUUUUAAACACAACUUUCUUUCUUUCUUUUUCUUUAAACAGGACUGAACAUCAUACUAAUUUGGUCAAAGAAAUUAAAUAAAGAGUCAAACGUUUACCAUGCAUCAGUAUCCCUCAUCCAAAUGCAUUGCUCAUUGUAGAAUCAGAUGCAUCUAAUUUAGGUUAUGGAGGCAUAUUAAAACAAGAAUAUAACAAUCAAGUGCAUAUAGUUAGAUAUCAUUUAGGGAUCUGGUUGGAUGCUCAAAUAAAUUAUUCAAUUGUCAAAAAAGAAGUUUUAUCUAUAGUUUUGUGUAUUUCAAAAUUUCAAAGUGAUUUGAUAAAUAAAAAAUUUGUUUUGAAAAUUGAUUGUAAAGUUGCAAAAGAUAUUUUAGAAAAAGAUGUUAAAAAUUUAGUUUCAAAACAAAUUUUUGCAAGAUGACAAGCUUUACUUUCAAAUUUUGAUUUUGAAAUUGAAUUUAUCAAAGGAGAGUUGAAUUCCCUUCAUGACUUCCUUACUCGGGAGUUUUUGCAGGGUAAGGAUUCUCCUCCAUCCUAAUAGGUGCUCCCUUUAGGCCUCAACUUCCUUCAUCAUCCAAGAAAACCAAAGCUUCUUAUGCAAUGAUUUCAAAAUUUUCAUAUAUUCAUCCUACUUUUCCAUUACAAACAUCAAAUUCCUUUCAAGUUCUAGGUCCAGAUUUUCCUCAUCUUCAACCUUCAAAAAGUUGUAUUCAAGCUUCUAAAUCAACCCCUAAAAUUUUUUCUAUUUAGAGUCAAUCCAGCCCUAACACUAUUUCAUUAUUACCUUUUCCUUUAUUUUUAUUUUUUUCAUAUAGUCAAUAUGUCAAAAAGCCCAAAACCUUAGAAAUUGCUUUUAUUGAGCCAGAGUUCAAUUAUGAGAAGAUUCCUAAAAUUCUUCCUUAUAUAUUUCCUCAAUGAGUCACCUUGAAUUCCAAUGAUCCUUUGAAAACUAGGCAAUUUUAUGAGUUCAUCCUGGUGGACACGGAUUUAGUUGAAAUUACUCAUAACACUGAUAAAAAUAAUCCUCAGAGGAUUGCUUUUUCCAAAUGUCAAAUUUUCAGAGUCAUGACCAUUGCUAAUUGGAAUCAAAAGCCCUUCACUUGCAAGGCGUUUAGUCAACAUUUCCAUCCCAUGAGCGACAAUUACAUAAAUUAUAUGGAUGCUUGGUACAAUAUGUUUUAUUUGCAAAGCUACCAACAUUCCUGAUUCAUCAAAUUCUCAAGAAAUUGUAAUACCAAAUUUCUUACUUGGUUUCAAAAAUGGUGGACUUUCUUUGGUCUACUAGACUCCAUAUUUCCUUCUGAAAUUCAAGAAAAAUUCAACUUCUACAAGAGCAAGACUUCAUCUCUAUCUAUCACUCAACCAAGACUCUUGAUGUUCUGUUUGAGAUUAAGAAUUCCAUGGAUUCUCUCAUGGAAUAUUAUCAAGAAGCAAGAACAACCUCAUCCUUUUCCAUUAUCUCUCUCUAGAGAAUUCAACAUCAAAUGGUGGGAAAAAUUCAAUCAUGAUUUUGUAUGUCAAUAGAAGACUUUGCAAAUAAUUUUAACAAGGUCAGGAUCAUCAAAUUCAAAAUAUUCAAUAUUGAAGAAGGUAUCAUGAAUGUCGGGCCCCCACCAAAGCCCUAAUUAAUUUCUCAUGAGUUGAUUCCAUAAAUUCCAUGACUUGGAAUUAUGGAGUUUGUUCAUGCUUGAGAAAAUUGAGAAAAAUCAAGAAAAUCGAUUGAAAAUCAAAUAAAAUAGUGAAAAUGCAUGCCGGAAGGAAAAUGACAGCAAGAGUAUGUUAGAAUAUGGAUUUUAUACCUAGAAAGGAUCUAAGAUGAAUUUUUCAAAGCUAGGAAUGUUUAGUUGAACAAUGGUUCAAAAAUUCAAUUUAAAACAAUAAGUUCCCAAUCAAAGAAGCAAAUAGAGGAGAAGGUGUGUAUAGCAAGGUUGCCAUGAAGUGAAGCCGAGAAAUUCUGGAUAGAAGGGACCAAUUCACUGCAAGAGUGUUCAACUGUCAAAUGCUUCAACUUAAAAGACAUCUUGAUUCGUAAGCUCAAUUGGAUUCCCCUCAACAAAAAGUCAAAUACUGGAUUGAAGGUUCAGAAUUUCCAAUUUUCUGCAUUGUUGUAUUUCCUGCAUUUUGAGUUAUUUCCCACCACCGAGACUUGGUUCAGCAGUAUUGUCGGAGUUUGCUUUUUGAUUGUGGGUGGAAAUGGAUCUGGCGAAUCGUGAGUAUCUGACGAGCCAAGCUAUCCGGGUGGAGUGUGAAUCGUUGGCCACAGAUGCUAUCCGGAUAAGCGUUAUCGAAGGAUCCGGACAUGUCUGCCCGGGAAAGUUGAAUCGUCCUCCUCUCUCAUUUGGCGGCGGGCGCUGGGUGUGAAAUAUCCGGAGAAUGUGGAACGUCGGCCGGAUAGAAUUGUGGCUGUGAGAUAUCUGAAGAAAAGUGGCGUCAGCCGGACAGAAUUGCGGCUGUGAGACAUCCGGAGAAAGUGGGAUGUCGGCCGGAUAGAAUUGCUGCUGUGAGACAUCCGGAUAAGGUAAACGUUGGCCGGAUAGAAUUGCUACCCGGAUGGAAUUAGCGAUGAUCCCGUUCGGGUGGAAUGAGCGAUGAUUCCGUCCGGGUGGAAUGAGCUGUGAUUCCCAUCCGGGUGGAAUGAGGGUGGAAUGAGCUGGGAUUCCCGUUCGGGUGGAAUGAGCUGUGAUUCCCAUCCGGGUGGAAUGAGGGUGGAAUGAACUGUGAUUCCCGUUCGGGUGGAAUGAGGGUGGAAUGAGCUGUGAUUCCCAUCCGGGUGGAAUGAGCUAUGCCACACGUCGAAAGGGGGGCGGUCUGCGCGGCCAAGAGAGAGGGAGCCACGUGGCAAUUUUUGGGGAGGAUCCCACAUGUUUAACCCCAAGAAAACCCGUUUUACACAGCCUUAUCAGGUUCCCACCUUUCUCAGAAUGCUCAUGGUCUCCAUAUCUGAGAAUACCAAGGUAAAGAAAGGGAAGAAACGUAGAUACAGAAACACAUAAAAAGACCAAGAAAGAAAAGAAAAGAAAACAGGGGAAAAGAAGAUAGUCGGUGGGUAUUUUGAAGCCAGAUUGGGAUAUAAAUGGGGGCAAGACCCAUAACAUCAAAUUCAAAGGUAAACCUAUAUUCAGAUUGCUUUCACAUGGAACCAAAGACAUUAAAAGGAAUAUUAAAAUAGCAUAAACAUGCAAGCAAACCAGUCUCAACUAAUCAAAUUGUGGCCCUUGCAUCCACACCAAACGACAAGAAUGAAUCUUCAGAAAACUAAGAAGUCAAGAAAGAUUGAAACUAAAUGGUGAUAUAGCAAAAAUCUGGAAACAUACUUGCACGUUCUUCCCUCCAAUUGCUUGGUUCCAGGCUGCUGCACCUUUUCCCGACGGAGAAAUCUGCUCCCCAAUCCUUUUUCUGUCCACCAAUCUUCUCCCUCUCUAUACGUGUUCCAAGUCCCUAUUUUCUAUGCCUCUCUUCCAGACGAUCCUCUCAUGCGUGCUUUUUCUCAUUCUUUUUCUUUUCUCACAUAUAUAUAUAUAUAUAUAUUAGCCUCUCAAACUCAAUUUGAUCAAGAGAAACCACUUUCCUUUCUUCUAUUUCCCUUCCUUUUUUCAAAAAUCAGAAUGUUCCUCUCUUCUCAUGCAGGAUCUUCUCUUUCCAUAUGUAUGCAGCCACAUUAAUUCCUUUUUCCUCACAAAAUAUUUCUCUUACCUUUUUGAGUGCACAUACCUUAGUGAGAGUUGAAUAGCAGCCCCUAUUCUCUUAUCAAACAAUAAAAAAAAUGAAAAUAGAGAGAAUAAAAAAUAAAAAGAGUUAGCAAUCUUGCAACCUAUCAAAGAUUAAAAUAAAAUAAAAAUAAAUAAAGUAAAACAAAAUAAUUGAAUAAAAUAGUCAAUCCUAUGCGGGCCAUGCAAGUUGAUUACUACUCAAAAAGUGCUAUUUCAUAGCUUGUAAUUAACUCUUUUAAACACUUUUGAGUAGUAGUUAUUGCCUUUUAACCCAAUUAACAUGUUAAGGACCCUUGCAAUCAAUUCUAAUCAAAUUGUGUAAGUUUUGGUGUUUUUGUUAGUAAUUUGAUCACCAAAACAAUCCAAGAUUGAGGAGAGUUAUUUAGAAACCAUGGCAAAGCUAUGAAGAGCUCAAAUUCAUGAAGAACCAAGCUUUGGAGCUCCAUAGCCCUUUGCCAAAGUCGUUCAAAGUAUGCAAGGAAAGAGCACUGGAGAGAGGAAAAACAGAGUGAAGAAAACAGAGGAAAGCCAGCUGCAGUCUUAUUUUGCAAUUUUGGAGCACUUUCUGAAGUCCAUUUUCUACAUUCUAUAUACCAUUUCAAAGCUCAGGAAGUCAAGAAUCCAAUGCUUCAAACGGUGCGCGAUUCGGAGUUGAAACGAAGAAGUUACAGCCACUGCAAGUCAAUCACUCUAAAGUGUUGCGGAAUCAGCCUUUUGUUGCGAGAAUUUCGCAGCCUUUUUGUACAGUGUUGUGGAUUUCCUCCUGAAGUUGCCCGAUAUAUGCCGCAAGCUGGAAGCUGAGAACUUCAAGGUGGAAGCCAACUUCGCAGCCCUGUGAGAAUAGCUUUUUGUUGCGAAGUAAUUUGGCAGCCCUUCAUAAGUGUCUGCGAAAUCUCGCAGACACCAUUUUCUCCUGCGAAAUGGUCCUUAGUGCUUCCCGAUAUUUGCCACCGACUCUUUUGGAUAUUUUUCUUCAGAUAUUUUUGUCUAAAUUUCCAUUUUCUCCUUGUAUUCAGCCACUCAUGUAAUUCCUUAGCUAGGAAGUAUCCAAGGAAGGGUAAAUUACCUUCCUAUAUAAACUCUCUUGUAAACACUCUCAGGAGACGCUCGGGGAAGUAUGUAAAAUAUAGAUAUAUCAUAUAUAGAAUCAAGGAACAGAGCACUUGCUCUGUUUUUCAUAUAUAUUCUUGUCUUCUCUUUCAUUUUCAUUUUCUAGCCAACCAAUCUCUGAGGAUUUUUCCUUAGAAGAUGAGAGGCUAGGCUCUUUGUCUCUUGGAGUGAGGAAAGCCGGGUAAGUUUCCACAUGCAUAAAUUGGAAGUUUUGUUGUUUUAGUUUUUAAUGAAGAGAAAGUGUAACCCGUUAGUGAUUUCUAUGUUUUUAGUUAACUUAAAAUGCCUUUAAAUCACCUGGGCCAACACUUGGUAAGGCAAGUGAUCUCCGUCCAUGGAGAUGCACUAGUUUACCCCUUGCGAGCCUUUGGGAGGUGACUUGAAGGUAGGAUUUUCUAGAAUAGCCAACACUUGGUAAGCUUUUGGACUCCAAGGAGACAUCCAUUAGUUAUCUUUUGUGAGCUUUUGAUGGGUAAUCCAAGGUUAAAGAUCACCUUGAAUGGCAAGUGCUAGGUGAGAGGUAUGAGUCAUUGCAAGGUGCAUCAGUGAGAGGGAUUUAGUGUUUGAACCCAUUAAUGGGAAGCAUCUGUACAACACCGGUUGGAGAAGGAACUAUAUGUUAAUUCUCUAAUGCGAGGAAAAGAAACAAGUGACCGGAACUCCCAUUUUGUAUGAGGAACGAGCCUAGUGAUCUGAACUCCAAGAAACACUUUUCUUUGUAAGUAAAAUCAGUUACUAUUUUUGGUUAGUUUAAAUCUAAACCUUUUUCAUUCAAACAUCUUUAUGUUUUCUUUUAAAGCUAACCUUGAAAUGAAAAGACACCAAUUCAGCUUUGAAUUAAUAUCAUUUGCAAAGUGAAAACCCAUCCCAGUGAACGAUCCUAGAGCCACUAUGCUAUAGUAGCUUUGUCUUUGCUACCCUAGUAUAUGGUGUAAUAGGUUAUAAAUUUUGUUGAUUACUCCCUCAAUCAAAGAGCACCAGCUGGACACGAAUCAGCUCAGACACCAAUUGAGCACGAAUCAAAUGGCGCCGUUGCCGGGGAUCGAACCCCGAAUCAAAUGGUGUCAUUGCCACUGCCGCUGCUAGGGACGAAUCACAAGUCAUACAAAAAGUGAGUCUAAAAGUGCUUACUGGGCCAAGUGUGUCUAAAUGGGCCUAGAGCGGUGCCUAAUGGGCUAAGUGUACCUAAAAGCUAUCCUAAAAAUGAACGAAAAAGGCUAAGUAUAAAUUAGGGCUACCAAGAGUCACAAUAAGUGGUCAGAUAAUCCCUCAACCAAAAUCUCCGAGGUGUCUCAGAAAAAGGUAAGUUGUACGAGUAGUAAUAGGCCACCAAGGAACUACUGUGGAGCGCUGAAAAUGAACUUAAAGACAUGUGCUAAAGGGACAAAAUUGAGGGUCUACAUCGAUAUUUUGAAAGAAUUGGUGAUUUUUUUUUUACAAUCUUCCUCCAUUGCUUCGCGCAUCUCUCCACAACGAUAUAUGGAAGAAGUUGGAAUUAGCUUUCGUUUUCUCAUACAAGCACAAGGUCAAUGAGUAAGGAUGCAAUAUUAUCUUUCAUCACUUUCCCAACAUGAGUGUAUUCAUCAUUUUCCUUAUAAAUGAUGUCUACCACUCGUGUAAGAUUGAGAACUCUGAUAAGGAUCAGGAUCGGCAUGGAAGUAGGUACGAGGAACCCUUGGUUAAUUUCAUUCCAUGCAUUCACAAUUUGCUUGUUAAACUCAUCAUAAGCCUGUUGCUUUGAGACACUAUAUUGCUUGACAUAGCAUUCAAUGGUUGAGGCAACAUGCCCUCUCUCUUGUUCAAACUGCACACAUAUAUAUAGUAAUGCAAAAGAUGAAGAAAAAACUACCAUACGAAUUAUCACGAAUGAACUUAUAUGUAAUAUAUUCUACACAUAUACCUUAUGUGUAGUCAUAUCGUUCAUGAGCCUGGCAAUUAAACAUGAUGCUGCCGUAAAAGGGUCUUUGUAAACCCAAUCAAAGGCCUCUUUUGUUAUCAUUUCUCCUAUUUCAAUGAAAGAGAGGGUUGUGGCUAAGGGAAGAGCUGAGCUUACUCGUGCAACUUGUAUGUAAUUCCUCUAUGGAACCAUUGUACUUUGUCAAAGAGCCAACCUGAAUUUUCAACCGACAAACAUUUGUCAAUGUUACAUACUUGUAGAUAUGCUUUAAUUUUUAAUUUUAUGUGAUUCGCCUAUGUAACUCGAGCCCAACACAUUUUGUCAAGAGAUUGGGUUGAGUAUAAGCCUGUUUGAGUUAAAUUUGUAUUGACCAAUGUAAUAUAUUGAAUAAAUAUGUUGUUUUUUUUUAUCAAUUUGCAUGAAUUUGACCUUAAUUGAAGUUUUUAAUAAUUAUGUUGAUUUGUCUUAUUAUCACUUUAAUCUAUUUAACCUAUAUUUGACUUAUUUCAAUUUUGAUUUUGAUAAAUAAGUUAAAUUGAGUUAAGCAUAUUAGGUUGAGAGAUUAACACUUGAUUAUUAGAUGAGUUAAACAAGUCAUAUGAUGUAUUGCAUGUUUAAUACUUAGGUUAUGCUUGGGCUUAUGUUUGAGUUGACCUAUUUAGUCGAAUGUCUGACCCACUACAGAACACCAUCAAAUAAAAAAGGCUCUUACCACUUCUUUUACAUAGUAGAAGCAAUAUGUUUUUCCUUCUUUAUCCAUCUCUUCCCCAAUUUCUUUGUAGACAUCUGAGAGUGCCUGAUAGGUCACUUCCAUGUAUUCUGGCAGUUGAUUGAUGCUUUUGAUAUCCCACCUGAAAAUAAAAGAACAUCCACCUGAGAAUUUUGAUAUCUCCUCGUUCAUUCCUUCCAUGAGCUCUUUGACUAAGGAAGGCUUGAUUACGGUGUGGUUCAAUUUUCUCUUCUUCCUUUGCAGUAGCAAUCAUUUGUUCAUGGUUUUGUAAGGAUGAUAUAAAUUGGUUUAAAGUUGGGUAUGGAAGCUUGGAAAGCAUAGUAGUUUUUCAAAUUAUAAUAUCUAGGUGUAAGGGCUUUAGUUAGUUGGAAGAGUUUAUCAAUUUCAAGAACAAACUAAUUUAUAACAAAUGUUAUCACAAAUAAACUUGAACUUGUGAAUGUAUUCGUCAUGUUUUAACAACAAACCUUUUCUUAAUUGAUAGUGACUAUCCUUUAGAGAACCCCUUCUUUCUCUUUUGUUUCAGGCCGAAGCUGUUCUUCAACUGAGUGCCUGUCCCAUCGUGUAGUGUGUCCUUUGACUGUCAUGCCGAGUACCUCCUUAAUCAUCUUUUGUAUGAGCCAAGACAUCAACAAGCCAUCAUUUUUUAUCCAACUUGUAUAUUUGGGACUGAUAGUUUACCUACCAUCUUCUUCUUCGAUUUGUUGAUUUGGCUUCUCUGCAUCUCCUACGUGGUGUUCUAUACCUAGACUCGUUAUUAGAGAUAGAAUCUGUGAUUUCCAAAGGAUGUAAUUAAAGUUUGACACCUUGAUACAAACAAGGCUUGGAUAUUGAUGGAAAGCUUGGAUUGAUAUUUUUGGCUUCAUAUCUUUCUGCUUUGAUACCAUGAAAAAAUUUGUAGAAAAAUGUAAUUGAAGAAUGAUUCACGAAUAAUAGAAAAACUCGAAAGGAUUCCUUGGUUGAUUUAUUUCAGUUAUGGUAAUAUAUACAAGUAUAUCAAAUAGCCCUUGGAGUUGGUCAACAUCAAUUGGUUGUCUAAGGAAGGCUGCUUAAGAAGGAAUUCUACAUAUUACAUUGAUCGAACAACUAGGGAAGAUUGGUCAAUAAAAAAGAAAAGAAUUCUAGCAAUGCUGACAAUGAUCUUGCUGGCGGUGAUUAAAAGAAACGAAAUUCAAGCAAUUCAACAGUGGUUUUCCAUGAAGUAAUCAGAGGGAAUAAUUUUGGCUUGUUGAAAAUAAUCAACGGAAGCAAUUUUGUCAAUAAUUUUGGCAGUGAUGGCAAUAUUCAACUUUCUACUUGUCAUAAACUUUCAAUGCCACUACAAAACACCAUCAAUGCACUUGAGAAUAGAACACUGCAAAAGCCAAUACAAUCCUAAACUUGUUCAGCAUUAUUAAGGGGUGUUUUGUAUUAAUACAUCCCAUUUGUAAUUACCUUACAACAAACUAAAAAAUCUUACAAUUUUAGAAAUAAUAUUUGCAUCGAUCGGUACCACAAUCUGACCUCAACUUUAUUCCAUUGCACCCAACUAAUUUCUACAUGAAUUUGUUAUGACAAGUAUAUGAUUGAUAAGAAUAGGUGUUUAAGAGAAUGUUUGACAGUGAUUUUAGAAAACAUUUUUAACCUUUCUAACACUUAAACUAUACAAAUUUUAAAGUGUUAAAAAGUUUAAAAACACUUUUUAAAAUCAUUAUCAAACGGAUUUUAAUAUUAUUAUAAGCUAAUUAUUAUUAUUAUUAUUAUUAUUAUUAUUAUUAUUAUUAUUAUAUCAAACAUGUUAAAAUUUUAUUAUAUACCUUAUAAAAAUAAAAGUUAUGAUCUUAUAUAAGGUUGCAAUUUGAAGUUCAAGUUCAUUAUACUAUGCAGACUUAAGUUUUAAGUUAAAAAUAAAAAAUUGUAGAGAAUCAAUUCAAUCAAUUCAUUAUUUUCCAAGCAAGGAUUAAGAUAUUGAAGUAUUGAGAUGGUUAUAUUUUAGAAACAAAAUAAUAAUGCAUUAAUAAUAUAUAUCUAUAUAUAUAUAUAUAAUGAUAUUUGAUAAUAAUUCAUAAAUCUUGAAAGUACAUUUAAUAUUAAAAUAUCAUUCCAAGUAAUUCGGAAGUAUUCAAAGAUGUAAAUUAAAGAAAUAAUAAUAUAGGUAGAAUUAUUUUUUAUUUAAAAGUAUUAAUAAUUUCAUUUACAACUUUAUGUUGUCUAUCAAAAGAAUUAUAAUAAGAAAGCUUUAUAUUUUUAAUAAUAAAUUAAAUUAAGGUGGUGUUUAUUUUUUUAUUUAAAUCUAAAUGAAAAUUAAUUUAACUUAAUAGAAUUAAAUAUUAAAUUAUUUGUUUUUUGUCAUUUUAUUUUUGUUAAGUAUUAAAUAUUAAUAGGGUGAAAGCCUUGUUGAGGUUGUGCAAAAAAAUUAUUUUUAAUAUUAAAAAAAAGUUAAAUAUUUUGGUUUUUGCUAUUCAUAAAUAAUUUUUUAUUUGUAUUCAAAAUAGUUGAUGGAGUUUGAGUUGGAUUCUAAUGAUUACUUGAAAUAAUAAAAUUAAUUUUUAUUAAAAAAAAUAAGAUAUAUAGAUAAUUAUUUUAAUUUAAAUGAAAAAUAUUUUAAAAAAAAGGAAAACAAAAUAAGAAAAAAAGAAGAGAAAAACCUUAUAUAACUCCUUAUUUGAAAAAAAAAGAAGAAAAAAGACAAGUUCAUAAACCAAGAUUGAGUUAAAAGUCAAAUUACCUAUUGAGAAAAUACGGCGAUAAGUCAUACAAAACAACUUUCUAAGCUUAUGUACCUAUAGUCUUUACUAAGCAAAUGAAAUGAAUUAUGACGAUUAAAUAAUUGAUUAUGGAUACUCAAGAAAAGAAAAACACAAUUAUAAAACAAGUCAUGGUGUUUGUUAUGUUACAAAAAUGUAAAAAACAAAUGAUAAGAGAAUUUGCAUAAGUUGAUUUAUGAAACUAAUUAAAAACAUGGGUUUAAUUAUUUCUAAAUUCAAAGGAUUAAAAAAGUUAUUCCAAUUUGAUGAUUUCAAUCGAUUUUAAGUACAAAAGAAAGUUUUGAUUUCAUUUUUUUUUAAGAAAAAAAUGCUUCAAAUUAUUCUAUUUAUAAAGAAAUGGUUUUUAUUUACUUUUUCUUUAAAAAAAUAUAAUUUACACAAAUUCUAUUUACCUUAACAUUCCUUUUUUAUUUUUAUGCAGAAGAGAAUACUUUUAUAAUUUUUGCUACAACAUGAUUUUUAUAAUUUUAUUUUAAAAGAAAGUGUCCAAAUCUAAUCUUAUGUGCAAGAGAAUCUUUUUACAAAUUAUUUAAGAAAAGGAUUUUUAAAAAUUUAUUUACAAUUUUAUUUAAAAAAUAUUUACAAAUUACUUUAAAAAAGAUUUGUACAAAUUUAUUACAAAAAAGAAAUAUAUUCAGAUCCAAUUUUAUUUACAGAAAAAAAAUGAUUUUUUUUUUUUAGUUUUUAUUCAAAAUAAGACUUUUACAAUUUUAUUUAAUUAGUAUGAAAGUCCAAUGUCAUUUUAUUAAUACUAGAAAAAAUUUAUUAUUAUUUUUUAUUAAGACAUGAUUUUUAAAAUGUCAUUUAUAAAAUAAAAUAAAAAGUUUACAAUUUUAUUUACAGAAAAAAAGUUUACAAUUUUAUUUUAAAAAAUAUUUUGCAAUUUUUUUUUAUAAAAAUAAAAAAUGGUUUCAAUGUUUUAUUUAAAACAAAUUGCUUUUUAGAUUUUAUUUUAAAAAAUGCUUUUCACAAGUUAAAAAAAAUUAUAGUUUUAUUUUUUUACAAAAAAUAAUGAAUUUCCAAUUGUAUUUAAAAUUUAUUUAAAAAUGGAUUUUAUAGUUUUAUUUAGAAAAACACUUUAUAAAAAAAAAAGAAGUUCAAAUCUCUCUCUCUCUCUCUCUCUCUCUCUCUCUCUCUCUCUCUCUCUCUCUCUCUCUCCAUACGCUCAUUAAUUUUGAUGUUAAGGUAUCAGCCCAAUUGACAUGAUUUAUAUUGACCUAGUCUUUUGGUCUAAUAGGUAACUUGAUGUAAUAUAGGAGGUCAUGAAGGUGAACUGUGAACCUUACUGAUAUUACGCAAACCCUACCAUUUAUUUAUAAUAUUGUCGUCAUAAUAUUGAAAUAUGGGAAAUUUUAAUAGACCAGACAGACAUCAAUAGACCAAAGCCACCAAGCAGGAAUUGAAGAAACCAGAAAGCGUUUGUUCCAAACAUAGUAUACUGUAGAACAUGAAACAGAAGCUAGAGUAUACUAUCUUUAUUUGUGUCACAUAUAUCUCCACUCUCAUAUUGGCACAGGGUCUAUGAGCAGCAUUGAAAUAUUAUUUUUCGUCACUUCUCCAGGAUGUGUGAAUAUAUCUUUGUGGCUCUUGUACAUCACAUCUCCUGAUCGAGCAAAAUUGAGAAGACGACUAAGGAGAAGCAUUGGAACUGCAGUAGGUCUGAGGCACUCUUCAUUUAUAUCCUUCCAUGCAUUCUCGAUUUGCUUGUGAAACUCAUCAUAUGCUUGCUGCUCCGACACACCAUGUUGCUUCAUGUAAUAUUCGAUGUUUGAUGCAAUAUGCUCUCUCUCUUGCUCAAACUGCAGAAAUAGUAAUAUAAGGUGUUAAAAAGAAAUUGAUAUAUAAUAGAUUUUCUUUAUCUUUAUGGGAUUGAUAUCCAAGUAUCAGUAGGAAGUGUUGUUUCAUUGUACCUUGUGGGAAGCCAUGUCAUCCAUGAGCCUAAUGAUUAUGUAGGUAGCUCUAACAAUCUUAGGGUUUUGUAGCAGCCAAUCAAAGACUUCCUUGGUUGCAGUCUCUCUCAUGCCAAUAAAAGACAGGAUUGUUAACACGGGGCCAGCAAUAGUUACCAUUGCGAUACCAUUUGGCUUGGACCAAUUUAGCUUAGACCAAGCUUUUAAUUUAGGAUAAAAAUUCAGCCAAGUAAAUAUAUCAUGCAAGUGUUAUAUAUAGCAUUUUAUUUACAGUACAAUAUAGGAUAUCAUAAACACAAUAGAGUUCAGCGAAUCCUACUGCAUCUUUUGUAUGGUGGACACAGUAUGAUCUUUCUGUGUUUUCCAUCUCCUCAAUUUCUUUGUAGACAUCUAGGACUGCCUGAUAGCAUGGCUUCAUGUAUUCAGGAAGCUGAUGUAUGCUGUUAAUAUCCCACCUGAAAAUCAAGUACCAAGUUUCCUUUUAAAGUACAAAUAUGAAAUCAAUUCAUUGGUUGUGGGUAAUUUGAAUCUAGCAUAUAUCAAACCUCCCGAUUGCCUCUGUAAAGAGCUCCAGUUCUUCAAAUGUUCCAUAUGCAUCAAUUAUAUCACCCAUAGUUGUUACCAGAGCAACUACUUUGGUCUAUAUUCUUCUAGCAUAUGAAUUCUGGGGCUUAGAACAUGUUGAUGUCCAAAAGUAUGUUUCCACCACUCUUAUCUCUGGAAAAAGGUAGCUUUGAAGAGAAAUCUAGGUCUUUCCACCACCUGAGAAAAUACAUUAAUCCACAUAAAAGGCCUGGUAAACUGUUAAUUUAAAUUUAAGUGCAAGAAUGAUCUGAGAACUAACCUCGAGAUAUUGCUCAGCUCUCUCUUAUGCAGUGACUGCAGUAGGUUGAAGUGUAACUUUGCAAGCUUCAGUCAAGCUUUACUAUGUGAAGCUUCAUCCUGGUAGAUAGACAUGAAAGGCCUUGCCUCUAGUCUCUCCAAACCUUUCCUAAUGGGCCGGUAUAGGGCAUGAGUUACUUGUGCUGCAAGAGAGUAUUCUAAAUGUUCUACCAUAGACUUGAGGUAAGUGGUGGUGAAAGCAAGUGCUUCAUCUAGUAUAUCUUCUUCCCACACCCUGAGAUGUGCAGCUUCAUACAAGCCUAGUAGGCCAUAUGCAUCAUUGAUCAAAGACUCCUUGAACCUUCCCUUUUCAUCUGUGUACCUGUUGAAUAUAUCUGUAAUCAUCACCAAAACAUAGAAUUUUAUAUGUGAGCUUUGCUAGAUGAUAUUCAAGCACCUUAUAAUACAUGAUAUUCAUGAGGCUUACCACAUGAAACAUUGAAGCCUUGUUGUCUUAGUAGUCGAAAUCGAAGUGCAACAUCAUAGAGAUCAUCAUUUAUGUCAUCAAUGCAAUGAUAGUUAUCAUAGGUAUUUUGUAAUGCUUCUUCUAUCUCCUUUUCAAAGUGGUAUGCCACCCCAAGCCGUUGAACUGCAUCAUAGAGAUCAUCAUUUAUGUCAGCUGUUUUGAAGGGUUACUAGCUGCAGCCAUCAGCUCUCUUCUAACUUCCCCUUUUAGAUCUUCCAACUGCUGCUCUUUAUGGGCCAGAGUUAUCUGUAUCAAUAAAUUGCAAGAACAAAAAGUGAGAAAAUCUUUAGGUCUUGUUAUGCAAACUACAUACAUGAUCAGAAAAUCACCUCAUCCUCAGGAGUGUGGCUCACGAUGAAGGUAUUGCCCCAAAUGCUAGGCUGAUAAUUUGCAGUUCGGCGAUUAGUCUCUGGAUUAGCAACUGGGGCUGGAGAAGACCCGUUGCUGGUAGCGAGAAUUAAGGCCAUGUGUAACUCACUCGAGCACUCAAUAUAUGAAUCAGAUGGCUUGCAAUCUUCGGUAUUUAUAGGACGGGAAAUGGUUCAUUACAAUUAUUGAAUAUCAAUCCCAGAUUCCCAGAAGCAUGGAUACUAUUAAUUCAAGGUCACCUAUCAUAUUUAAACCAAGAUUCUUAAAAAUUAAAUAUUUAAAAUAUGGUUUUUGUUCUCUUAGAAAUACGAAGUGUAUCUUAUUCCCUUAAUAAUUCUCAAUAUUCAACCAGCCGCCAAACAGUGAUUAAGACUUUCUCACGCGAAGAUCAAACUUAUGAUUGAUCUUUUAUUGUCCAAUAAUAUCCUAAUAAUAAAAUAAUUUUGAUAUGACUAGGAAACUAAGUUCUUUUAUAUAAAAACCAAAAAUUAUUUUGGUACGAAGCCAUGAGAAACUAGCAGCCAAAUUAAAGCAAUUAGGCCAUGUUUGGUAUGAAGCCAAAGCAAUUAGGCCAUGUUUGGCACGAAGCCAAAACAUGACUAUAUUUGGUACGCAAAAAUGAAGAGUGAGAAUAGAUAUUUUAUCCAUUUUCUUAUUCAUUUUCAUAUUUGAAUGAUUUAAGUGUAGUAAGAAUAAAAUCAAGAAUAAUUUCAUAAAAAAUAAAAUCCCAAUUAUAAGUGGGAUUAUGAUUUAAAAGUUAAAAAUCAAAAACUUAUUUUGGAUAAGUUGUUUUAAAAAUAAUUUUUUAUUUUGAUUUUGUAAAAAAGAAAUUAUAAAUUCAAUUUAUAUAAUAUAAAAUAAAUUUAAUUCAAGUCUUAUAAAAAAAUAAAAAUAAUUUUGUUAAUUAUAAAUAAAUUUUAAAAAUAAAUAAUUUUUAAUAAAACAUGAAUAGGAUUUUAGGGAAAAAAAAAGUUAUCAAUUUCACUUUCAUAUUCAUGCAAUUCCAAAGUUUCGACAUUGAACUAGAAAUUUCUCUAUUCUUACAUGUAAAAAGGCAAAAAAGAAAAACCCUUAAUUAGUAAAAUGAUAAGUUAGUUGAAUUAUUUAAUUAUCCUAUAAAUGCAUCUAAUUUUUUACACAAUUAGUGGACCUAAGUAAAUUGUGUCAUACUUAAACGAACUUGAACUUCCAAUUUCAACCUAAUAAAAGAUCAUAACUUAUAAUUUUAUGAAGUAUAUAAUAAACAAGAAAGAAAAGAUGAAAAGGAAAAAACUAAAAUUAAUAGCUAAUAAUAAUAAUUAAAUAGUAAUAAUAAUAAUAAUUUUCAUAAUAAUGAAUUAAAUAAUAAUAACGCUAGCAACAACAAUAACAUUAAUAAUUCUCUAUAGAGUUAAAUAUUUAAUUAACUUUAAACACACUAGUUAGUGUCCAUUAUAAAGUGAAAAGAAAAUAUUUGGUGAGUAUUGUAGUACUCCAAAACACCAUUACACAUUAACAAGGAGAUCCAGAUUUGUUGUAGGCAUAUAUUCUACAUAUGUAUUUUAAGACUCAGUAUCAAUACUCCUCAUAUUGAAUGACAAUAAUAAAUAUGUAUUAAAGAAUAUAAUAUAAUAAAGUUUAUUAUAUAUAUAUAUAUAUAUAGAUAUAUAUUAGGUGAUUUAAGUAAUACAUAUUCUUAUUUAAAUAUUCAGGUAAUAUUCCAAAGUAAAACACUAUGAACCCAGAGAAACUAGGUGCUUCAUAUAAUGUGUCCCCUUGCCGUAUUACAAUGAUUUAUUUCAUAUUUCUACUCCUUCACCUUAUUAUAGUGAUUUAUUAGAUAUUACUGCUUCCACAAGGCAAUACACGGGAUGGUAAUCAACUACUACAUUUGGUUAUAUUACAGCGUUGAUGAAGACAGACGCAAUGUUAUCCCUCAUCACUUUCCCAACAUGUGUGUACGAAUCUUGCUCUUUGUAAAUGACAUCCAUGGUUCGUGUAAGAUUGAGAAGACGAGCAAGGAGAGGCAUUGAAACAGCAGUAGGUUUGAGGCAUUCCUGGUUAAUAUCCAGCCAUGCAUUCUCAAUUUGCUUUCGAAAUUCACUGUAUACUUGUUCCUCAGAGACACCAUAUUGCUUCAUGUAACAUUCAACAGCUGAGGCCACAUGCCCUCUCUUUUGCUCAAACUGCAUGUAUAAUACAAAAGUUGAGAAAAAACCAGUGUGUUAUAUUCUCCCCAUUUGAAUCAUAUAUUCUUCAUACCUUAUGUGAUUUGAUGUCAUCCAUGAGCCUCGUAAUGAAAUUUGAAGAUGACAUAAUCUUAGGAUCGCUGGUCACCCAAUCAAAGGCCUCCUUUGUUGCUAUUUCUCCCAUUCCCACAAAGGACGUGGUUGCAAGCAGGCAGUAUCCAGAGCUUGCUAGUGCAACACGCAUGUACUCUUCAAAUGCUGGUACGUGUUCUUCAUGUAACCAUUUGGCCUCGGCAAAGUAAGCUCGAACUUGAUUCUUCAUCUAAAGAACAUUCAUCCAAGUUAUAUCUAUGUAUAUAUGAGACCAUAUAAAAUAUCAUCAAUGAAAAAGGUGGGGAUCCAGAGUAAAAGAUGUCCUACUACUUCUUUGGCAUAGUGAACCCGAUAUUGGUUUCCUUCUUUCUCCAUCUCUUCCUCGAUUUCUUUGUACACAUCUAAGAGUGCCACAUAGCAGAGUUUCAUGUAUUCUGGAAGCUGAUUUAUGCUGUUAAUAUCCCAUCUGAAAAUAAAAUAAUGACCCUUGAUUUACGUAUAUAUAAAUACAUCUAUUAUACACAAUCAAGGUUGGUAAUGUGCAAGGAGCAAACCUCUCAAUGGCUUCUAUGAAGAGCUUGAGUUCUUCAGGUGUGCCAUAUGCAUCAUGGAUAUCAUCUAGAAUGGAUGUCAUGGCAAUUACUUUGGUUAGAAUUCGUCUACCCCGUAAGUAUUGGGGCUCAAAAUACACCCCAUGCAUCCAAAAGUAGCCUUCAACCAAUCUGUCUCGUGCAAAAGGUAACUUUGUAGCAAAGUCUAAUUCUUUCCACCACCUAAAAGACAUUAAUAUGAUCAGCAUACAGGAAAGUGAUAAGAAUGGCCAAGUACAUGUGGGGUGAUCUAAACACCAACCUUGCAAGAUUGCUUAGCUCUUCCUUGUGCAGUGACUGCACUAGAUUGAAAUCUAAUUUUCCUAGCUCUAGUAAAGUUUUAUCAUGGAAAGCUUCAUCUUGGUAGACAGAUAUAUACCAUCUUGCCUCUAGCCUCUCCAAACCUUUUCUAAUGGGCCGGUUCAGGGCAUGAGCAACUUGUUCUGCAAGAUGAUAUCCUAAACUUUCUACCAUGGCCUUGAGAUGAGUGGUGGUGAAAGCAAGUGCUUUUGCAAGUAUGUCCUCUCCAUGAACCCUCAGAUGUGCAGCUUCAUACAAGCCUAGCAUGCCUCUUACAUCGCUGAUCAAAGCUUCCUUGAAUCUACCUCGUUCAUCCGUAAACUUGUUGAAUAUAUCUACACAAACAUCACCACUUGAAAAUAAGACUUAAAUGAUAAGCGAUGAACCUGUGUACCUGUGGAAUAUAUCUGUAAUCAUCACCAAAACAAUGUUAUAUGUGAGCUUUGCUAGAUGAUAUUCAAGCACCUUAUAAUUCAUGAGGCUUACCACAUGAAAUAUUGAAGCCUUGUUGUCUUAGUCGAAAUCGAAGUGCAACAUCAUAGAGAUCAUCAUUUAUGUCAUCAAUGCAAUGAUAGUUAUCAUAGGUAUUUUGUAAUGCUUCUUCUAUCUCCUUUUCAAAGUGGUAUGCCACCCCAAGCCGUUGAACUGCAUCGAUAAACUUCAGCUGUUCUAAAGGGUGACUAGCUGCAGCUAUCAGCUCUCUUAUAACUACCUCCUUUAGAUCUUCCAACUGCUGCUCUUUAUGGGCCAGAGUUAUCUGUAUCAAUAAAUUGCAAGAACAAAAAGUGAGAAAAUCUUUAGGUCUUGUUAUGCAAACUACAUACAUGAUCAGAAAAUUACCUCAUCCUCAGGUGUGUUGCUCACGAUGAAGCUAUUGCCCCAAAUGCUAGGCUGAUAAUUUGCAGUUCGGCGAUUAGUCCCUGGAUUAGCAACUGGGGCUGAAGAAGACCCAUUGCUGGUAGCGAGAAUUAAGACCAUGUGUAACUCACUCGAGCACUCAAUAUAUGAAUCAGAUAGCUUGCAAUGUUCGGUAUUUAUAGGAUGGGAAAUGGUUCAUUACAAUUAUUGAAUAUCAAUCCCAGAUUCCCAGUAGCAUGGAUACAAUUAAUUCAAGAUCACCUAUCAUAUUUAAACCACGUUUAUUAAAAAUUAAAUAUUUAAAAUAUGUUUUUUGUUCUCUUAGAAAUACGAAAAGUGUAUCUUAUUCCCUCAAUAAUUCUCAAUAUUCAACCAGCCACCAAACAGUGAUUAAGACUUUUUCACGUGAAGAUAAAACUUAUGAUUGAUAUUAUUUUUAUAAAAACACUAAAAAACUAUUUUUUGCUUUUUAACUUUUUGGCAAAUAAAUGAAGAAGAAUACAAAAAAAAAUUGAAAAAAAAGUAAAUAAAUAAAGAAGAUGAUAUUUUAAUUUUUAUUUAAUAUCUUAAUUUUUAUUAUCUAAAAUUAUUUAAUUAUUAUAAUUAAUGAUAUUUUGAGUUUAAUUAUGAUUAAAUAUAUAAUUAAAUUAACUAUAUAUAAAAGUCUUAAAUUGAGAUAAGUUGAUAAAUGAUUGAUUGUGGAUUGAAAUUUUACUCCUAAAAUAUGCAUGUGGCUUUCGGUUGUCAAGGCAUAUGUUGGGAAGCAGUUAUGCUUGGUUACGAGUUAUAUAAGCUUACGGCUUUAGAUUUGCAUGAUUAUCUUUCUUUGAAUGAGACAGUUACGAAGAAGGGGGCUUGCCAUUCCACUUUUAUUCAAACUGUUUGUCCUUAUUCUCAACAAAGGAAGCAUUUUAUUCAAAACAGAACACUCUAAAAGUUUGAAAAUCUAGCAGCCAAAUUAAAGCAAUUAGGCCAUGUUUGGUACGAAGCCAAAGUAAUUAGGCCAUGUUUGGCAUGAAGCCAAAUCACGACCAUGUUUGGUACAUAGAAAUGAAGAGUGGAAAUAGAUAUUUUAUUCAUUUUCUCAUUCAUUUUUAUAUUUGGAUGAUUUAAGUAUGAUAAGAAUAAAAUCAAAAAUAAUUUCAAAAGAAAUGAAAUCCUACUUAUAAGUGGGAUUAUAAUUCAUCUCUAGAAGGAGUUAUUUUACUUCAUUAUUACAAGUUAAAAUUAUAAAUAAAUUAUAAAAAUAAAUAUUUUUUAAUAAAAUAUGAAUAGGAAUAUCAUAAUAUAAUCAUAAAUUUUAUUUUUAAUAAAUAUUAUAAAAAUAUGGAUAUUAACAUCUUAUAAAAGCAUAAUUGAUUUAUUUUGUUAAAAAUAAAUAAUAAUAAUUUAAAAUUUAUAAUUACUUAUACUAUUUUUUUAAAUUAUUAUACUUACUACUUUGUUUUAAAAAAUUAUUUCGAGAACAAUAACUGGCAGUGGUAUUAAUUUUUAAAAACAAUUUUAUUUUUAAAAGAAAAGCCUAAAUAGGUUUUUAUUAUUUAGCAAAAAAAAAAAACCUCUCAAAUAUUUUCUUUUUUAAAUGAAAAUAAAAAAAUUAAUUUAAAUGAUGUAUUCUGUAAGAGUUUUUUUUUUUUUUUUUUGAAAUAAAAAUAAAAGAUUAAAGACACUAUAAAUUAUGAUUAAAAUAAUGAAAAUUAAUAAAAAGAUAUUGGCUUUUUUCUUAAAUACGAAAUAUUAAAAAAAAAAAGAUAAAUAAAUAAUAUAACUAUGUAUUUUUUUUUUUCUUACAAGAAUUUUCAUAGCUUUAAAAAUAGUAACCUUUUAAUUUUUUUGCUCUUAUUUAUUAUUAACCGAGUUGUAUAAAUUGCAUUAUAAUAGUUUCCUUUAAAACCAAAAUAAAAAUCAAAACAUGUGCUUCAUGACACUAUUGGAUGAAAAAGAAUCACUUAAUUUUCAUCUACUAGAUCCCAGCUGCCACCUAAUAUUAAUGACUUGUUUGGAUAUGUUGAGUUAAUUUAACCAAAGAGACUCUAGAAGGCUAAUAUUUUUCUUGCCAUCAGUCUCUUCCGUGCACAACCCUUUCAAAUCAUGGGCCCCAAAACUAAACCAAAUUCCACAUACUUUUCAACUAAAUACAACCAAUGAAUGCCAGUGCUGCCCUAUAAAUAAUAUGGAGCUUGCCAAGCUAUUUCUCUCAUACUUACCAAUUCAUCAUUCAAGGUAUAAUACUGUUCUAUCAUUGUUCCAAGGAAUUAACAUGUCUACUCAAGUCUCAGCAUCUUCUCUAAAAACAAAUGUUGUGUGCUACAUUUCUACACUGACUUUUAUGUUUUAUGAUAGCGCUUGAAGAGCAGUUCAGGUACGCACCCUAACUCUCCUUUAUUGCAAUUUGAUCGUGUUUGGCAUGCCACUUUUUAAAAUCAUCUAGCCUAUUUAGGUAUCUAUAAUUAGCUGAUUAAUUGCCACACUUCCCUUAACUUUGUCAGUAGAGACCUUUAUAGGGCUUAGAGGGGUGCUACCUUUUAAAGGUACCUUCCCAAUAGGUAACCUGAUCCUCGGAUUUAGACUCGGGUUUUUCAAAGAUACGCUUUUCUAAAAUUUAUGGAGUCAUUUCUUAGGGUUUUAUUUCUUGUUUUAUUUUCCCUUUAAAAUAAAAAUAAAAUAAGUGGUGACUCCAACUUUUUUUCCAAAAAUCAAUUUUUCACCAAUAAAAAGCAAGUCUCACCGAUCGAGUGGGGGCGCACAUGAAAAAUGCGGGUCCACAAUCGACAAUAAAUCGACGAUUUUUUGGGCAAUUUUUUGAAAUUUCUUCCUACUGCAUCCAACGGUCAGAUUUGAAUUUUUGACGAUUCGAUGGCCCAGAUUUCACCUGUGUUUUUUAUAAAGGCAUCCAAUAGUCAGAAAUUGGUUUUCAACAAGAGUUUUAAAUUGGAAAAAAGUGGAGUAAACCUGAUCCUUAGUGAGGAGCAAAUAGAACCAUACAAACCUAGAGUAAUCAUCCAUGAGCAACAGAAAAUACCGGGCACCUGUGGAAGAAGGAACAGGUGCUGGUCCCCACAAGUCUGCAUGGAUGAGUUCAAGAGGAGAGGAGGCCCGGGAAAUGGACAAAGAAAAAGGAACUUUGUGACUUUUGGCACAACAACAAGCAUUGUAAACAUCAACUGUUUUAUUUGAGUUAUGUGAAAUAUUACAUGUAUGAAAAAUUUUCUGAAGAAUUACAGCAGAAGGGUGGCCAAAUUGUUGAUGCCACAGCAUAGUAGUGGGUUGAGUUUUUGUGAGAAAUACUUGAUGUUUAAGACUGGCAGUAGGUGAACUGAUAGAUGAGGUAGGAAACUUGUAGAGUCCACGUUCAAGUUGGCCUUGGAGGAGAGUCACUUUGGUGUCCUUAUCCUUGACAAAAAAUGAAGAAGGAUGAAAUUCCAUAAUGGUAUUAUUGUCAGUACAAAAUUUUGACACACUGAUGAGAUUUGAAGUGAGUUGUGGAACAUAGAGCACAUUGUGUAAGACAAAGGGUUUGGCAGAAGUGUGGAGAAAGGAAUGACCAACUUGGGUUAUGGGUAGAGACUUACCAUUGUCAACCAUCACAGAGUCAGUACCAUUGUAGGGAGUACCAUUGUGGAUAUUAGCAGCCGUGUGGGAGAGAUGGUGGGUGGCGCUUGAAUCCAAAAACCAAGAGUCCAUUAAUGUUGGGGAAGGUGCUGCCAUCAUAGCUUGAGCAAGAGGAAUGGGACCAAUUUGAGAGGUUGAUGAGGCUGGUGCACGUGGCCCUUGAUAAUUCACAUCAAAUCUGUGAUAACAAGAGAGGACCAUGUGCCCAAACUUGCCACAUAACUGACACUGCGGUCGGUUAUUUGUCCGGGAUCGAUUAUUGUUGAAUCGGUUAGGGCGAUAUCCUUGAGGAUAUUGCUGCCGUGAAUCCAGAAGAGUGUCAGGUCGUAUGGUUGGCAUGAACGACUGAGGUGGUUUCCCUUGAGAGGGUUUUUUGGACUGUGACCUUCGUGGUCUAUUAUGAGUUGCAAAGUUGGCAAUGAGGAGGUCUUCUUCAGUAGGCGUGGUUUGAAGAGGCAGCCUCUGUUCAUGAGUCAAAAGGAUGCUAUGUACUGCAUGAAGCUGAAUGUCAUCAUCUCUAGUAGUGAGAGAAGCUAUGAUGGGGUUGUAUUCAGCCCCUAAUCCACUCAGUAAUUGAAGGAUUUGAUCCUUUUCUGGCACUGGUUCUCCAAUAGCUGCCAGACUAUCAGAGAUGUGUUUGAGUUUUUGGAUGUAUUCCAUCAUGGUGAGAGAGCCUUUUUUGUUUGUUUGAAAAGCAAGUCUCAACUGCAUUGUUCUUGCUUUGGUGGAAGCAGAAAAGCUUCGUUGGAGGGCUGUCCAUGCUUCAUGGGAUGUUUGUAGCCCAACAAUUUGACCCAUAACAUCUGGGGUGAGAGAGGAGUAGAUCCAACUCAGGAUCAUACGGUCAUAUCUCCUCCAAACCAGAAAAUCUGGGUUCACUUCACCGGUGGAUAUUGUUUUUGGAGGACAUGGUCUCAGACCUUCAAUAUGGUCCUCAAAUCCAUUGGCAUAUAUCACAUUUUCCAUUUGUGUAUGCCAAAGGAUAUGAUUAUCUCUAUCUAGUUUGAUAGGAAGAGGAUGAUUCAGCAUGCUCAUGUUCAGGGUAGGGAUUACCUGAGAAGAGACAAUCUCCAGCGUGGUCUGUGUUGAUGAAGCCAUCGGAGUAGGUACAGUAUGUUCUUGAAGUGAGUAAGCAAAGAUCAAAAGAAAGUUGCAGCAGAAAAUGUUGCUGGAGAUUUCUUAAUUGUCUUGCUGGGAGAGAAAUCAGAAAAAAAAAUUCAGGAGCCUAUGGCUCUGAUACCAUGAAAGUGCUCAGGCACGGAUUUAGCAAGAAUAAGGAGUUUAUUCUAUUCACAACAUGAUUGUACAGUAUAUCAAUAGCUAUAUAUAUAUAUAUAUAUUACAGCAUCUAACUAAUCUAACCAUCUAACUAAUCUAACCACUUUCUAACUCGGCAUAACAGCAUCUGUUAGAGAAGACUCAGCAUAACAGCAUCUGUUAGGGAGGAGAAGAAUUAGCUACUAACAUGGGUGUUUGUCUAUCAAUACUUGAAAAAGCACUUGCUUUCACCACCACUCAUCUCGAGGCCAUGGUAGAAAGUUUAGGAUAUCAUCUUGCAGAACAAGUUGCUCAUGCCCUGAACCAACCCAUUAGAAAAGGUUUGGAGAGGCUAGAGGCAAGAUGGUAUAUAUCUGUCUACCAAGAUGAAGCUUUCCAUGAUAAAACUUUACUGGAGCUAGCAAAAUUAGAUUUCAAUCUAGUGCAGCCACUGCACAAGGAAGAGCUAAGCAAUCUUGCAAGGUUGGUUUUUAGAUCAUAUUAAUGUCUUUUAGGUGGUGGAAAGAAUUAGACUUUGCUACAAAGUUACCUUUUGCAUGAGACAGAUUGGUUGAAUGCUACUUUUGGAUACUUGGGGUGUAUUGUGAGCCUCAAUACUUACGGGGUAGAUGAAUUCUAACCAAAGUAAUUGCCAUGACAUCCAUUCUAGAUGAUAUCCAUGAUGCAUAUGGAACACCUGAAGAACUCAAGCUCUUCAUAGAAGCCAUUGAGAGGUUUGCUCCUUGCACAUUACCAACCUUGAUUGUGUAUAAUAGAUGUAUUUAUAUAUACGUAAAUCAAGGGUCAUUAUUUUAUUUUCAAGUGGGAUAUUAACAACAUAGAUCAGCUUCCAGAAUACAUGAAACUCUGCUAUGCGGCACUCUUAGAUGUGUACAAAGAAAUCGAGGAAGAGAUGGAGAAAGAAGGAAACCAAUA
rnacentral:lncRNA from 1 species